UUUAGGCUAGUUCUAUCUUACAUAAAUGAGUUAAGCUGUACCAUAUAUGAAUUUGUUUCUACCAUUAUAUCAAUCAGUCAUAUUAAAAGAUCAAGUGAGACAUGAUUAUUCUUAAAAAAAAGUGAGAUAUAAUUAUAUUUAUUGAUUUAAUUGUUUACGGAUUGUGUUUUUGAAACUUGAAAGAGAGUUUUUUUUUCCUUUCCGAGGCUUGAAUAUAAUUAGUUAAUCUGUGUUGAAGUCUAUAGCUCUUUCCGAAUUGUGAUUCAUCAUGUUAUGAAGUCUAGUUCUUUCUCUUAAACACAAUCGAUUAAUCUCUCUAAGUAAGUUUUAUCCCUCUAUUAAGAAAAAAUCUAAAAUGACUAGAAUUCAUCGUAAGUAUUUAAAUUUUCUAAAGUACAAAACUUAUGUGCUUAUUAUGUGAUUUUUUUUUAUAAUAAAACUUGAAUAAAUUAUAAAUUUAAAGAAAUUAUGGUUAAUUUAAAACCAUACGAAAAACACACAAGUAAAUACAUCAUCCUUUUAUUACCAAAAAAAAAAAAUACAUCAUCCUUUUUUCCUUUUCUAAAAUUCCAAUUUCUUCGGUAAUUUAUAAAAAAAUUAACAAUUAUAGUUAUAAUAUUUGCAUAUAUGAGUUGACAAACAUAUUAUAAUGGAAAAACAACGAACAAAUAGGCACCUUAGGAUGUUAAUUAAAUUGCAAUCUAUUUUGACUUAUUAUUUUGAAAAUAGGUUUAAAUAGAUCUUUCGUCCCUGUAAAUAUAGGUCAUUUGAAUUUUCAUCCAUGAAGUUACUAAUCAUUCCAAUCUGCCACUGCAAAUAUUAAUCAUUUGACUUUUAGUCUUAAUUAGGUUUUUUCGCUAAGGUGGACUGUCAUUAGCGACGUGGUGCCCAUGCGACAAGUGAUGAUUGGGCGAGGUGGUUGGCUUAAAUAGGUCUUUCGUCCCUGUAAUUAUAAGUCAUUUGAAUUUUCGUCCCCUGAAGUUACUAAUCAAAUGCAAUUAAAACCAUUUUUCAAAUGAUUAAUAUUUGCAGUGACAGAUUGGAAGGAUUAGUAACUUCAUGGACGAAAAUUCAAAUGACCUAUAUUUGCAGGGAUGAAAGAUCUAUUUAAGCCUUGAAAAUAUAAUAACACUACCCAUGAUUCGUGUGCCAGUAGUGGGUUGUUUUCUCGCACCAUAUAGCAGAGAAAUUCUUAGAUAAGUAUUUCUCCAUAUAUAUAGCAACUCUCUACUAAUAUAUGCAAGAAGAAGAAAAGAGUUGGAUACUUAACAACUUUACACGAAAAUAAUACGCGGCUUCCCCUGGAUGAUGCAUGAUACUUCACGUUCACGACCCUAUAAAAAAAAUGAAUUAUCUCAGUUGACAAGUAUCUUUCACAUGCAACUUGCGCGGCUGCGGACUAAUAAUCUAUGAUUUUAUAUAAAGAAACAUCUAGAUUGCAUUAGUUAGUAUAAUUAGUAGUGUAACAUCACUAAUCAUCGGUCAAUACGCGACAAUAAUAGCUUUUAUAUAAAUUGACACACACCACCACCACCAAGUUUCCAUUAUAGCACUGUAUUGUGAAGAUGGAGCAUCAAAGUCCGGUAGCACUAGUUGUCGGAGUUACGGGAAUGGUUGGACUAAGCUUAGCCGAAGCCUUGAAGCAGCCUGAUUGUCUCGGAGGUCCAUGGAAAGUUUACGGCGGUGCUCGCCAUUCCCCAGACGAAUGGUUCCCUUCUUCCAUCCUAGACGGCUUCAUCACAUUUGACGCAGUUAACUCAGCUGACACACACGCCAAACUAUUACCUAUAGCCAAUGAAGUCACCCACAUCUUCUGGGUGACUUUCCAGUUUGUAGAAGAUGAAGAAGUUAACAUCACUGUUAACAAAUCCAUGCUCCAUAACGUUGUCACCGUUCUUAAAUCUUCUCCAUCUUCUCCUCUCACCCAUAUAACGGUCCAAACCGGAACUAAACAUUACAUGGGUCCGAUAUAUGACCCCGUCCGGUCUAACAAACUUAUAUGCCACGAACCACCUUUUAACGAGAAUAUGCCUCGACUCCCUUACCCAAAUUUCUACUACACACUUGAGGAUCUCGUUGCAUCAUACACACCUUCGAUUACAUACUCAAUACAUCGAUCCUCUCUCAUAAUUGGCGCAUCUUCAAGAAGUGCAAUCAACGCGAUGAUGAUGCUAGCGACGUAUGCUGCGAUAUGUCGCCAUGUAGGGUUACCGUUUCGGUAUCCAGGAAAUAGAUACACUUGGGAGCAUUUUUGUGAUAUGUCAGAUGCAGGUGUGCUGGCAAAGCAACAUGUGUGGGCUGGAGUUACAAAGAAAGCUAAGAACCAAGCAUUUAAUUGUACAAACGGUGACAUUUUCACUUGGAAGAGUAUGUGGAUGUUGCUUAGUGAGGUUUUUGAUGUUGAGUUUGUUGAGUUGGAUGAUAAAGAAGAGUUUGAUAUCAUUGAGUUGAUGCGUGACAAGGGUGAGGUUUGGGACUUGAUUGUAGAGAAAUAUGGGCUUCAUAAGACCAAGUUGAAGGAAAUUGCUUGCUUUGAAGCCAUGGUGCCAGUUGUACGGUUUGAGUUUCAACAUGUAUCUAGUAUGAACAAGAGUAAAGAUUAUGGGUUUUUAGAGUAUGCUGAUACGUUUAAGAGUAUCAAACUCUGGGUGGCUAAGCUGAGGGAGAUGAAACUUAUACCCUCCUACCAACAAUAAUUGCAUUAUCGUUUUUAUCUUCUUUAUUUUCUUGAAGGAAAAAAGUGUUUAUUUGAGACUACCGUAAAAAAAUGUUAAUAACAAGAGUAGACAUUUUUUAAGGAUUCGAAAGUGUUUGUUUAUUGAAAAAGUUAAAUAGUUAAAUUUUCAAUGCAUUGAAUUCAUUAAUUUCUAUAAAAACUUACUAUUUAAGGUUGUUAAAGAGUACAUUUAGGACACUCGUUGCAUUUCUCUUUUUCUUUUAAUCCACACAAUUAGAUGAUUUGAUCUUCGGUUGAGGUACUAGCUAGUAUCAGUACUAUUUUUUGUUAAUACAUGUAAUUCAGCUGUGUUGAGAAAAUUAAUAUUAUUAUAUAUCAAUGAGAGACGUAUAAUUAGGAUUUGACUCAUCAAUUAUGGAAAAGUACAAAGAGUACAUGAUUCACCAAAUUACAAAGGUGAUCGAACAAAAAAAAGACAAGUGACAAGAUUUGAAAACCAUUCAUAAUACAAACAUGUCCACCCACCACCUUAGCAAGAAGUCGUCUCCACGAGAUAAUACAUACCAUUUGUCACCUCCCAAAUUUUCUAGACAGCUGUAUGUUAAGUUUAAAUAUUUCCAAUGCUUAAUAUUCCAAGAGGAGGAAAAAAAAAUUAUCAAAAAGGACUGGAGAUUAUGCUCCUUAUUUCCUGAUCAUUUCCAUUAAUUUAUUCUAACAAUUUUUCAGUCAAUGGUUUAAUCACAGUUACAAUUUUCCGCUACUCCUUCCGGUCUAAUUUUCUAUAAGCAACAAGUUGAAAAAUACACUGUAAUGAACUUCUAGAGUAUGGCUUCUCUGGAACAAGUGGUAACUCUGUUGACAUAUAGCAGCAAAGAUGGACCAAGGGUGAUAUAGUGGAACCACAGCCUUCUCAUUGUCGCCUAUAUCUUCCUCACCUUCGUCUUCGUCUUCUCACUAGAUGCUUCCUCCUCCUCAGGAGAGCCUAGAGGGCGGACAAGGUACUCUGUUCCCAAAUCCUCCUAAAAACAAUUUGUGAAAUAAAGAGUAACUCAUGCAAAAAGUCACAACAUGUUUACAGAAAAUUGAUGCAUAUAACUAAAACUUGUGUGAACCUAACUACAAAAAGUCAUGUUUUGGAGUUCUUAUAGCAAAAACAUAACUUUCAAAAUAUAAGUAAUCCAAACUAUGCCGAUAAAGGACCCGGUGAUUUUAGCAAUAACUACAUUUAUCAGCGAGUUCGACAAUAUCACAAUGGACUAUGUGAUUUUAGCAAAAAAAACUACAUUUUGCAGCUUCAACAAAUUCACUGUGUCAUGUGAUUUCGUUAAUCUCACCCUUGUACUGUUAGCAUCAAUGAAACAAUAAGAAUCAAUCAACAAGUAGAUCAAAUUGUAAAUGAAGGAAUUAUAAAAGAUCAAACAAAUAGUGUGUACUAUUUAAUUGAAUAGUACAUCAUAUUAAACAUACAAGGAAUAGUUAAAUAAAAAAAUUACAAAGAAAUAAGUUGACUUUGUAAAAUCGGUGCAAGUUAAAAGUGAUUUAAAUGUUAGAAAAAAUAAAAAAUUAUGGUUGACUACAAAAUAGGCAAAAGGAAGUAGAAAACUGAGUUUACCCGAGAACUAUUUUCUCUACACGGAAGUGGAAACAUCAAAUCCUAACAUGAGUUGAAAUCUUGAGAACAUCAAAUAUAUCGAAUGAUAAACAAAAUCAAUUUUAUAUUUAUAAACUAACAUUCACUUUUCACAAGAAUUGGAAACUGUAAACAUAGAAAACAAAUAAAACAUAUGAACUCAAGUCCGUACUCUCCUAGCAUGCUUGGUACUGACCAAACUGGUGCUAAUAAUUCUGAAAAGAAAUCCUAUCUAGACUGAAUAUAAAGAGAGUAAAGAACAUAGAGAGCAGAACUGAAUAAUUUUGAAAUUAGUUUUUUUUUUCCUGGUUUGAAACAGAUAAAUGGCAAGGGCCAAAGUUUAAUAGAGUCCACUGAAAUUAGAGAACAAAACCUUUUUCCUUCAAUAUGCAUAAACUCAUCAGAUUAAUUUAUUUUAUCAUAUAAAACAAUUUCAGACAGUGACAACAACAUAUAUUUAGAACUCUAUCCAGUUACAAAUGCAUAAAUAACAGUGAAUCGCACAAACAAAACUGUCGAUAUCUGUAAUUCUGCUAAUUCUUAUCUAGUAGUGUGUGUGUGUGUAUUGUUUUGGUUAGCUUUAUUCAUUGAAUAGUAUCAAGACUUCCAGUUUUGUUAAAUUAUUCCACAGCUCAUGUUACAAAUGCAGUCAAACACAUAUUAGCAUACAAAUGCUACCCAAGAGUUCAUAAUAUCAAGAAAACGGUGAAGGAUAAUAUUUCAAAAUCAAAACCUCAUUCUUCAAGUUCUUAAACUUGAUCAUUGUCAGGGAGUGAAAGCAAAGACUCUAUAUACAUGACCGCUUGGUAUGGCCCGUCCCAGUUGCCAUGAAACCCGAACUGCUGUCCUUGGUCAUUGUAUUUGACCAAUGAAUGAAAACCAUUUUUUCCAAUGAUAUCAUUAUUUUUUGUAGUGUAUAUAGGGUAAAAGUAACCAGGAGGAAGAACAAGUGUCUUAGUCCAACAAGAUUCUUUCAUCACCCAUAUUUCAGUUGUACCAUUCUGAAAAUCACCACCCAAUAGACUGAGAAUUUCUCCAAAUACCCACAAAUAACAAUAUCGAGAUUGAUAGUCAAAAUCGUGAUCUGGAAGAGGGAUCUCAAAAAGUUUCCUUUCAUGAAAUCAAAGGCAACAAUAAUGAAGCUAGAGGAAGAGAGAGAAAAAAAAAAAGGCAACAAUAACAUAGACCAAUAAAUCAUAACGAAAAGCCAACCAAUGAAUAGCCCCAUUAAAGAGAACCCCUCGCUUGCUACGAGGAUCCAAAGUGGAAUUCAUAUAAGCUAAGUGUGUACCCUCAAUUUCAAUUUGUUUCCAGAUAUUAUUUCUCAAUGAAAAAAACUCCAAAUGUGAUGAAUCAUUAUAAUCAUAAGGAUGAUAGGAUAUUGAAACCACCAAAUAAUCAUCUGUUGAGUGGUCAUAACCAAAACCAUAUAGAUGAUUGGAAUGAUAUUUCUUUAAUUUGGAAUCAAAAUGAGACAAAGGUAUUUGUAUGUGAAGCCCGGUGGAUGGAUUCCAUAGGUAGAGGCUUGAAAAACAGUGGAAAAAUAUAAAUCCUCUACAUGAACCUUUAAUUUCAACAGAAGGAAAAUUAUGAGAUUGGGGAAUCAAACAAGACUUAGUAAGGUUCACUAAAGAAGCAUAAUAGUGGGACGAUUCAAAAUCUAUAGAAUAAACUUCAUGAGGUGAAUCUUCCAUUAUGGCUAGAAUUCUAGGAGGAGUUUGUGCAGUGGAGGUGGUAAGUUGAAAAUGCAAAUUUGCACAGUGGGGAUCAGAGAUAAGAGAAAACCAAGACUUAGAAACCCACUUUAAUUGUAUAAGAGCCUUCACUGGCAACCUAACUAAAAUUUGAGUGAUCAAUUCGUGAGGCAGAUACACUUUUGGCUGUGUCUUCUUCUCCAUCCUUUGCUUCGUUGAGAGUAACCCUAAUAUUUAUUACGGAUGAAUGAGAUGAGAUGAGAUGAGAGAGGCUUAUUCCAAUUCCCUGCUUAGUUGUAUUUGUUGGAUAAUCAAUCUGUUUAUGUUUAGGAGAAACACUCUCUUUUUAACAUUUUUUUAACACUCACCCUUUUGGGGUGAAACUCAUGUGAGUCUCACCAUUUUACGUGGGAUCCAUUUUCAACGUGUGGUAUCCACAUGAAUUUCACCCAAUAAAAAAGUGAGUGUUAGAAAGAGAGUGUUCAUAGCACUCCUCAUAGUUUAGUACCUCACUCAUAGCUUUGUUAAAGGCCCAAGCAAAAAAGUUAUUGGUUAGAUUACGCAAAUGGUUUUAAGUUAUUUAAUUGCAAUAAAUUGAUUUUUUUAAAGGAAAUUAAUUGUAAUAAGUUGAUUUUUAAGUUUUUUCCAUACCAAUUAUUCCUAAGUUUAAAUCGUAACAAUUUGAAAGAUCUUUCAGAUCUUAGAACUUAAGUGUUACGAAAAAUAUUUGAAUGACUAACUUGUUACAAUUAAAAAAUUUAAAGAAAAUAAGUGGUAUGCAAAAAACAUAAAGGACUAAUUUGUUAUAAUUAAAUAACUUAAAGGCAUUUCACUUAAUUUAGCCAAAGUUAUUUCUCUUUAGGAAAUCUAUACAAAAGUUAACAUCUUUUUUAUAUUGACAAAAAAAGUUGGUUCAAGUGUUGGAUAAUCUAACAUGUCGCAUUAAAACAUUAUUAAAAAAUCUAAUUGGAAAGAAAUUAUUGUGAAAGAAAAAUAGUACAAUAAUAUUUUUUGUGAAAAUUACAUAAUAUCUUUAUUUUUGUCUCUCAACCAAACAAUCAUCUAUGAAACGGUAAAGAUCAAUACUUUGUAUCAGCGGUUCAAAAAUUCUAUUUAGUGACUUUGUAAAAAAGUAUGCAAGAUUAUAACACAAACGAAUUUGUUACAUGCAUACAUUACCACUUUUCUGUAAAUCAUGGGUGAAAAACAAUUUUAAAGAAAUUUGUUUUUAUUCGAUCUUCUUUAAUGUAUCCCUCUUUCAAUUGAACAAUGCAUAUAUAAUUAUCUUUAUAAAUAGUUGUUGCAUGCGCACAAGUUUAUUGUAUGUGUUAAAUCGUUGACGUCAACCAAACACAUUCUUUAAUUCCCUAAUCUAAAACUUUUGCACAAUUUGAAGACAUUGUUGUUGAGGUGUAUUACAUGAAUCUCCAUGAAAGGAUUUUAUAACCUCAUAUAAACAAAUAGCUUGUUUGUAUUUAUCAUACGAGAAUUAGACAAAUAGGAUGCAUAUCUAAAUAAAUAAAAAAAUACCUGAAAAUAAAUUCACAAAUAAUAAUGAUUACUAUAACAUGUAUAAUUAGCAAAAUAUAUUAUUGCAUCCAACUGAGCUAGAAUAUGAUAUGAUACUUCAUGACAAAUUAGUUCUUCCUCUUUUUUUUAAGUUCUCGAACAAUCAGUGUUCUCCUAUUGUCAGUUUACAAUCAUUGGGUUUAACGUGUCUGAAAAUUCCAGCUUGUUUAUAUUAUAAAUGGUGUUGGAAUCCUAAGAAAUGUUUUAGUAGAUAGAGGUGGGGUCUCCAUAUUGGUGUUUUUGUGGUGUUGGUUUUUCUCUUGUUUUUGGUUUCUAGGGGCAGUGAACAGUUGCUGCUGCUAUAACCACUGAUGCAGUCCGAGUUUUGAGCCUUUGGUGCUGUUUUAGGGCCAGCUGCAACUUGGUGUGUUUAGUUGUUAUAGCAGUAUGGUGUUUUUCUUUUGGCAUAUCGGCGUGAUUUCGGACCCCUUGUAUUUUGUUCCUUUUUGCGUUUUAUGGUGCUUCUUACACCUAGUUCUGCAUAAUAAUAUUAGCAGCUUCAAAAAAAAAAUUACAACCGUUGGUGUUCAAAACAAAUGUGAUAUUUAUGUCAUCAACAAAUUGUUGACAUCGAAUUUUAUCACUCCAACAAAUAAGCUCGACGAUCAAUCUAUGACAAAAUUUAGAUCCUAGUUGAAUUCUUAGUUGAUAGGUUCAAAGUCACACGUCUUAAUUUUCGAAACAAGAAACAUGCAUUCGAAUUAUAAACAAAGAAAGUAAAAAUGCAAAGAAAAUUCGAUCAUGCGUAGUAAAUUAGAAAGUAGUGUUUCGUUCCUUCUCUCUAGAGCAAUUGUUUUUGUUGGAUAAAACAACACUUCGCUUCCAACACCGCUUUGCUUGGUUUCAAUAUUAAAAAUUCUUUCUACACAUUGAUGCACACUUUAGAGUAUAAAUUGUUCUCAUAUGGCUAUGCUCGGUUGGUAAGAAACAUGUGGCCAUGUUACGACAAUGUCAAUAGUGAAAGAAACUCCCAGAGCUUUUCUAUAUAAAGAAACAUCAAAGCUUAUCCAUUAGUAUAAUAUCCAUUCACAUGCUCCGUUUUCUAGAUAUAAUUAAUUGUAGUGUAACAUCACUAGUCACCAGUCAAUACACUGCCAUCAAAGGUUCCAUUAAUUUACAGUGACUGUGAUAUAUGGCGCAUCAAAGUCCCGUAGCACUAGUAGUUGGAGUAACGGGAAUGGCUGGCCUAAGCUUAGCCAAAGCCUUGAAGCAGCCUGAUUGUCUCGGAGGUCCAUGGAAAGUUUAUGGCGCAGCUCGCCAUUCCCCCGAUGAAUGGUUCCCUUCUUCCAUCCUCGACAGCUUCAUAACCUUCGACGCAGUUAACUCAGCUGACACACGCGCCAAGCUAUUACCUAUAGCUAACGAAGUCACCCACCUAUUCUGGGUCACAUUCCAGCUUGUAGCAGACGAAGAAGUUAAGAUCAGCGUUAACAAAUCCAUGCUUCUUAACGUUCUCACUGUCCUAAAAUCUUAUCCGUCUUCGCCUCUCACCCAUAUAACAGUACAAACAGGAACCAAACACUACUUGGGUCCAGUGCAUGACCCGGUUCAGUCUACCAAACUUAUCUGCCACGAACCACCUUUCGAAGAGAAUAUGCCUCGACUCUCUUAUCCAAAUUUCUAUUACGCGCUUGAGGAUCUCGUUAAAUCCUAUGCACCUUCAAUUACAUACUCAAUACAUCGUUCCUCUAUCAUAAUAGGUGCUUCGCCAAGAAGUGCAUACAACAUGCUGAUGGUACUAGCGACAUACGCUGCCAUAUGUCGCCAGGUAGGAUUACCGUUUCGUUUUCCAGGAAAUAGGUACACUUGGGAGCAUUUCUGUGAUAUGACGGAUGCUCGUGUGCUGGCAAAGCAACAUGUAUGGGCUGCAGUUACAAAGAAGGCUAAGAACCAAGCGUUUAAUUGCACAAAUGGUGACGUUUUCGCAUGGAAGAGUAUGUGGAAGGUGCUUUGUAAGACUUUUGCUGUUAAGUUUGUGGAUUUGGAUGAAAAGGAAGAGUUUGAUUUGGUGCAGUUUAUGCGUGAUAAGGGUGAGGUUUGGGAUCAGAUUGUGGAGGAGUAUGGACUUCAUAAGACCAAAUUGGAGGAAAUUGCUUGUUUUGAUGCCUUGGUGCCAGUUUUUCGAUUUGAGUUUCAACUUGUAUCUAGUAUGAAUAAGAGUAAAAAUUAUGAGUUUUUUGAGUAUGCUGAGACGUUUAAUAGUGUGAAAUUCUGGGUGAUGAAGCUGAGGGAGAUGAAUCUCAUACCCAUCUACGAACAUUGAACUACAUUGUUGUUUUUAUCUCUCUCUUGUAAUAAUAUCGUUUGUUUCUAUCUGCUUUAUGUAUUGUUAAAAAUCUUUUUCACCUAACAAGAGUUAAUAAUGCCCAUUCCUUUCUUUUGAAUGUUGAAUUGGAUAUUGAUGGAGUUUUAGCACAUUAUUUUAGUUUUUGUUAGUUCAUUUGUUUCUUGAGGCCUAUACUCAGUGAAAUAAAAAGGAGAACUACACUUAUUUACCUUACUGUCUUCUUAAAAAAAAUCACACCCCUCUGAAUUUGGCAAUAGGACAGAAAAAAUACUGUUUUAUUCUACAUUCAAAUAAUCAUAACAAUUUUUACAACUCAUUAAAAAGCUUUUUGUAUCAAUCAAGGAGCAUUUUCUGAAAUAUAUUACUGUGAACUGAAAGGUAGUAUCCAAAUUGCAUAAUGAGAUAAAAACAUUGAGCUGCUUUUAAGAACAGCUAAAAGCUUUUAUUAUUAUAGAACACUAAUUCUUACUGAUUAUUACAAAUUCUAAUAACACAUCACAUACCAGCAAGAACAAGUAGCUUUUAUCGACAUUAUCACUCUAAUAUGAUUACAACUUGCUCGUCUUGAGAGGUCCCAUCUCCUUUGCCUUAGCCCUCAGCAGAUGCUUCUGUACCUUCCCAGUAGCUGUCUUAGGUAACGGUCCAAAGACAACCGAUUUCGGUACCCAAUAAGUAGGCAUCUUGGCCCUACAGAACUUCAGUAUGUCCUCGACUAGACGUUGCUCGUUACUCCUAUCCACUCCUGGCUUUAAUGUCACAAACGCACACGGAGACUCGCCCCAUUUCUCGUCUGGUCUAGCGACCACUGAUGUCUCAAGUAUAGCAGGAUGCGAGUACAGAGCAUUCUCUACCUCUACACUGCUGAUAUUUUCAGCACCUGAGAUGAUGAUGUCCUUUGAUCUGUCUUUAAUUUCUAUAUAUCCAUCUGGAUGCUUCACCGCAAGAUCACCGGAAUGAUACCAUCCAUUUGCAAAGCUCUCUUCAUUAGCUUUAGGGUUCUUUAAGUAGCCUUUCAUGACAGCAUUACCACGCAUCACGAUUUCGCCAACAGUUUUACCAUCAGCAGGUACAGGUUGCAUAGUUUUUGUGUUCACAACAUCCAAGCCUUCCAAGGCAAUGUACUUAACCCCUUGUCUUGCAUGGAGCCGGGCACGGGAUUCUGGUGGAAGUGAGUCCCACUCUGGUUUCCAGGCACAAUAGACGGAUGGGCCAUAGGUUUCUGAAAGACCGUAAGUGUGUGUGACACGAAAUCCUCGUUCAGACAUGCCGGAAAGAACAGAAGGAGGAGGAGCAGCACCAGCAGUAUUCACAUGUACAACAUGAGGUAGAGGAAGUAUGGUUUCCUCAGCCGGAGCAUUAAUUAUUGAGUUAAGCACCACUGGUGCUGCACAAAAAUGAGUCACUUUGUACUUAACAAUGGCUUCAUAUACUGCUUUUGCUGAUACCUGCAUAAAAACAUCAAGAAAAUUUGAUUGAGGGUAGAUAUAAGCAAACUAGUUAUUAAAGAAAACAACUCUCAACAAAGUAGACAACAAUAUUAGUUAACAAGAGAGCAUGUUAUUACUAGUUAACCAACAACAAACUGCCUAAAGAUGACAGGAUUAAUCCUGGUCAAAAGUAUCAUAAGUGUAUGUUUGAAUCGUGCCACAAUUUGUUUUAAAACAGACCCUAAUCAUUUGUUCAUGAGAGACAUUCAACAAAUUGCAUUAGCAUUAAUGAUAGCAUCAAACUUGAAGCUAAUGUACUACAAAUCAUCAACAAGACUAACAUAAUAUUAUACUAAUCAAUGCAUUAGGUAUCAAUGUUGUCAAUCACAUCCCAGAAAAUAGUGGUUUGUUUGAAUCAAUAUCACAUUUUAAAUUCUACUACGCUACAACAACUAUUUAACAACACUUUGUAUUAAAUCAUGUAUCACGAAUCAAUAGUAGUUUGAUCAAAUUUUGCUACGCCCUGGGUAAGCAUAACAAGUCAACAACUAUUUGUUUAAAGCAUUCAAAUAAAUGCAUAGGAAAAGAAACCAAAUCCAUCAGACAUUAGUUUUACCUGGCGGAGGCAUAUGUUUGUGCCAAAGAGAGCUGCAAGUGUCCAAGUAUAGCACCAACCAUUGCAAUGAAACAUGGGUAGAGUCCAAAGAUAUACAGCUCCUUCAUUCAUUCCCCAAAUAAGUGCACCACUAAGAGACAUGAGAUACGCUCCACGGUGAUGCAAAACCACACCUUUCGGACUAGCAGUGGUCCCAGACGUGUAACCCAAAGCAAUGCUCUGCCACUCAUCCUCUGGUGGCUUCCAAUUGUAUUCAGGGUCACCACUUCGAAGAAAGUCCUCAUAUUCAACUGCCCCUUUGCUCAAUGCAUAUCUAAGUGACUUAGGGUCACAAUUCUCAUCACCAAUGACAAUUAAAAUCGGAGACUUAAAUGUUUUGGUUUUGUCAGACCAUAUUUUCAAUGCUUCUUCUGCCAAUGAAAAGAACUCUUGAUCCACAAUUACAACUGAUGCAGUGCAAUGACCAAGAAGAAAAGCAAUUGUGGAUGCAUUUAGCCUAAUGUUGACAGGGUUUAUCACUGCCCCUGCCAUUGGAAUCCCAAAAUGAGCUUCAUAGAGAGCUGGAAUAUUGGGUGCAAUAACAGCUACCUGCAUAAGAAAAUUAGAGUGAACAUGAUUAAGCUAAACACAUAAUUAGAGUAGAGAAUGAUUGAAAACUAUUUUUUAUCAUUUUAUAUCAUACAUAAAAAAAAGUUUUCAAAAUUAAAAAACUUCAGAAUAUAAUUUUAGAUGACGAAAAUAAUAAUUCAAAUAAAAAAAACUGUCUAUGUCUUAAAAAAAAAAAAAAAAAAAAAAAUCAUCAUCUACUACGGUAAAAAGAAAAGUUCAUUCAUUUUCAUCCGUCAGCAUCCGAUUAAACAAAAGUCAAAUCGGGAAAAUUAAUCUACUCCUAUCUGAUUGGAGAAAAGCAAAGUAAAAAAAAAAAAAAAUGCAUAGGUACGAAGUUUUUGUUCUUACGGUGUUUCCGAGAGCAAUGGAACGGUUGGAAAGAGCGGAGGCGAAUCGACGGCAGCGUUGAUAAGUCUGACGCCAUGUGUAGUGACGGGAUCCAUGGAUGAUGGAUUUUCUAGUUGGAUGAACCUGAGCUGCUCUUUCUAAGAACCAUAAAGGUGUUAAGGAUGUGUAGUUUGCCGCGUUCUUUGGAAGGUCGUCUAUGUCUUGUUUCGUACCCAUCGCCACUGCGUUCUUCCGUUCCGUGUGUGUGUAAGACAGAAAUGGACGACCAAUUCUCUACUGUUCUGUGUUUAUAUUUAUACUCUCACUUUUCAGCUUAUUGUCGUCACCCUUGUCUUUCUCAUCCACAUCUCACACCGAUUAUUGUCUCAUCCCUAUAAAUAACUUAUCUGUACAACCAUUUUUUAAUAAUUUUAGACAAUUUUCUCUCUCAUACUUACAUUAUAUUUUUGCAUUGCUCUCUCCUCUUUUUUAUCUCUACAUUGUUUUUAACCAAUGAAAAGAGAGAGAGGAAGUUGUUAGCAAAUAUAUCAAUUACUCAUAAAUAAAUUCUGCAAAUUUACAUCAAAAUACUUAAAUAUAACUUUUUAAAACUGAUUUGUUUUUCUAUUAAAAGUUGAUACUUUUAGUUUUUUUUUUUUAUAAAUACUUUUAGUUUUUUUUUUUUGUUACACUUUUAGUUUUUUUAAGACAUGCAGUUUUCAUUUUUGUAAGAAUUUAGAAAAUAAAAAGUAUUUCAUCCGAUAAAUAAGAAUUGUAGUGGGUAUUUAUUCCACCAAUAGAGAUAAGAAAUCAUGGAGAUAAAAAUAUGCUUUUGUUAUAGAAUUAAUCGAAGGACAAUAUCAAAGAUGAAGAAGAUGAGAGUUUGAUUAUUAUGCAUGGGAAAAUCCAAUUUUAAAGGAUAGGUGGAGGUUGCCACCGGUUCGGUCCAAACAAAAAAUAGCCAGUUUUGAUAUUUUAAUAUUUUCUGUCACUUUAUUAACUGAACUCCCUUUAGUUAGAAAUUACUUUUCAAUAACAAUAUACACCACUGUUUGAAUAACAUUUCAGAUUUAGUGAGUUAUAUCUCAGUUCAAGUUGUUCAUGGUAAAAACCCAGCAAAAGACAAAAAAAUAGAAUAUUCUUCUAAAGCUUCCCUCAUAACAACAAUCUUGCUUUUGUUCACUGAUAUUUUCGGCAAUGGCAAUAUAAUUAUCACUUUAAAGUUUGGUGUUCUAACACACAAAACAAAUCAGAUCUGUAUCAUUCUAAAUCAAAGAAAAGUAAAGCUUUUACAUUUAUCUGGAAUCAAGUAGUUAUAAAGUUGCAUCUCAAACAUAAAUGAUGAUGAUUGGGAUGCGAAUUUUAUCGUUCUAAUUUUUUAACCUAAAAUUGAAAUUAUAAAUUUUAUGAAAAUUGAAGUUUUGGUUUUUUUAUUAUCAAAAUGUUGUAAUGAAUGAAGAUAACGAAAUUGUAAUUUUCUUGUUACAGGUGCAUCUGUAUUACUAUUUGCAGAAUGGAUAUAGAAGAGAUUAUGGAAAAUUUUCAAACUGAGCCACUAGAGAUUGAUUUCGUUGGAGGUGAUUUAUGCACAGGCAAAGAUUUACCCAGAACCACAUGACAAAAGAAUCCAUCGGUGGAAAUGCUUUUGUGUAUUAUACAAACUAUAGGAUUGAGUAUUUUUAAUUAAUUCGAAAUAAUGCAAUAGCAUAAAAAAAAAUCAAAAUAGUUCAAUAAUUUCAAUGAUAAUCAGUUAAUCAAAUAUAAUCAACAAAAUUUCAAGAUCAAUUAAGUACUCCCGUUAUUAUUCUUUACAUGAAAAUAAUUCUAAUAGACCACCUUUAUUAUUUUUAAAAUAUGCUAACAUUAAUAAUAGGUAAUUAGCGAAAUGACGGACACUCACGUGCUUGUCUUUCCGCUUUAUUAACAGUGUUAACGUUUGAAAAUUAUGAACAAUGUUUUUUUUUAUGAAAUUUUGAAAAAAGUAAAAAUAUAAAUGUUUUUUGUUUUCAAAUUAUAACAUGAUUAUCAAUUUCAAGGACACCAACAAUAUGACAAAAAAAUAUGAUUUAAAAUCUUAUUUUUUUAAAUACCACUUGUAAGAUUGUUCAUUGAUUGUUCUAAGGUCUCACCCGAAAGGAAAUAUUCUUAGACUUAAACCACUGCUGAGACUGUUCAGUGAUUGUUCAAACUCCAAUGUCUCACUAUAAAGGAAAGAUUCUUAGACAUAAACCAAUUGUAAGACUGUUCAAACUCGUUGGUCUCGCCGAAAAUGAAAUAUUCUUAGACAUAAACCACUUACAAGACUGUUAUUGUUCAAACUCCAAGGUCUCACCGGAAAUAAAAUAUUCUUUAACCUAAACCACCUGUAAGAUUGUUCAUUGAAUGCCCAAACUCUAAGGUCUCACCGGAAAAGAAAGAUUCUUAGACAUAAACCACUUGUAAGACUGUUCAAACUCCAAGGUCUCGUCGGAAAUGAAAUAUUCUUAGACAUAAACCACUUGUAAUAUUGUUCAUUGAAUGUUCAAACUCCAAGGUCUCUUCAGAAUUGAAAGAUUUUUAGACCUAAACCACUUAUAAGAUUGUUUAGUGAUUGUUCAAAAUCCAAGGUCUCACCAAAAAGAAAAGAUUUUUAGACCUAAACCAAUUAUAUAAUUGUUGAGCAACCGUUCAAACUCUCCAAAUGAAAGAAUCUCAUACCUAGUUUAAUUAUUAGUAAGUAAUAUUUUCAACGACAUAAUUGAUCAUCAUGUUAUUUCAAAUGUGAUAGUCAUUUUAGUAAGUCAUUUUAAUAAAUAAAUAAAUAAGUUAAAGUCACACUUAAUAAAUGUUAACAAAAUUAUUUUUAUGUCAUAGUAAAUAGUCCACAUAAUUUAAUUUUAUGUCACGUAUUAUUUAUCUUUUUAAUAGAAUUUUAAAAACUUAAUUCCCUCACUAAUUUAAUUUAAUGUUGCAGCAUUAUAAGGUGCAGACAGCAAAAAUUAAAGAAGAGCAAUGUCUACAACCAGAAAGUUAUGGCUUACAAACAACAAGCCCAAGAAAAAUAUCAGGCCCAUCGUUUGCUACAAAAAAUAUAUAUAAAUCAAACAAAUGAUAAAAUGUUAUUUAAUGAUUGGUGAGGUCGGUUUUCAUGGUCCACCAUGUGACCAUCAAAAAGUUUCCCCCCUUACCGGAUCAUAAAUCUAGGCCAUCCAAAUAAAGAAGUAAUAAAUCUAUGGUUGUACUUAUACUUUCCCAUAAAGGGAAAGAAUUCCCCUUUCUCAUACUAAAUCUCACCGUCUAUUAUUCUCUAGACAAAUGUAUCUUUACACUAAAGACCACUGACAAUUCAUUCAUUAGUUGGAGUUAUAAGAAUGGGAGAGAUCAAGAACGACUCCAACUUUAUUAUUAAUAACAGUUUUCUUGUAAAUGUUUACCCCCAUCUUGUUUGUCUUGGAGUGAUCAUUUGGUUGUUUUGUUUGACAAUAAUCAUGCAUAAGAACAUCAAAACCAUGUUCCAUACACUACUCAUUCUCAAAUCUGAACUUGUGACAUGUCAGACAAAGUCGAGUAAUUGGGCCGCGGUCAAGUUAAAUAGGAUAAUUAUACGAUGUUGGAGCCAGCCAAUAUUCAAGCUUGUCUAUAGGGAAUAAAUGAAACCAUGUUUCAUUAGUCAAUCCUCGAUCAAGUUUUUCCUCGAUAACAUGUGUACCUAGGUUCUUCAACCAAGUGAAAUCGUACACCCUUCGUGUGGAUGUUUGAUAAACCAAUGUCCAAAACAACCUUUCAAAACUCAUUUAUUAGCCACAAAGGACAUUCAACCUCCCUUUCCAUUUGCAUCCAUAAUAUCAUCAAAAUCAUCCAUUGUACACCAAAGACUAUCAAAAAGCUAAGACAUUUGACUGAUAAAAUUCCUAGCAUCACACGUGCUGCCACCAUUUUGGUAGUCACAAUAACAAGUAAAUUUCGACUCACCUUGACUAAUAUCGCCAACUUCUACAACAAUGUGAUUUGAGAAUAACUCAAAAGUUGAUAUUUAAAGGACUUAUUAUGAAACAAUGCCAAGCCACUUCCCCUUCCUUCCCGAUCAACAACAAGACAAUUAUCAAAAUCCAACAAGUAACGAAAUUCCUCAAUUUUAUUGGUUUUGACUAGUGGACAAGGCACUUAAGUUUUGUCAUUAAAAAAAGCUUAACGACACACAUUGUUCUCCGUUGUCUUUCAUUUAUGUGUAAUUUUCACACACGCAUAUUAAAUAUUGUGUAUGAAGAAGAAGAAGAAAAAAAACUUAAGUUCUGGAACUCCACUAAGGCUACUUACACCUCGCAUGUUCCUAAUAAUGAUACUUAUUUUUCUUGGUAGACCCAGUGUUCAGGUCCUUCCAUGUUGAAUGUUAAGAAUAAUAUUUCAUGUGAACCAAUUUAUUGACCUAUAGUAAAAAAAGAAUUGUCAAAUUUUGAAUUUGGAAAGAAGAAAAAAACGUGCAAAAGUAUAAACGUUUUUGAUGUCGUAAGCACUUUAAAAUUGAACCAAACUGAAUUGAACUUGUUGUGAAUUCAGACUCAAAUUUCACACCAAUACAAACUAUGAUGUGUGGAGCAAGUAUCAAUGACAACCAACAAGCAAAAAAAAUUAACCACAAGCAACAACAACAAUAUAUAGACCUAGUAUGUAAUCAAGUGCAUGGCAAAACCACAAUCCAAGUAAGGAAUAAACAAGAUAAAAAGAGUAGAGAAAAAUAGACAACAACACCAAGAGAUUGUUCACCCAGUUCGGUCCAACAAUGACCUACUCUGGAGGAAAGAUUGAUAUCUCCAAUCAACUAUCAAUGAGUUCUUACAAAGAGAUACAAAUGGGUUACAAGAAAUUAGCUUCAACAAGCUCACAAAGAACAACCGUAAUUUCGAUCCAUUUUCCCAAUCUCAAUAAACAAGACACUCAUGAUUUUCACUCUCCCAAGGUAUUUACAAUUGUUUCCCAACUCUAGAAUCUAACCCCCAAAAGAGAACCAACCAUUAGCCUUUGAUUUCACUAAGGGUCUUCUCUUUUGGUUUCACAAGAGUCACCGAGGUUGCUCACAAAAGACUCUCCACUCAUGUGUUUCCCAACCCCAUGAAUCUUCCCCAAAAGGCACCAACCCUUUUUCCAAGAGCCCCCUCUUUUGGUUCUCCAAGAUUCACAUCUUGAAGCUUUGAACCUCACCCAAAGACUCUCAACCUUUAGUGUCUAAAACCCUAAAAGUUCCCUCCUUUGGUUUUCAUGAGAUUCACCAAACUUUUUCAACAAAUGGGUCAAAGAGUGCUUAUAAUGUGUUCAGAUCCAGACAAAAUCGUGUCACGAUUUCCCAAACCGUGACACAUUUGGUGCGUACGACCAAGGUACGACCAACCUUAUUCUGAAAACUUACCCACCAAGCCGAAAAUCGUGUUACGUUUUCCCAAAAAAUCGUGACAUGCUUAGGUAUUUGCAACUUUCUCAAAAUCGUGACAUGCUUAGCAAAUCGUGUCACGAUUUGCAACUUUCUCAAAAUCCAUUUUUGAGUCACAUCUCAACAGAACUGCAUACAUACACUUAAAUAUGUCAGUUUUUUUUCUUCUUCAGGUAUUCUUUAUUGGUUUUUAAUACUAGGUAUUUUUUAAGGAAUAAUACUACUUAUUUGCUAUUUUGUCAUGUUAAUUUUUAGUAUAUUAUAAUUGUAUGUUACAUCAAACUUGUCAUCUUACCGUGUAUAUAAAAUUAAUAUUAAUAGUCUUUUAAUCCAUCUCGGUUGGUCUAGUAGCGUUGAUUUAGAAAAUUGAAGUAUGUUACUUUAUUUAAAAUAAAAUAAAAUUAUUCAAAUCGAAAGUUGCGUAAUUUUAUCUAUUGAUUAGUUGAUUUUUACUUUAAAAUCGAUCCAAUUCACAAACAUCUCUUAUCACAACCACGAUUCGAUUCUAACUUUCAAAUUCUCUACUCCAUACGUUUCUAAAUUAUAGUCGUUUAAGGUUUGUGCACGAUUAUUAAGAAAAUGAUUCACUGUGUUGAUUUUUUUUUUUUUGUCAAGUAGCCUAGUGGCUAGAUUCACACACAUCAUGUGUGGAGAAGUGGGGAAUCCGGGUUUCGAGCCCCGGCCCCUGCACAAAUUAUCCCUGUAGCUACCAACUGAGUUACACUUACGGGACAAUUGUGUUGAUUUCAAUGUUAAAAUUAACAUCAUUUACUAAAAUACUCUUAUUAAUUGUAGUUAGUGAAAUAUUUAAGUUGAAUGAAAUUCAAUAAAUAAGGGUAUAAUAAUGGAAAAAAAAUAUUGCAUUGAUAUUUUUAAGUAACAAUUAUUUAUAAAAAAAAAUGUUAAAGAUACAAUUACUAUGAGUCGGAUAAGUAGUUUUUUUAAAAUAAAAAUAAAAAUAAAGGGGCUAAAAGGCCCCUAAUUCUCUAGUUUGUUAUUAAACUAAAGAGUAAAUUACACUCCCCUUCCCUCAAAAAUGCUUAAAUUAUACCCCUCCCCUUCUGAUAUUAAAAUAUACACUUCCCUCCCCUUGAAAUGUUAAAUUUAUACUUCCCUCUUCUAUAAGAUGCUUGAAUUACAACUCACUCCCUUAAUAAUUAAAUACGGACUACACUUUAAUCUAUUUUAACAUAAAUAAAUAUUUUUUUAAUAUAUAUUAAUUUAGAAUCACCAUUUAAAAAAUAUAAAUUCGUUUCUUUAUAACCUAAAUCUCAAUGACAAUUAAAUUUAAAUAUUUUGUUAUUAAUUUUAUAAUUUAGAGUAUAAAAUUCACUUGUAAAUAAUCAUACUUAAUCUAUUUUAGUAAUUUUUCACGCUUUUUAAUUUUAUUUUGGAUUGUUUCGUAUUUUAUAAUAAAGUUUAAAACUAUAUGUUAAUGAAAUUGUGAAUAAGAAAUAGAGAAAGAUAUGCAUUCAAAAUUUGAUUACAUUAUAAUGAACUCGCAAUGUUAUUUUUCUUUGAAGUGUGUUAGAUAAAAAAAUUUGCUAGUUUAUUAGAAAUAAAAAAAUUAUUGAGGGACUAAAACGUAGAUUUUAACAUAAGAGAGAAAAAUAAUGUAAUUUAAACAUUUAUCAAGUGAAGGGAGUGAAAUAUCUUUUAAUAUAUUUUGAAUAAGAUGUGAGGAAAAUGUAUAGUUUAACAUAAGACUAUAGUGUAAUUCAAACAUUUUAAGAAAAGAUAGAAGAAUUUAGACAUCAUUUCAUCAAAACAAAAAAUCAGACAUAAUUGUAAAUAUUUUUAUAUUUAAUAUUUAAUUUAGCUAAAUUAGUGAUAGUGUCAGAUAAGACAAGACAAUAGAAGGACAGAAAGGAGUACUGUGAUCGAGAUAGCUGCUGCGACGACGACGACGCGAUCAUAUUUCUCAGUUUCUUCCAACAAAUCCAAACAAAGCAAACCCUUCUCUAUAAUCAUGUAAAUUCUUCAUCUUUUCUGUUAUCUCUCACCACCCUUUUCAUAUUUCAUCAUUUUUUUUUAUCGAUUUUUUUUUUUGGGUACAGCGUAACGUUGAUCAUAAUCUUCAGAGGUUUAUGCGAUGAUGAUGGCAAAUAACUUACCGGGUCAACUUGUUGGAUCAGAGAUACAUGGAUUCCACACAUUGCAAGGUAAGCUUCCUACUUCACUCCAGCUUCAAAUGUUUUUUCCAGUUUCAAUUUUAAUGUAUAUAAAGAUAUAGUAAUUAGUGCCAAGUAUAUCAAUGAUGUCAAUAUUACUAGAUAAUAGAUUCUCAUACACAAUUUUAAGACGAGUUGUUAUUGUCAAAUCGUUUAGGAGAACACGAGUUUGAAUCUUGGCUGGAACAGUCCUCUCCCAUCCUAACUCUGGAUUAGUAGAGUUCGCUUCCCAUGAGAACUGGAGGGUUGAUACUAAAAAAAGAUUGUCAAACACAAUGUCCCAACGUUUAGUGGGUUGGUCCCUUGAUCCAAUAAUUAAAUCAUAUGGAAAGUGCAAUAUUGCAUUAAUUUUAAUUUUUUUUAGGGCAUAUGAAUAGAAAACGGGUAAAAAAUUAAAUUUCAGUAUUGGAAUAUGAGGAAGUGGCUCUGUCUAAAUUUAUUUUCAACAUGGUAGUAGAAUGGUGUAGUAGAAAUCCAUUGUUUUUAAUAUCGGGUUCGAAGUAUGUUGUUCCCUUUUUCUUCUUCGCACUGCAAAUCUUACAUGUAUUACUUAUUACCCUGUCAUUGAUCAAUAUUAAAUCACCCCCGUUUACUUGUUUUGAACUUUUUAUUUUAUAUGCCUCAGACCUGGAUGUUGCGAGCAUUACGGAGGAAGCAAGAACAAGAUGGCUUCGUCCCAAUGAAAUUCAUGCCAUGCUUUCUAAUCACAAGUAUUUUACCAUCAAUGUCAAGCCAAUGAAUUUGCCUAAAAGUAAUUAUCUGUUGCUAUUAAUAGUAUCCUGAUGUUUGUGAAGAAGAAAUGCAGCAUUUUUAUUCUUCCCUGCCAUUCAUUUUCUCGUAGACUGUUUGUCAUCUAAUCGUAUUUGUUUUUGUCUUUUUAUUCUGUAUUUCUUAAUUUCCAUAAUGCAGCUUACCUGCUGAUAAUAGAAAGUAGUCCGUUAGAAUUUUGAACCAGAGCAUUUUGUGAUUCGUAGCUUGUUUUGGACAGUAUUAUAGAUUUUUUAUUAGUUAUUUUUCAUCUAAGUAAUAGGUUUUUUCUAUAAACAGUUAGAUGAUGUCAAAUCUCCACUGUCAGUGUCAUCUUAUUAUUACUACUAAUUUUUUGUGUAUAAACAGGUGGUACUAUUGUAUUGUUUGACCGCAAGAAGCUUCGGAACUUUAGAAAAGAUGGGCACAACUGGAAAAAGAAAAAGGAUGGAAAAACUGUUAAAGAAGCUCAUGAGCACUUAAAAGUGAGGAUUUUCAUUUUUGUGGAUGUUUACGUUUGUGUUAUUGUUAUUAUUGGUUCUGGUUAUAGAUCAAGUGAUUAAUAUCAUAUCUGAUUUUUUAUCUUUCUUUUCUCCACCAAUCAGGUUGGUAAUGAAGAAAGGAUCCAUGUAUAUUAUGCACAUGGUCUAGAUAACCCAAAUUUUGUUCGUAGAUGUUAUUGGCUGCUUGACAAGUAUGUAAACCAACCGUUAACUAUAUUUUUGAAUAAUUUUGAUGUUUUAGUAACUGUACUUCUCAAAUUCUUGUAUCUAUUGGUAAGAGAUUAUAAUUCUUGUAUCUUUUCAGGAGCCUGGAACACAUCGUCCUUGUUCAUUAUCGUGAAACACAAGAGGUCUGUGUAAAUCACUUGAACUAUUUUUGUUCCUUACAAAAAGCUUAAUUUUGCCUCACAACACAAAUCAUAAUUUAUCUGUGCCACAUGUGUAUUGUUUUAGCCGAAAUAAGGACCAUAUAUGUAUGCUGCCAUUGGUCAGUUUGAAAUUCACUGAUCCUCGGGUAUAUAAUGUAGGUUUAGCCGUUUGAACAUGUCUCAACUACACCACGAUCAACUCCAUAAAAAAUUUCCUUGCAGCAAAAAUGUCUUUUCGAUUGGUCUGGUUGGAGAUUUUAUUUGUUGUCCGUGUGUAGUGUGCAGUCUCUUUUGUUAUUGGGUGUUAAGAAGCAGCUUGUAUAGCUCCAUUUACCAUUACUUGCAUGUGAAGGUAGAAUCCAAGUCCAACAAUGAAUCUGUAGGCAUAACAGAUAUGAUGAUUGAUUAGAGCUUUAACAGUUGAAUAGUACUACAAGUGGAAUAACCAUUCUAUUUUAGGUUUCAAGUUUGUCUUAUUUCAUUUGUUGAUGAUAGUUUCUCAAUUAAAAUAAGUCUACAUUACGAAAAGUAUUUAUGAGCUUAUAGUUGUAUAUGAAUAUAUCAAAUGAGAGGGCCUUUGAGAAAUUGAGAUGCUUAAGCUAAUUUAACUUUUGCCACAGGCUAUUAUAUAUAAAACUUGUGAUCAUUGCUAUUUUUUUUAUCCUAUAAGUUCUUCUAGGGAAUUGUAUUCAAACUAUUUCUAAAUGUUGACACAACCACCAUUAGUUCAUUGCGGUUAUUAAUUUGCAUUAAGAUUGCUAAGUAUAGUUUUAUGUGAAGGUUGUUUCUUGCUACAAUAUUAAAAAAGGAUGUAUAAUUAUGUAUAUCCCACUCAUUGUUUCAUUAUGUUGAAAGCUGUACCAAUUUCACCGUCCAGUCUUCUUUUGGAAAUUUGAACAAUAUAGCUCUUCUGUUUUCUCUAUAAACAUAAAACAUACUUUUGGAAUGAUUCCUACGUAACUCAUCAGUGCUAGGAUGUUAUGUAGUUUCUAUUUGUGCAAGACACUUAAAAUCCAUAGUUAUAAUCAGAUGUAAAUCCAUGCUUGAAGGGAUAUUUAUGCUUUAAAGUUCGAUAUGAGAAUGAACAAAACAUGGCUUUAUAACUUUCUUUGACUCGUGGCUCAUGAUACAGUUUCAGGGUUCUCCCAUCACUCCCGUAAAUUCAAACUCUACUACUGCUUCUGACCCAUCUGCACCAUGGCUUUUGUCAGAAGAAAUAGAUUCAGGGACCAAAACUGCAUAUGCUGGUGGUGAGUAAUAAUUUUUAUAAAUAUUCUUUUUUGCAGCUUUCUACUUACAAAUCAUGCUACUGGAAGUAUAGAUGUCAAUGGGGUGGGAUGGGAGCUGGGAGUCUUCCCCUACUCUCUGUCCUGUGGGAUCUUCUAUCAGUACAAUUAUAUUUUAAUAAAAAUGUUAUUAAAAAUAUGUGCCUCUAUGUAAGAUAAUUGCACAUAAAUUCCUUCCAACUCAUUUUGUUCUGCUCAUAUUUCCAUCCAAAGGAAAUAUAAGAUAAGAGUUUCUUUUUUGGCUCACAUGGCGAUAUACAUAUAUGGUCAAAUUGUUGAUGCCUUGAUUAUAUGAAAAAAAGUGUUGACAGCCUAACUUUUUUGAAAAAUAUGGCAACAUUGUUGGAUUUACUAGACACAGUAUAUAUUUUCAUCCGUUAUGUUUUGGAAAUGGACAGAGAUUAAUGAAAAUAUAACAGUCAAAAGCCAUGAACUGAGGCUUCACGAGCUUAAUACACUUGAAUGGGAUGACCUAGUCGUAGCAAACGAUCUUAACACCUCUGUUGUGCCUAAUGGAGGUAAAUGGUGAUUGAUUAUGCUUUAACACUACCAGUUACAUGUCUGAAAAGCACCAUAGUUAUUAUAAUUUUGUAUUAUUGUUUUGCAGGAAAAGUUCCCUAUUUUGAUCAACAAAAUCAAAUUUUACUGAAUGACAGUUUUAGCAAUGUAAGAUUAGCUUGUUUCUUUUUCAAUUUAUACACUUUUCCUUUGCUUCUUUUCUUUUUUUCUUCCAUUUUCUGGAGAUACUUGAUUUGUAAUAGCUGCUGUUGUAAUCUACAUAUGAUUAUCUCACCAGGUAGUCAACAAUGCAUCUGCAGAAAUUCGUACGUUCAAUAAUUUAACCCAGCCAAUUGCAGUGAGCAAUAGUAUUCCAUACAAUUUUUCAGAAAGUGUUACUCUUCAGACAAUUAGCAAUCAAGGAUAUCAAAAUGAGCAGAGGAACCAUCCUGUCUCUUCAAGUGGUGUUGAUUCCUUAAACACUUUGGUCAAUGACAGAUUGCAAAGUCAGGACAGCUUUGGAAUGUGGGUGAACCAAUUCAUGUCUGAUUCCCCUUGUUCAGUUGAUGAUUCUGCUCUUGGAUCCUCAGUUUCAUCCGUUAAUGAACCGUAUUCAUCUCUGGUAGUGGACAAUCAGCAACUUUCCCUUCCAGAACAAGUAUUUAAUCUUACCGAUGUGUCCCCUGCGUGGGUGUCUUCCACAGAGAAAUCAAAGGUUUCCUUUUCCUUUGUUCGUGUAUCUACUUAGUAGCAAUUAUAUCUUUUUUAACAGUUAUGACUAGUUAAUUUCUCGGUCUUUUCAUUCAAUCUUAACCGUAGAAUUCCAAAGCUGUAAACUGUGGAAUAUAAACUCCGUGAAGAAUAUGCACAUCUUAAUGUGUAUACUUUGAAGCACUGACACGGACACCGCAUUCAGCACCGGUAAUAAUUUGAGAAAAUUGAAUUAUUGAAUGUACCCACAUGUGUCAGACACCGACACAUAUUGAAUACCGGAUAUGCCUUCAAUUUGAAGUGCCAAUGCUGCAUAGGUGUAUAAAUCAUAAUUUGAAGUGUCAGUGCCUUCAAUUUACUUAUUACAUGUUAUUUUACAAUUUUCACUAAACUUUCUAGGUUCCUUUACUUCGUGCAGAUCCUAGUGACCGGACUCUUUCAUAAAGACUAUCUGCACCUCCCAAAGUCCAAUCUAAUAUGUGUAUGUGGUGAUGCAAGUGUUCCUGCAGAAAUUGUUCAGGAUGGGGUAUACCGUUGCUGGGUGCCACCGCAUUCUCCAGGAUUUGUGAAUCUCUACUUGAGCUUUGAUGGCCAUAACCCUAUCAGCCAAGUUGUUACUUUUGAGUAUCGUACUCCUGUUUUGCAUGAUCCAGUAGCUUCUAUGGAAGAGAAGAACAACUGGGACGAGUUUCAACUUCAAAUGAGGCUUUCUUAUUUGCUCUUUGCUAAACAACAGAGUCUUGAUGUCAUCUCUAGUAAAGUAUCACUUAGUAGACUAAAGGAGGCAAGGGAAUUCUCCUUAAAGACAUCAUUUAUUUCCAAUACUUGGCAAUACUUAAUGAAGUCAACUUUAGACAACAAAAUUCCAUUUUCGCAAGCUAAAGAUGCUCUGUUUGGAAUUGCAUUGAAAAACAGAUUAAAGGAAUGGCUUUCAGAAAAAAUUGUUUUAGGAUGCAAGACUACUGAAUACGAUGCGCAAGGACAAAGUGUCAUCCAUUUGUGUGCAAUUUUGGAAUAUACAUGGGCAAUUACUUUAUUUUCAUGGUCAGGCUUAUCACUAGAUUUCCGGGAUAAAUUCGGAUGGACUGCUCUUCAUUGGGCAGCAUAUUACGGCAGGUAUAAUACAUAAACACCAUGCUUGUUCAAACAUGUUAGUUAUAUAAUAUAAAAAUGAUUCAUAUGCCUUUACCUAAUUGUGUAUGUUUAUGUAAUAGUAGGCGCACAACAUGACUUGCUGACCAUGUUUGUCUAAAUUUAAAUUCUUUCCGGCCUCUUUCUUCUAAUAAAAUGUUAACUUUUAAUCCAAGGUAAGUGAGCCGGUGCAUUGUCCACGCUUCAAGUCCAAAUGACUCAUGUGCAAGGGGGUGUAUUAUAUAUAAUUUAAAAACCAUUCAUAUCUUCACGUAAUGGAUUUUUAAGCCUUUCGAGUAGUUGGUUGACUUGGUUCAUGACAACACCAUUAGUUCUAAUGUAAACAUUGGCCUAAGAAUCCAUUUCUUACAUGGUUCCAGCAUCCGAGUUCCUUUCUGUUUAUAGAUAACUAGAGAUUAUAAUAACCUAUAUGAAUGUAGAAUGAAUUUAAGUAAAAUAGGGUCAUGGAACUCUGAAUGAAAUAUUUUGUUCUAUAUUUGAUUUAAACAUUGUGUCUUCAGGGAGAAAAUGGUUGCAACUUUGUUGUCAGCUGGGGCAAAGCCAAACUUGGUCACGGAUCCAACUCACCAAAACCCUGGUGGAUGUACUGCCGCUGAUCUUGCUUAUACGAGGGGUUAUCAUGGCUUAGCAGCUUAUCUUUCGGAAAAGUCUCUAGUUGAGCAGUUCAAUGACAUGAGCUUAGCUGGAAAUAUCAGUGGCUCACUGGAAACUAGCACGGAUGAUCCAGUAAAUUCCGAGAACCUUACCGAGGAGCAGCUCUAUGUGAAAGAUACACUGGCAGCUUACCGGACAGCUGCCGAUGCAGCAGCACGCAUACAAGAAGCAUAUAGGCAGCAUUCCUUAAAGUUACAAACAGAGGCGGUUGAGUUUUCCAGCCCAGAAGCUGAAGCGCGCAAAAUAGUUGCAGCAAUGAAGAUUCAGCAUGCCUUCCGCAAUUUUGAGACAAAGAAAGUGAUGGCUGCUGCUGCUCGAAUACAACAUAGAUUCCGUACAUGGAAGAUUCGUAGAGAUUUUCUCAACAUGCGCCGUCAAGCUAUCAAGAUUCAAGUAAGAGCUACACUUACUGCCUUCAUCAUUGCCGAUAUUUUGUAGCGAGACACGUUAUUUAUAUCAUUUUUAAACUGAUCAAGUGAAUUAAGAUUGAUUUCAAUUGAUCCUUUAUUCGUCAGUUCAGCAACUAAGCUUUAACAAAUCAAUUGAUACAAUGCAGGCUGCUUUCAGGUGCUUUCAACAACGGAAACAAUAUUGUAAAAUCAUUUGGUCAGUUGGCGUGGUUGAGAAAGCAGUGUUGCGUUGGCGUUUAAAGAGAAAGGGCUUCCGUGGGCUCCGGCUUAAUACCGAGGAAGAAUCGGGAGAUCAGAAUCAGCAAAGUGAUGCAGAGGAGGAAUUCUUUCGGACUGGUAGGAAACAAGCCGAAGAACGUGUCGAGAGAAGUGUAAUUCGAGUGCAGGCUAUGUUCCGUUCUAAGAAAGCGCAAGAAGAUUACAGGAGGAUGAAGUUGGCCCUUAAUCAAGCAAAGGUAGUAACAGCUAAUUUUAAUUUGAUUAUUAUUCCUAGGAAUUGGAGAAUUUGCUUUUGUGCCCUAUGUGUUCUUACUUGUAGAAUAUUCCUUUGUACAGCUGGAACGGGAAUAUGAAAAAAUGCUCAGUAAUGAAGUUGACAUGAAAAUGAAGAGGUAGUUUAGCCGAAGUUCUUAAAAAUGUUGUUAUUGUUAGGAUGCACACUCAGCAGAAUGUGAAUGAAGGGAGGUUGGUGUUGUUUUUGUAUAUCAAAUAGACUGUAAAUUCCCUUCUUUAAUAUCCUUCCAUUGGUGAUUGGCCUCUAUAUGCCGUCCCAAAGUUGGACCUCGAAAACCGGAGCUUUAAGCACCCUGGCUGAGAAAAUUAUCAUAUUUGUAUUGAUUUUAGCUAUUAUGUGCCAGCAUGUCUUAAAUAAUUAACAUGUAUAAAGACAUUUUUACUUGGUACACAUGAUCAGUUAUCUCUAAUGUUUGUUGUUAUGGUACAUUGGAAAAAAAGCUAAAAGCAGGAAAAGGGAGACUUCUCUCAAAAAAAAAAAAAAAGGAAAAGGGAGACUAAAUUGCAGGAAAAUGGGGCUAUCUUUGGUGACUUUGCCCCUCUCUCUUAACUUAACUUUCUCACACAUCUGAAUAAUUUGAGGAGUAUUAUUUGAACAACCAAUUUGGUGACAACUUAUUUGACAACCAUAUUUUACAAAGAAAAAAGUGGUAUUGGCACGGAAACCAUAGCAAUAGAGAGACAAAAAUAAUGUGGGUAUGUGAGAGAAAGUUGUUGCAAAAGUUGUCAUUAAAUGGAUGUUCAAAUAUCAUUUCUCGAAUAAUUUAUUAUAAUCAUCAACAUAUCUAUAAAAUGCACUAAAGGUACCAAAUAGUGUCCUCGUGAGUUUAGUUCAGUUGGUAGAGACAAGACAUAAUAUGCAAGAUCUGGAGUUCAAACCCCGGCCAUAACUAAAAAAAAAGGUACUAAAUAGUAAAGGUAGAGAAUCCUUCCCCCAAAAAUGGUCUUCGUAACAUCUGAGAGCAGAGGUGAAGACAGAUGAGACGGGAUACUCCAAAACAAUGAAUUUUGUGAAGACAUAUGAGACAGGAUACUCCAAAACAAUGAAUUUUUAUUUGUAAGAUGCUCCACACUUCAUAAAGAAGUAAGCACAUAAUACAGUUGGUAGUCCAAGUAAGUGCAAGUACUUUCUUCGUUUUAGAAAAAGUGUUUACUUCCUCCGUUUUAAAAUAAAUGUCACUUUAACAAAAAAAGAUGUUUUAAAAUGAAUGUCAUUUACGAUAUGAGCAAUGGUGAUGCGAACAAUUGGUUGAUUCCCUAAUAUAAUGGAAGAAGUUUUCAUCCCCUUCCAAUCCAAGCACCUUUAUUAGCCAACUUUAAUCCAUGAACAAGACCUCGUGAAUCUGCCAUAGCCGAAGGAAAACGGCCAAGAUUACAAGUAAAACCAUGAAUAUAACCACCCUUGGUGUCUCGGAUGAGACCUCUGCAUUCUGGAGUGGCAGAGUGACCAAUAUAUGAGUCAUUUGUGUUAAGCUUGAAAACAUUGGAUGGAGGUCGGAUCCACUUAAUAUUUGAUCAGAUGUUUACUAUCUUUAACAUAAAAGGGAGGACGAACAAUUGUUUUGUUUUUUUAAUGACAUUAUAGUGCCGGUUAUUAUUGGUUUGUUUAUUGUUAUACUUAUAAGCUAACUAACCAAAUCUUACACGAGUUACACUAGAAUGGUCGGUAAGAGGGAUGGUAUCAAGCAAGAGACAAAGAAAUUUAAAAAAAAAAAGUGAAUUUCUUUUAAGGAAAAAAAAAGUGAAUUUUGUAUGGGAAAGAUCGUUUUUUAACUUUUAAGAGAUUGAUUAUGCAAAUUCCAAAAUAAAGGAGCACGUUAGCAUUUUCUUUUAAAAUAAUAUUAAUUUUGAUUACUCAUUUAAGUAUAUCUGAUCCAAAAGAAAUAAAUAUCUGUUUUUAUGGAAAAAUAAAUAUAAAUAUCUCUAAACAUUAGGCAAAAAAAAAUAUAAAGAUCUUUAAACAUAUAGUACUAUUUUUCUUUUAUUUUAUUUUUAAAAAAAUAAACGAUAUUUAUUCAUUUAAAUUAAUAAAGUACAUUGAUACAAUAUAAAUUAGCUAAAAAACAUAUAUAUAUGCGAACAAACUCACAACAUUCAUCUAAAUUGCAUAAAACACCGUAACAAGACGCGAAAGUAAAAUGUCACACAACGGCGAACAAAACAACAUCGCACUAACAUGACAAAUUUCAUAAAAAAAAUUAAUAUACGUGAAAAUCACUUAUUUAAAUUGAUAUUUGGGAGAUUUCAAGUAAAAGUUAACAUUAAAUCAUCACUUCUUUAGUGGAUGAAUGAGAAACAUAUGUUUAGAAAAUGAGAAUUGUUGUUCCCACAUUUGAUAGGGCUGUGGCACACGAGUAAUUUACGUUUUUGCCCCCUCGGCAGUUAACUGCCGAGGAAUUAGAAAUCCGGCUGCAGUUAACUGCCGAGGAAAUCUGAACAUAAUCAUACGCAGAACCAGAACCUUUCCAUUUCCAAAACAUCUUCAAAAUUCACAAUUUCUCUCCAAUCUUCACCAAAUCCAUUUUCACGAAUUGCAAGCAAAUCAACUGCACAUUAUCACAAGUAAGUUGUGUCAAUCAUUUUAAUGAUAAUGUUAAUUUGUUUAGGUUAAUUUUUAAAAAAAAAUUAGAGUAGUUUGCAUGUGGUUAGGGUUAAUUUUAAAAUUGACAAUUUGAUGAUUGCAUGUGUAGUUUAGGAAUUGAUAAAUGAAUGUAGUUGUUGCCUAUGUUGUUUAAAUCAGAAUGUGGCUUUGAAUGGUGGCAAAUGAACACAAUUUGAAUAUGUUUUAUGCUUUGCACACAAAGUGUUUGAUAAAAUGCCUCAAUGACAAUUUUAUUGAUUAUGUAGUUAGUUUAGGUUAUGGAAAUGAUAGAAAUGAUGUUAAUUAUAGUUUGGUUAAAUGUAUAUUGAUUUUUUAGUUAGUGUAGGUUACGAGAAUUAUGAUGGACACAAAUGAUUAAGUGUAUGUUAAAUAAUGAAUGAUGUUUAGGUUAUUAUGGAAAUGAUGGACAUAAAUUUUAUUGUAAUGUUGAUUAUAUUAAAUGAUUUUAGGUUAUGGAAAUGAUGUUCAUUGUUGUACUUUUAAUGAGUUUGAUUAUGUUCAUGUUUAGUUUAGGUUUAACGUGUUUGAUUAGGUUAUGGAAAUGAUGUUAAUUUUAUUAUUUUUUGUGUAGAUAUGGCCGAUCAGGACCCCAUUGAUCCAUCUAAAAUGAUUGGUGGUUGGCGUGCGAUGACCCAAAGCCAUUGGAGGGAGAGGCAGAGCGGCCACAUCCCAAAGAGGGGUAGAGGUCGGAGGGGAGAUGGUUCAGGGAGUUCUCAUGCUACACAGCCUGAAGCGUCACAGGUUGUUGACCCGUCACAGUUUGUCGACCAGUCUGAGUUGGAGUGCCUGAAUUAUCAGGAUCAGGUACACCACGAUGUGACUGAUGGUAGGUAUGACCAGGAUCAUAUACCACAGCAGCAGCAUGUAGGAGAUGAUGAAGACAUUGCAGCAACUGCUGCCCCGGAGGUGUUACCUGUGGACCCUCCCUUUCCUGCAGGACCGGCAGACUUAUCUUUGCUGCACUCUUAUGCCAAUCAUGUGGCGUUGCCGCUUCGAUAUAAUUCAGAUAACGUAAGUGUAAUUUUUUUAAAUGUUUUUUCUUUAUGUUUAAUUAUUUUCUUGGUCAAAUGCAUCUAAAUGUCCUUUAAGUUUUUCAUUUUUCCCAAAGUGGUCCUGUAAGUUUCAAAAGUCCCAAACAAGUCCUUUUAGUUUUUGAAUCGUUUCAAACAAGUCCUAUUGUAGAUAGCAUAGUUGGUAAUUGCUUCCUUGAACUCAUCUUUGGUACCAAAUCUGAUUCCUAACACCCACUUAAAAUUAGUCUUUUUAGGCAUGGCAAACGGUGGAUAAUGCUAUUUGUUACUAUCAUCUGAAUCAUCACCAUCAUCCUUUAAAAGGACUUGUUUGAAAUGAUUCAAAAACUAAAAGGACUUGUUUGAGACUUUUAAAACUUAAAGGACCACUUUGAGACUUUUAAAACUUAAAGGACGACUUUGGAAAAAACGAAAAACUUAAAGGACCUUUAGAUGCAUUUGACCUAAUAUGUGUGUUUGUUUAAUUAUUAUAUCCACUUUUAUAUGUGUUUUUUUUAAAUGUUUUUUCUUUAUGUUUAAUUAUUUUCUUUAUAUGUGUGUUUGUUUAAUUAUUAUAUCCACUUUUAUAUGUGUUUUUUUUAAAUGCUUUUUCUUUAUGUUUAAUUAUUUUCUUUAUAUGUGUGUUUGUUUAAUUAUUAUAUCCACUUUUAUAUGUGUUUUUUUUAAAUGCUUUUUCUUUAUGUUUAAUUAUUUUCUUUAUAUGUGUGUUUGUUUAAUUAUUAUAUCCACUUUUAUUUAUAUGUUUUUUUUAAUUCUUUUAUUUAUGUUUAAUUAUUUUCUUUAUAUGUGUAUUUGUUUAAACUUUGUUUAUUUUUCUAUUAUUUCAGGUUCGUAAGCUCCGUGUGGUAAAACUGAUUAAUCAUGGGGCUAAGAUCUUGAGUCUCAGAUGCCCAAACAGGAAUCAGGAUUGGUUUUGGGAUCCGCUUAGGGAGAGCGGGUUGCAUGACUUGGUUUACCUGGGCUACGCCACUGUGUCUCAUGCCCUGCUGAUGACUCUAUGCGAGAGGUGGUAUCUCGAGACCAGCACAUUUCACAUUCCCUUGAGGGAGAUGACUGUGACCUUGGAUGAUGUCGCAUGUCUGACGCAUCUUCAAAUUGGAGGGCGGAUGUUGAGCCAUGGGAAGAAGAUGCUGAAACAUGAGGGAGCGGCACUACUUAUGAGGCACUUGGGUGUGUCGCAGCAGGAGGCGGACAAAAUUUGUGGGUAGGAGUACGGUGGGUACAUUAGCUACCCGAGGCUGAGGGACUUAUAUACGAGGUACCUUGGUAGGGCCAACGUAUUGGCUGAUACGGAGGAGCUGGAGAGGGUUAGGACUUAUUGCGUGAGGUGUUACCUUCUCUACUUGGUUGGAUGCUUGUUGUUUGACGAUAGAAGCAACAAACGCAUUGAGUUGGUCUAUCUGACGACCAUGGAGGACGGCUACGCAUGGAUGCGUAAUUAUUCCUGGGGAGGAAUGACACUCGCAUACCUAUACGAUGAGUUAGCUGAGGCGUGUAGGCAUGGAGACAUAGCUCUUGGGGGGAGCGUGACACUGCUCAUUGUAAGAAACUUAUAAACGUGAACCUUAACUUUUAAUUUUUUGUUAUAUUUUUUCGUGCGUAAUAAUUUAUAAAUGUGAUUUGUUUGGUUUGUGCAGGCAUGGUUUUUGGUGCAUUUUCCUGGCCUUUACAGUGUUGAUCCCAACACUGACUACAUGGAAAACUAUCCGGUUGCAGCGAAGUGGAAGCUUUAGAAGGGUCACGGAGAGGGGGUCACGUAUCGGUCACUACUUGAUCGUAUACAGUUUGAUGACGUAUGCUGGAGGCCGUACGAAGAGCACAGAGAGAUCCAGGAUUUUGAGGAGGUUUUCUGGUAUUCUGGCUGGAUUAUGUGCGGUGUUUGUAGGGUGUACCGUCACUUGCCCGAGAGGGUUUUGAGGCAGUACGGAUACGUCCAGACCGUCCCCAGACAUCCGACGGAUGUUGUAGAGUUGCCACCGCCUCAUAUUGUGCAGGCGUUCGUCGACUUCCGCACUCACACGCUUAAGGCAGCCGAUUGGGGUGAGCAGGCAGGAGAGCAGACAUGGCGGAUGGCGGAUGGCUAUGUGUUAUGGCACACUAGGGUGUCUCACCCUCAUAUUUUGUCACCUCUUCCAGGAGAUCUUCCGAGGCCAGCAAAUGAAGAGCAGAUCAUUGCACAGCAGUGGGAGCGGUAUGAGGCGAGAAGCUCGCCUGACACCUAUGACAUGGUUAGUGCCGCUGAUGCACAGAUGGGCCAGGAGGUCAUGAGCCCUCUACAGUGGUUUCAGGCCAUGAGCCAUAUGAGGGAGCAGAUCGAGCCGAUUUUGACCAGGAGGCGGGGCCAGAGGCCGAGGAGGAGGCACCAUCAGCAAGACCAGGACCAGGACCAGUAGUAGUACUUUGUUUUUUAGGACUUGUUUUUUAGUUUUGGUGUUUUCAUGACAUUGAUUUGUAUAUUUGUACUUUAAUGACAUUACUUUUAAUUUCAUGGGAUUUUUUACUUUGUUUAAUGUAUAAAAAUGUUGGUUUAAUUAAGUUGUGCAUUUGCGCCAAUAUUUUUUUGUGAUUUGAACCGUUAUGAUGAAUUUCAAACGUUUGUGUAAUUUCAACCAAAUGUCGGUUUGAUUUAAUUAUGAAUAAUUGUAAAAGAUAUUGUAUUUUUCUUGUUUAUGUCCGAGUUUCAAUGUUGUAUAGAUUAUUUUGCCUUUCGAAAUGCUCUGUUUUAAUUACAGGUAAAAACUGAUCGAAAAAAUGGCUUGAAAAUAUUUUAGAAUCAUGCAGAGCUCACUGUCUGCAUAAUUUGUUUUCCUCGGCAGUUAACUGCAGCCGGAUUUCUAAUUCAUCGACAGUUAACUGUCGAGGGGACAAAAACGUAAAUUACUCGUGUGCCACAACCUUAUCAAAUGUGGGAACAACAAUUCUCUUAGAAAAUUGGGCGGAGGCUGAAGAGAAAAAGUUGGUAGGAGUAUUUUUUUUUUUUUUUUAAUGGUCUAGUGGCUGGAGCUCACACUAUUAAAUGUGGAGAAGUGGAGUGUUCGGACCCCAGCCCUUGCAUAAAUUAUGCAAUGUCCCUACCAACUGAGCUAAGCUCGCGGGAACGAUAUGAGUAUUUUUCUAUACACGCUCGAAAUCGAAUUUCUAACUAAUACAUACUCAAGGGUACUGUAGAAAGAAAACUAUAUAUUUAAGAGACCUAAUUGUCAGCCAAUCGUGUUGUACUUAUACCAUACCAUCUUGACAAAGAGGGACAACUAUCAUAUUCAACAUCAUUGAUACCAAGUGUCCUAACAUUACUGCAGCCUCCUAUUAAAAAAAAAACAUCACUGCAACCAAAGUAUUUGGCUUCUGAACGAAGAUUAUGAAUAAAUGUCCUGAAGAUUGUUAACCAAAGGAAAAAACACUGCCCAACAAACACAAAGCAUUUGUAACAUUCAAGCCACUAUUAUUAAUUCUGCAAUUUUAAUAACCGAUAUAGACUGCAACACAAAUUUUCACCUCCUACAUGCGUGUUUCAGAACUAACAAAACUGCCAUUUAACUAUUAUUAUCCAAUUUACAUGAGCAAAGUAUAAAACUACAAUGCUAAUGUCGAAACUGUAUCAGCACAAUGAUAUAAUCGAGUACUACGAGCAAACUUGAACCGUAUCCCUAUUUAAUAUACUGAGAAAGCCACUGAAAGCCUUCACCAUAUCCCAUCUUGCGAACAAUACUACACAUGAACACCUCCAAAGGACGGACAUUGGAGUCAGAAAGAUUAAUUUUGCCCUUGCCUGUAGUGAAGUUAGUCAAGCCCAAAUGAUAACGUAACUCAUCCUCUGAUGCAGCAUAAGUAAUGUCUAUCUUGUUUCCUAAGAUAAGGAAAGGUACAUUUCCUAGUGAUUCAUCAGCAAGAAGAGCAUCCAGCUCCUUCUUUGAUUCUGGAAAUCUCUCCUUGUCAAAUGCAUCAACCAGGUAGACUACAGCAUCCACCUGUACCAUAUAAAAUCUACAAUUAACAUGAAAGCCAUAAUCUACCGACAUAUAUGAUUACAUCCACACUCACACGACAUAGUACAUAUGAUUACGCUUGUUCAAAACAAAAAAUACAUAUGAUUACAUUAAGGACACUUGUACAAAACCAAACACAUACAUGAUUCCAUUCAAGACUGAAAAUUCAGAGUACAGAUGUGUUAGGUUUCCAACACAUCGGUUACAUUUAAUCACUUUCAUUUUCUUAAAACUAUUAUUGGUGUAUACGUGUGUCGGUUAUUCAUAGCGCAGUUACAAUGCACCUAUAGAACACUGACAGUAUACAACAAGUAGCCAUGAAACCAAGCAUAAGUGUUUUUAAAAACAAAUACAAUAUGUUCCUAUUUGAAGGAUAUCAGACACUAAAUAUGGGUUACUCUCCUUAACUAGGAAUCACCUUGAUUCGCUAGCUAUUGUAUUUUAAAAUAUUCUAUGAAAUUAAAAAUAUUCAAUUAUGUUAGUAGUUUUGGACCACUCAAUUAAAGUGUAUGUUUGAUAUCACGGUGGGAAUGUCAGAAUGACGGCGACCCACGGUUAUUAUGGCAUACUAGCCAUGAUACAAAACAUGCGGUUGAGAAUUUUAAAAUUCAGAAUUUCAUUAAUUUCAAUAACCAAAUUGCAUCAGCCAACAAUUUCAGUAACAAUUCACUGAAUUAAUUACCUGAGCGUAAUAGUCCCUCCAGACCCUACGAGCAAUUUGGUGACCACCCAAAUCAAAAGCUUUAAACUUUAUCCUCCCAAUACUCAAUUCUUCCGAAGUCGGAUGUUGUGUUGGUUGAUGCUGAACUAAUCUCUGCAAAAUAUUUCAAUUACAAUCUAUGAAACACGGAUACGGACACUAACACGACACGGACACGCCGACACAGCUAAUAAUUUGAAAAAUUCACAUAAUUAAGUGUGUAAUUACAAGUGCCGGUGUCGUGUCGUGUCGGACACGUGUCUGACACCGGGACAUGUUUAAUCCUAAUAGCGUCCGUGCUUCAUAGAUUACAAUUAACUAAUACUUCUUGAGCAAUGAAUAAUUGCAUGAUCAAAAAAACAUCAUCAUAAAAUAAAAAAAUACCUCGUCUUUAAGCAUGUGAAGCAAAGUCGUUUUGCCAGCAUUAUCCAACCCUAAAAAUAAAAUUUUGGCCUCUUUUUGCCACAGACCAAGGGUAGCAAGAAUUCCAUAAAACCAAUCAAAAACAAACAUUUUAUUCAACCGGAAAUUUCAGAGACAAAAACAAACACUUUUUCUUUCUUUUUUAUGUUGCACAAUAGUUUUUGUCUUCAGCGUAUAUAUAGUGGAGGGUGAUUCAAUACUUGUUACGGGUGUAGCCGGUAAAUUAUGCGAGGGCCGUGUGGAAUGGUAACUUUGAGUAGCCGGUUAUUGCGAAGAAAUUCCAGUUGUAGGGGUUUGAUUGGUUGGUACGCGUCAUCGGGUGUAAUAAUAUAGUAAUUGUUCAAAUUAAAACCAAAGACCACAGUCACGUCAAAAAACAAACCCACAGAUUUACUCUAAUUAUUAAUAACUUCUUUAAAAAAAACAAAACAAAACUCUAAUUUUUUACUUAAAAGAAACGGUACAGGAUUUUCUCAAUUUUAUUUUUUUGUUGCAGAUUUUCUCAAAUUAUAACCCUGACAAAGUAAAAUAAGGCAUCAAAAUGAAAAAUCAGUUUUACAAUAGCAUUGACUAGUUUUAUUAAAAAAAAAAGCUUAAAUACUAUUUUGGUCCUUUAAGUAAAAGAUUCUUUGAGUACUUUAUCUUUAUCUCCGUUAUCUGUUUUGGUCCUUUUUGUUAAAAAAAUUAAAAAAAAACUUUAGGGUUUAUAUUAUUCAUCUUCUUCCUUCUCCUUCCAUCAUCUUCUUCAUGAUCUUCAUCAUCAACAACACACCAACCCAUAAUUUUUUUUCAUCAAAUCUAUAAACAUAUAAUCCAUUUCAUAACUCAAUCAAUAAUCAAUUUUUCCAUUAAAUUACAUCCCUUUCAAUCUAAACAAUACAAUUUCUCAAUCUCCCUAGACCAAAUCAACCAAAAUCUUCAUAUCUACUCACCACAAUUUUUUUAAAUCCAAAAUCUACGGUGAUAAUUUUGAAGGAAUCCUAACAUUAUUAUUUUUCUGUGACCUCUCCACCUAAGAGCCACCAACAAGCACAAACACCCCUUUACCUCUCCACAUCAGUGAUUCCUUCUUCCUCAUUUCUAUUCCAACAACAACAAAGUCUCACUCACUAUCUCAUCUCACUCUCUCCUUUUAAUUGUUAAUUUUCAUUAUAAAGACAGUGAAUUAAUAAGAUUACAACUGUCUCAACUCUCAAGAUCUAUUUGAUAAUUUUUAAGGAAUUAAUUAGAAUUAUUAAAGAAAAUUUUAAUUAUAAUUUCAAGGUGAAUCCCCAAUAUCAGUUCCUCUUUACUCAACCCAAGCCAAAUCUAAGAAAUUGCAUUAAUGGGUCAAGUAGUAGAAGGAGAAAGAAGAAAGGUUAUUUGCGGAGAUCUAUGGAUCUUAAGAUUGAACAUUUGAAAGUUGAAAUUUUACAAUUUGAUGAGUAGUUAUAAGGUGAAGGUAUUAGUUUAUUGAUAUUUUUAGAGAAGCAUAGCAGUUGUUGUUAUGUCUAGUUGUUGUGGUUUUGGAUUUGGAUUUAAAAAAAAAGUUGUUUGGUAAAUUAAAGUGACUUUUUUUAUGAACAAAUUGGUUGUUGAUUGAGUUAUGAAAUUGAUUAUGUUUAUAGAUUUGAUGAAGAUGAUGAUGAAAAUAUUUUUUUUUUUUGGGUUGGUGUGUUGUUGAUGAUGAAGAUCAUGAAGAAGAUGAUGGAAGGAGAAGGAAGAAGAUCAAUAAUAUAAACCCUAACAUUUUUUUGAAUUUUUUUAACGGAAGGGACCAAAACAGGUAACAGAGAUAAAGAUAAAGUACUUAAACAAUUUUUUUUAGUUAAGGGACCAAAGCGAUACCAAAUAAAUACUUAAGGGACCAAAAGAACAUUUUAGCCAAAAAAAAAAGUAAGUAAAAGAACCAGUUGAAAAAUAGUAUAAUUGAUAAAAAAAAUAUCUUUAAAUUAUCAAAUACGACAAUUAAAUAGAAAUAGCCGUUAAAUUCGUACUUAAAAAAACAAAGAGUUUUUUUUUUCUGAAGGAAAAAAAAAGUAGUAUUAUUUUACAAAAUCUAGUUCAUACAAAAUUACUAGACUGCAUACAAUAGUAUUUUAUGUUCGUUUCUGCUUGGUUGUUCUGUCCUCGAAAAUGUAGCCAUGGUUGAUAUCCUACGACAACUAAAACCAGGAAACCCACGAUACAGUGGAAAACAUGGGUGGGGUCAGUUUUUUUUUUAAUUAAACAAUAAAUAUAAAUUGUUGAUGGAUGGAAAAACAUGGGUCAAAAAAAAAUUGGGAAAGAAAAUUAAUAUAAAUAACAAUGUUAUUAACGACCAUUUUACAACUGUCUCGCGUGGGAUUUGAGCUGUGUCCAUGGACCAUGGAGUCAAACUUUGUUGCUAUUGAACUAAUACUAUUUGAUAAAACAUCUAUGGAGGAGAUUUUACCUUACCAAGUUGUCAGUUGUUCACAAUUGUUGAAGGUAGAACUAGAAGGUAUUGGUGGAUUGGUUUGUGUCGUGGUGAGUGAAGAAGGACAUAUAGGCACAAAGAGAUGUAUGACGGUCACGUGUAGAGCGGUGGUAAGAGAUGUAACAUGCUCGCAAUAUAGCCUAUAGGAGGGAGGUCACGUGAGAGAGAAGAAAGAGGGAGACGAGUCAGAUGAUCACUGUAGUAAGUGGCAACGACCCCCUGUAGGCUGCCAUUGGUGAUUAGUGGUGGUGAAAAUAGUAUUAUAAUUCGAGAGCAUUUAGGUUUAGAGGGAAGCGUGUAAUGCAAAAAUGAGCAGGGAUGAGUAAAAAUAUAAAAAUAAAAAUGAUUUCAUGUUUUUAAAAUUUCAUGGGGCACAAGUGCAUGCCCUAAUAAGGUUUUUUUCUUUCUAAAAAGUUAACAAAAAUAUUAAUUUUGGAUUAAAAUGUAUAUGACUCAACCAACGUCUUUGAAGUCAUGGUCGUGUAUGUUUUGAAAUAAGAGGGGAAAAGAGAAUAAACUAUUUGGGCUUCUCUAAGUUACAGCCUAAUGGGCAAGCCCAUCUCACUCUCCACCCGGUCCAUUUCUUUCAGAGUCACACAUAUAUAAACUCACUCUAUUCUUCUCUGUCAUCUUGUUCCGCCCAGAAAAACCCUAGUUCAACCGCAUCUUCAGAAUUAGGUUUCGCCUUCUUCAAUUUCUUCAUUUUUCAAUUCGUUUUCCCUUGUAUCUUUAAUUAACUCUGCAUGUAUUGAAUUUCAGAAAUGGCGAAGUCGAAGAAUCACACUGCUCACAACCAGUCUUACAAGGCUCACAAGAAUGGCAUCAAAAAGCCAAAGAGGCAUCGCCACACUUCCACCAAGGGGGUAUGUAUUCUCAGUUUUCAAUUCUUUUAUUGAUUUUGAAAUUAUUGUUUUCCAUUGAUGCCCAAUGAUUUCUAUUUAUUAAUGAUUUGAUUUAUUUUUGUUGAUAUCUUUAGAUGGAUCCAAAGUUUUUGAGGAACCAGAGGUAUGCAAGGAAGCACAACAAGAAAAAUGGGGAAGUCGCUUCUGCUGAAGAGUAAAGUGUUGAUCUCUAAUGGGGCUUUUUUGUAAUUUGCAUCUUAGUUUUCGACUUUGAGCUCUAUAUGUUAUGUUGACUAUCUUUGAUAGUGUUUUGAUUUAUUUAGUGAUAUUGUGAUACCCUGUUACCAUUUUUGCUGGUUUUUGUUUAAGACUAAUGAAGUUUUAUUAAUGAAUAUUUAGUUGCUUGUGUUUUUCAAUUUUUGCAAUCAUAAUUGUUCUUACAAAAAAAUGUUUGGACCAGAACUCACUGAUUUUAUCUUUGUUCUUUACUCUGGUUCUUAUUACUAUGAUCAAUUUAGCAUGUGUGUAGACCCCUAUUUAGCUCGUAUGAAAUAGAAACUGGAUUGUAUGUUAUGAUCCCUGAAACUGUGUUUGGGAGUUGAGGGGAGUGUAAGAGAAAACGGAAUAAUCUUUCACCACAAGUUUUGAAAUAGUAUUUUUCUAGAGAGCGAUUACUUGAUGCUUAUGAUUUAAGAAUUUCAAGAGCUAUGUUAACCUCCAAAAUCCACAAUCAAUAGAUGUUUAAGAUCCAUAUUAUUAGUAGGAUUCUUUAUCAUGGAGAAAAAUGAACCCCAAAACACUCUCCUUACUCUAUCCUUUUUCCAAAACCCUCCUUUCGCUCAAAACUCGCACACAAAGCCAAAGUGUCAUCCUUGUUUUAGGUAAUGGGUUGCAGGAGAGCUUGAAAGAACAGUUUAUUAUUGUUAUUAUGCAGAAAAAAAAUGUCCAAUCUAUUAUUUUUGAAGUACGUUUUUGCCUUCUAAUUCUGGUUUUUUAUUACUUUGCUCCUUAAGUCCAUCUUCUACCUUCCUAGUGACAGUGUUAUGCAUAUAGGUACUUGUUUUUUUUAAAUUAAUUUCAUUCUUAGCACUGUUAACAGGUUGUGAACAUGUUAUCAAGCAUUACAAACAACAGUUUUUCUUAUCUACAUUUGUAGUAGACAUUCAUUUUGACCUGCCAUGUGUUUUAGUAUAUGGCCCUUGUCUUGUUAUGAACGCAUUUCAUCCAUCUAAGUGCAGAUUUUUUUUGCUCUCAGUUAGUUAGUCAAUAGCUGCUGAUUAUAGAAAAUUGAUCUUGACAUUUUAAAACUAUGAUUUUGACACUAUGAAAUAAAUUUUGAUGUUUGUAAGCUGUUUUUUUUCCUUUAUACCGUGCAGUAAGUUCUUUAGCUUAUAUAAAUAUUCUUGGGAAAUGAAUACCCACAAUUUCUUGGGCACUAUAUACCCAAGAUAUGAGGAUGAGGAUAUUUUGUUCCUGGGUGGUAUCCACAGUUUUCAAUUUUCGCGAAUGAUAUUAUUUACUCUAUAUAUAGAUGGUCUGAUUUAAUUUACCGAAAUGUGAGUUUCUGCAAUCUGCAAACUAGUUUUGUAAUCUACAAUCUCCAACUGUUGCUCUUUCGACAUAUUUUACAAGAAUCAUCCAACAAUUACUGUUUCUACCAAUUUUACAAGAAUCAAUAGUUUGAAUUUUUUAUAUGAGAACUAUAUUAUCUUAUAACCAACUGUUGGUGUUUUUUUUAGGGGAUCAGUUGUUAGGUUUUAGUGUUGCUUUUGUGUGCGUUCUGCAUGCUAUUUUGUAAAUUUCACUAGUAUUACACAUUCGUCCAAGUUUUUAUAUAAUUAAGUGUUUCAUCAACUUGUAUUCAUAAAGCAAGGAUACCAAGCCUCACAAAAGUUGAUUCAUAUUCAUUCAUAAUAAUACAUGCAAGCUUUAAAAUCUUUCAAAAUGCUGGCAUCGGUUUUUAGCACAUUUCCCAAAUGCCUCAUAGCAUUUCUUCAUCACACAAUCCAUGACGAGUGUUUCAGGGUAAUAAAAUCUGGACAGGGUCAGCGUUCAAUGAAUGGGAAUUUGACCAGUGACCAGUUCAAAACUGGAUUGCACUAAAACCAGAACCGGGAAAACUGGUUCAGUGUUUUAUCUGAAACUCCAAAACAGGCUUGUAGCACGUUUUUCUUUUGCAUGCACUGAACGUCAAAUUCUUAAACCGUGUAACUUGGGGUAUGAGUUGGAGAUCAUAUCAUACCCCAAGUUACACGGUUUAAAUAUAUUGUGUCCUUCGUACAAAAUGACGGAGAAAUAGAAGCAGAUGUAAGCCAUCGUAUUCAAGCUGGGUGGUUGAAAUGAAGAAGAGUCACAUGUGUUUUGUGCGAUAAGAAAGUACCAUUUAAGUUGAAAGGAAAGUUCUAUCGGACAACCGUCAGAUCGACGUUGUUGUAUGAUACGGAGUGUUGGGCGGUUAAGAGUCAACAUGAGAAUCAAGUAAGUGUAGCAGAGAUGAGGAAGUUGCGUUGGAUGAGUGGUAAGACUAGACAUGAUAGGAUUAGGAAUGACACCAUUAGAGAGAGGGGACCUAUAGUAGAAAAGUUGGUAGAAAAUAGACUUGGAUGGUUUGGGCAUGUAGAGAGAAGACCCGUAGAUGCCGUGGUAAGAAGAGUAGAUCGAAUGGAGGAGAGUCAAGUUAAAAGAGGUAGAAGAAGACCUAUGAAAACUAUUAGAGUAAUCAUUAUAAAGGAUUUAGAGGUCAAUGAGUUGGAUCUAAAUUUGAUGUAUGAUAGAACACUAUGGGCCAUUUGAUCCAUGUAGUCGACCCCACUUACUUACUUAGUGGGAUAAGAUUUGGUUGUUGUUGUUGUUGAUGCUUACUAAGAUGAGGAGUUCAAAGUAACUCAUGCUUUCGUUUACUUGCGAAUAUUGUUGUUCUGGUUUUGUGUUUGGUAUAUCCAACGUAUUUUCCACAUUGCUUGUUUUCUACGUCGUAAAUCACUGUCAAUAUGUAAACCUUGCAAUUCUUAAAUCUUUCUAUGGUAAGGCAUUUUGUGGGUAGUUCAUGAUGUUUGGAGAAUGCUUAAAUGUUGUGUAUAGCGAAUAGUAUUUUCGUGAACAAUAGAAAAAGGCAUUUGUUGCUUGAAUGAAGUUGAAUGUUUGACUACUUAUUAAAACAAAACACAUUAUGACUUGUCCACCAAAAAUGAUUCUAGAGAAUUGAACCUUAGACCAUAAACACAUUUCAAGGUUUUAAACCAACACCGUAAAAUUUACAUAAAUUAUUUUUGUAAUUUAACCCUUGUUUAUUUAAUUGAAUUAAUAAAUUUUCAAAUAUCUAUAUUUGUGUAUAAAAAAUUACUUUAUGUAUAAUAGUUUUUCUUUCAAUUUUACCAUUAGAUCAUGCUUAUUUUAUUAUUUUAAUAUUCUUUACUAGUCAAAUAACUUGAUUUUAUACAUAAUUGAAUAAAAUUUCAAAAUUUAUAUAUUUUAACCGUCAAAUGAGGAAAGCUAAACACGUUCGUGUCUAUCAAGACACAAAUUUUACGUAUAAAGAAAACAGUAACAAUCAAGUUUUAUCCCAUUAAGUAGGGUUUGCUGCAAGGAUUAAAUUACGACAUAGUAUUAUAUCAUAAAACAUAUUUGCAUUCAAUUCAUUGACCUCUAAAUCUUUUUUAAUAAUUUAUCUUAUAGUUUUUCUAAGUCUUCCUCUACCAUAAAGAAAACAAAGGAUGAUAUAUUUUUGGUAGGUAGAUGAACACACAAAACAAUUACUAGUUUUUAUAUGUUUUUAAUCCUUGCAAGAUAUGCUUUUUGUUAAUGAAUUUUUUUAGUCUUUUACAAAUAAAUCAUUUUUCUUUUAAUCUUUUUUUUUUAAAGAUUAACGAGCUUAUAAUUGUUGUUUUUAGUCCCACAAAGUAUGAACUAAACUGAAUAUUACAAUGACCAUUUUAAUAUCAACAAGUUUUACAAGGACUCCCCUAAGAAAAAAUGUUUUGAUAAUUCAAGGACUAAAUACAAAAGAGUAGCAACUAAAAUAAAAGUUUAUUCUUAUGUUUUUUUAAAAUGAUUAUUAUUAUUAUUUUAUAAUAAAGCAAUUAAUUGAACAAGGAAUAAUCCAGAUCUUUAAAGUUUUAAACGGCUGAGAUGAUGUUAAUACCAUCCAAAGCGAGGGUGAAAAUGCAGAGGAGCCUGUCCCCAACACACAUAUAUAUAUAUCCGCUGAACAAAACCCUAGAGCCACUGCAUCUUCAGAAUUAGGUUUGUAUUUGUUGAAUUUCAGAGAUGGCAAAGUCGAAGAAUCACACCGCUCACAACCAGUCUUACAAGGCCCACAAAAAUGGCAUCAAGAAGCCAAAGAGGCAUCGCCACACUUCCACCAAAGGGGUAUGUAUUCAUCAUUCUCCUCUGAUUUUUCAAACGAUUGAUCUAUUUUGUAAUGAGAUUUUAAUUAAUUGUUCAUUGUUUUUAAUUGCUGUAGAUGGAUCCAAAGUUUUUGAGGAACCAGAGGUACGCAAGGAAGCAUAACAAGAAAAAUGGUGAAAUCGCCACCGAAGAAGAGUAAAGUGUCGAUCUCUCUCUAAUGGGGCUUUUUGUAUUUUGAAUCUUAGAUAGAUUUCUAAUUCGUGCUAUGUAUGGUUUAUUUCAAUUCUAUUUUGAUGGAUUAUUUAAUUAAGUGAAAAUGCAGUACUCUGUUAGCAUUUUUGGGUUUUUAUUUAUGAAUAUUAAAACUGCUAUAGAAUUAAGUAUAUCAAUUCUGCUGUUUAUGAUGUUGAUGCAUAAUGUGAGCUGUGUGAUUAUAUUCCGAUAAUUGUGAUUGCUUAAGUGUUUGUUUGAGGUUGGAGUGGAGGGGAAAGACUUGUGAUUUGAUUUAGUUUGGCCAAAACAUAACCUGUAGGGCUUGAUUUAGUUUGAUUAGCAAUUUAUCAUUAUUAUGGAGAAAAACUACCUUCUAAACCUCUUCGGAGUUCUCUUUUAGUACAUUCUUUGUGUUCUUUCAAAUUGGGGUAUUCCUAUGGAGAAAAAUAAUUUCAAAUGAAAGUGAGAGACCUAGCUUUCUCCUUCCCUUGUUUUUUUAGGUGAAACCCUAUUCCUUUCCUUAUUUUGCUCCUCAUUGUCCAUACAGUCCCCUCAUCUCUUGUGAGUGACGGUUAUAUGCAUAUAUUGAGAUACAUGUAUGUUUCAUUCUUCGCACAAUUUAACAUGUUACCCGGAAUCAUCUCAAAUAAUGAAAUAACCGUAUUCUUCAUUGUUACCUUUGUAGCAGACUUUCAUUUUGAACUGUCAACGGUUUUAGUGUAUGUUGCAUUUAUUUUGUUAUUAAAGUUGGUCAAUUUUGAAUAAUAUUAAGGGGUUUGGUAGCUUAAGUGGUUUGAACUAAGGCAAAAGAAGUUGGAGGUCCUAGGUUCAAACCCGGACAAAGGAGUAUUCUAUUAAUAAAUUAACUAUGAACAUUUGCAAUUCAAAAACAAAAGAAAGUUUUGAACAAUAUUAUGCUUCACAUUUGUCGUUCCCAUCUGUCUGCGGUCUAUGGGCUCUCACUACUGGUGUUUAUUUUUUUUAAUGAUUGUAUUAUAGUGUUUUUAAUCAGUAGCUGAUGAUGGUACAUACAUUGAUCUUGGUGACAAUUUAAAGCUGAGCUAAUACUGCUAUAUGUUGUUGAAAGGCAUAUUUCAGGGAUUUUUUGAAAAGCCUGUUUGAAUGAGUUUAUGAAAUAAAUUAUUAUGUUUGUAAGCUGGUUUUUGCCUUUUAGCUUGUAUAAGCUCCAUUAUAUAGUUUAGUUUAAAUUACACCGGGAGUCCUUUAAGUUUGAGGUUUGUUACAAAUUGGUUUUAAGUUAUUUUGGUCACACAUAAAUACUUUUAAGUUUUUAAAUAUUUUUGAUUUAGUCAUUCUGUCACAUCAUCAUUUUUGUAAUAUUUGGUUAACAUAAUGAAUAAAUAAAAGUUUGAAAACGUUUACAAACUUAAAAACUCAUGCGUGACCAAAAUAAUUUGAAGGACCAAUCAUCACAAACCUCAAACUUAAAAAACUUAUGUGUGACCAAAAUAACUUAAAUGAUCAAUUUAUUACAAACCUCAAACUUAAAAGACGUCUCCUGUAACUCAGCCUAUAGUUUAUACACUGUUUAUAUGAAGUUUGAACUCGACUCUUACAUUAUAGAAGCCAUUUUUAUACUAAAGUACAUGUUAAGUUUUAAUGACCCUCGUUGCUUUUUCUUUAUUUUAUUUUUAAAAAGAAUUUAUGAAAUUAGGGUUAUGCUGCGGAAGAAAUACUCUUUUUAAGAUUUGUGAAUUCUAUUUAUUACAAAUUUAAAAAUUAAAUUCAAUGCACACAUUUCAACAAAAAAAAAUUACUAUAUUUAAGUCAAUUUGGCGAAAUAUAAUGUAAUUGUGGAAACAGUUUACUCGAGUCAAUGCAUCUGUCAUAAUUUAAACUCCACUUCUGAUGAAUUUGUUUACCUUGUAGGAAAUAUUUUGAAAGUUUGAAGCAAUUAUUUCCCAGUUUUUGUAUGUAAUUCGUGCGUAGCCAAGGACCCAAGUUCUUGGUUUUUUCCUGUUGCAUCAUAUCGUUAUUUACAAACAAUUUUAUGUUCUUAAAUAUACCAUUGAAUAACGUAAACACUCUACCAAAAUGAUUUGUUUACAAAAAUGCCCCUGUUAAAUAUACCAUUGAAUAAAGUAAACACUCUACAAAAAUGAUUUAUUUAAUAUUACCAAUAGAUAUGUAAACAUUUCAAACAAAUUUAUUACGUAAACUACUUUUCUUAAUACGAAUGAUUUUAGUUAGAUGUUUUGAUGAUAAGGAAUCAAUGGAGUAAACAUCAAUAAAUAGUAAUGAUUUUGCAACAACAACUCUUCCCAAUGACAAUUGAAGAAAAUACAUGACUUUGCAAAAGAGAAAUGAUAUUUGUACAAUCAUUUUUGUACAACUUUUAUACAACCUUCUCUCUCAUACUCACAUUAUCUUCUUAUUCUCUUUUUUCCUUUUUCUCUCUCUAUUGUUUUUGACCAAUAAGAAGAGAACACAACAAGGUUGUCCCAAAAGUUGUACCAAAAGAGUUGUUCAAAUAACACUACUCUUUGCAAAAAUAACAAUUACUAAUGGUCAGUAAGUGAAGAUAAGAUGGUUGUGAUGUAUCAGUUCUACUGUGACCCAUAAACUUAUGACUUUUCAACAAUAACAACUCCUACUAAUGGCAAGUACUAAGUGAUUAGAUAAGAUUUUUUUUGAGUGGCAAAAUAUAUUAUAUAAAUAAGGGAUUAUUUAAAAGGACUAAAGACAUUAAAUUAGGGUUAUUUAAAAGUUAAAUUUAUGCUCUAUAUUAUAAAAUCAAUAGAAAAAUAUUAAAAUUUAAUUAUCAUUAAUAUUUAAAUUAUAAAGAAAUGAUUUUUUUUUUAAAUGGUGGUUCAAAAUUAAAAUAUAUCAUAAAAAUAUUUAUUUAUAUGUUAAAUAGAUUAAAGUGUAGAGCAUUUUCAAUUAUUAAGGGAGGGGGUUGUAAUUCAAGCAUCUUUUCAGAAAAGGGGAGUGUAAUUUACUCCAUUGAAUAUAGACCAAUCGGUAGAAAUAUUGCAAUAUGCAUGGGAUAUGUUUCGGACUUCGAACCGAAUAUUCCCCACUUAUUCACCUCAAAUGGUGUAGUUCUGACAACUAAACUAUUUGAAAAAAAAUAAUAAAUAAAUAAAUAAUAAUAAUAAUAUUAGGGGGAAAAAUAUCCCACAUAUUAGUAUUUAAUAAACAAUUAAUUAAAUAAUCUUGAAUCAUUAGUUCAAUGAGUUGAAAGAAAGAAUAAGUUGCCAAAACUGUAAGUAAUUGAGAUGUCUAUUUAUUUUAAGAAAUGGAGAGGAUCUCUACUCUAUAUAUCAUUAUAAAUUUCGGAAAAAUGUGUAUUGAGUGCAAAACUAAACCGGUGAUAAACUGGGCCACUUUCAAAGGCAUUCUCGAUUAUCUACAACUAGGAAAACCAAACUAAGUUAAAAAAAACAACAGUAAUAAAUAUAAGUAUCUUUGACAGACACUAAAAACAUCAAGAAUAAAAUAUAUCAGCACGAGUAAUAUUCGUCGGGUAUCCAUUAUCAGGUCAAUGAUGAACUCCUUAAAACGGUUCCCUUCUUUCACAGGUUUCUGAAUGUGCUCGUCUCUUCCGCCUGAAGAUGCGUAAUAUUUUGGAAGUCCCUAAUACAAGCAAAUUUCUUCAAAAAUUUAUACUUUUGUUUGGGAAGAUUAGACUGCAACUGGUUCACUUACUGGGAUAGAUGCGUGUUCUUUAACCUGCAUCAGUAAUAGAAGAUGGUGCGUAUAAAUGCAGGUGUUACAAAGGACUAGCUCUAUGGGUGUAAAAUUAUACCAGAAUAGUUAUACUCAAUAAGAUGUUGAAAGUACAUUAAGGAUUAUCUCACCUUUGCUGAUUUAAAUAGCUCAUCAAGAACCUCGGAUAGAGUUGGAUGUGCAUGAACUGCAAAUUUUAUGUCCUGCAUUGUACCACAAAAUGGUGAACUUAGCAGAAAGACAGGAUAAGAGAAUAAAUGACAUUCGUGACUAUUAAUAGUCUAAAUCCCAGGCGCAUAACUGGGUAUAAAUUACCUGAAUACGUGUUCCUAAUGCUAUAGCAUUAGAUGCUUCAUGGAUGAGAUCUGCUGCAUGCAAACCAAAAAUAUGAACUCCUAGAAUCUCUCCAUUGUCAGGUCUGUAUAUCAACUGCAUGAAAGUGUAUACGACAGUUAGCAAUGUCAAGCAUGAAAGAGUAGAGCAACUAAUGCAUGCAGAUAAAAAAUGGAUAGGAGUGUAGAGCAACUGUCAUGACAGAAUAAUUUUGGUACCACCAAAGUAGUUCUUUUAGCACAGAAUUCAUUAAAGACAUUUAACAAUUUCAGAAGCCGUGUCAGAAUAGCAUUGACAAAGGAAGAUAUAAAAAGAUAACCUUGGCAAGUCCCUCCCCUUCAUUUUCUGCUAGGGCUUUCGUGUUAGCUUUAAAACUCGUUUUAGCAACACUAACGUCAAAUCCCUCCUUUUCACCUUUCUCCCUUGCUUGAGGCUGCAAAUUUUAAGUUUGGUCAUAACACAUAACAACUUCAACUGAAGGACAGCAAGAAGUAAUUUUAUUGUAUGAAUAACAUAGUUUCAAAGAGGUAGCAGAGCUGAAAAACGAAGAUUGCCGACCACACAUAUGAAAGAGAACUGGUUCAUUACAAUACUCAUUGCAAUGAAAGUUCUGAUAUACCUCUGUCAAUCCAACCAUGCUGAUUUCAGGAUGAGUGAAACAUGCAGCUGGGAUACUUAAAUGAUUGAGCACGUGAUCUCUUCCAGUGACUUGUUCAACCACUGUUGGAAACUUUUUAAUCAGUAAUACUGAAGCAAAAAAAGAAAAGGGGAAAAAUUCAUCGGUUUCCACCUACCUGAAAUUCCUUGUGCACUGGCGGCAUGAGCAAGCAUCAUCUUUCCAUUUGCAUCUCCAAUACAGUAUAGAUGAGGUACCUAUCAUUCCACAUCAUCCUAUAUCAGUAACAAUAACUCGGACAAAGGUAGUUAGUGCAAGAGAAAUAGAGACAAACCAGCUUUCCAUUUGCAUCAAUUACACGCAUGCGCUCGUCCACAGGAACAAAGCCUCGCUGUGUUGCCACAUCAACCUGUAGGAACAAUAUGCAAAAAUAUACAUUCAUUUCCUUCAGGAAAACUUCCUAUCCUAAACACAUUUCUGCUAGAAAUACAUACAUUCUCCAGUCCUAGACCUUGUGUGAAUGGAGCCCUUCCAGUUGCUAUUAGUGCAGCAUCAACCUGUAACAAGUAAAGACAAGAGCUUGUAGUAAAUCCAAAAAAAAAUAUGCAAGUAAACAAGAGGUGAACUAACAGAGUACAGAAGCUGUUAUCUCUGAAACUAUACAUAGAAAAAAGGGAAAAGAGAAAGAAGUGUAAUCUAAUUGUGAAUAAGUCUUAGAUUGUCUGCCUCAGUGCAGCUUCAUGAACUCAUGUGCUAAAUAGAUAGCCAGUACAUCAAGCACUUAUGGCCUUUGAAAAUGGGAUAUGAGUUUAUUGAAUCAAUAACCAAAAGCUUCGGUAGUUAAGUUCAACACAUUAACACUUGAUAAAUAUUUUCCCAUCGAAGAAAUCAUAACAAUUAAGAAUAAUGAGUUUAUUUGAAAUUUUUCUAAUAAAUGAUUGAGUUACCUCCAAAGUGUCCUUUGGCUCCUUAGUUUUUGCAUCAAUAAGUUCGAUCAAGACAGGUUUUCCAUCCCUUGCAGGUGUGAUCUAUAAGGAAAACAUGAGAACAGUGGAAUAUCAAAGUAGCCGAUCAACAAAAACUGAUCAAGAAAUUCCAAGAUUAGUUACCUUGGAUGCAAAAACUCCAGUAUGAUAAUCAAUAUUACGGGGAUUUACAAGAACCCUUUGAGCCAGCUUGCUGAUUUCGGGAUCAAAUCCAGGCAUAAGCUGAUCUAAAGCUUCAACAAAAGUAACCUGCAUGAUACCAAUGACUACUUAACUUACAAUGAACUAGGACCUAAAUUUUAGAAUAAGGAAAUGAUAUAAAGGUUAUAUAUUUGUUAGCUUCUAGAACUGAUAAAAAGUAUAGCAAGCACAAUAUUCCCUCCGAAAUGAAAUAUUAGCAAAAUUUGACUAAAUUAUGCAUAUUAAGAAAGAUAUUAAUUUAUGCAAUCUCAAUAACAAGUAAAGUCUAUUGCCUAAAUUACUUUCUAUAACUAAUAGAUUGGAUAACAGUCAAUUCAUUGCAAAUAUUUUUUAUGAACAAAAGAUAGUGGAAAAAGAAAGUAAAAGUAUCACAAAUAUGGGUCACCUCACUUCCAAGUGCCGUAUAUACAUCACUGAAUUCAAGGCCAAUAUACCCACUCCCUACAAUUGCUAUCCAAUCGGGAACAGAUUCCAGUUUGAGUGCAUGGUCACUGGUAAUCACAGUCUUCCCUGGAAGCGAGAAUUGGAAUUUUUUAUUAACAAAUUAUCACGGCCAAUAAAACAUGAAAAGAAAUCAAGAGAUGGGGAAAAAAUGAUACAACAUUUAUAAAUGAAUAUCAAAUUUAGGUCAUAGAGAAGAAAAAAGAUUUCCUUGUGACAUAAAUCUAGGACCAGAUAGAGUUUUUAAAAUUUGAAUUAAAUGGAAGGUAAAUCAUACAUUGAAUAUCGGUACUUAACGGAAAAAGUACAACUUAGGAUAUAAAGAAUUUUUCUGAAAUUUUCAAUUGCUAAAGAGAUCAUGACUAUUUCUGUAUACCUGAUGUCUCUUAACCACAUGGACUGUAAAAGGCCAAGGUGGAUCCGACCCUUCCUCUAAAUAUUGGUACAGAUAUGAAUAUGAGAACCGUAAAAUAGAAGAUCUGACCUAUACUGAACUAAGAUCCCUUUUAUACUUUUCAUUGGAGUCUAUAAUCCUAUAUAUUAAAAUAGCAGCUUAUGGAAGCUGACAAAACAUCUGCCACGCCAUAACACUAUGGCGGUAAUUUGACAACAUUGCCUCUCUCAACUCUCCAGGUCGUACUGUAGUGUCUAAAAAGGUACUCAUUGUGUCAUUGGCUCUUAAAUACAUUUAGGGUCUUGCUAACAAGAGUCCUAAGGGCAUGUGUUAAGAAAUCAAAUAUAUGAAUAUUGUCUUGAAAAGAACAAUUUUUAAACUUUCAAUGAAUUAAAUACACCUACUUCCAAGACAAUAUUUCUAUUUUUUGAUUCUAUACCAUGUGCCCUUAAGGCACUUGUUAGCAAGUCCCAUAUAUGGUUAACAAGCACAUCCAAGACCAAUUUAAAAAGAUUGGGACUCAGCGGAUAAUUGGAUACGUGCCGUGGGAUACGAUAUGAUACACGAUUCAAAAAAGUGGUUGAACGAUACACAAUAUGUAUCCCGAUUUGACUACCACGUGUGGUAUUAUGUCAUAUGUGGUCUACCCAGUUCUUGCACUUGUUAUAACCCCUUUACCCUACAAUACAUAUUUUUAAUUGGUCGAGUGUAGGCAAGGCAAUAUGAAUUCUUUUCUUCUCUAAAACCAUCCACAAAACCUCUCCACUAACCAUGCCUUUCCCAAAGCAAUAAAUUUUCUCCGGCAUUGUUUCCUAGAAUAGAUCUCUAUCGAUCUUCUUAGAAACUGUAUUGUUUUUACGGUUCAUAACCCUGUCAUUAAACCAACAAAAAAUCAUGGAAAAUUGAUCCCUUUUUUCCUUGCAUAUAGGACUUUAGUCUUUUUGUCAAAAGGACAAGAAGUCAUCUAAAAUAAGUAAAACUGGAUUAAGGAUUAUCAAAUAUCAACGGCAUGAAAGGAAAAGACAGAUGUGUACCAUCAACUUCAACACCCUUAGGAACGAAAGGAACAGAACCAGUGGCAAUGAUGAUAUCUUUUGCAGUUACUACGUUGUUUGAAGAGCCAAUUUUCACCUUUUGAGGACCCUGCACAGAUUCAUGCAUGAUAGCAAAUGAAAAUGUAAAAAAAAUAAAAAUUCUGUGAUUUCAAGGUAGCCACAGCUAAUAACCAGACAGUUCCAUUCAUUAAGAAUGUGCUUGAAACAUUAUAAAUGAAUAAAUCUAUUAAAAAAGGAGAGAGGGAUAGCAGUAAAAAGUUGCUUUCGCCAUUUUCUAUACACAAACAUUACAAAUAGGAAACAAAUUGGAAACAAGAUGGGCCUUUUUACAGUUCAAAUUUAAAACAGAAAAUGACAACCAAUGAGGCCCAAAAAAAUGUGGGUUUCAAAGAAGUAGCAGUGUGCUUGCGGGGGAAGAGCAUAUCAAGGUUUAUCUCACUUUCAAGAGUGGGUACUCUAAUUUAGUGUACGAGGGUAAAUUAACUUGUUUUCAAAUUUCAUUUAUUCUUCUUCUUAGCAUCUCUUAGAACCUAAAUCGAAGACAUAAAAAUUAUGUUUUUCACAUAGUUCCUCCCAAUUCGAUUCGUUUAGCAGAGACGCAUAGAUAUGCAUCGAUUGUUCAUGAGUUUCUCGUCUUCACUGCCAUUAUGAAGAUCAAAACAUUGUACAAUAUUUUUCAUAGUAAUUUUUUUCAAAAAUAUUGGUCGAUUCACAUUGCAUGUACCAUCAAUUAGUGUGGACCAUAAUAUUCAAACAGCUAAAUAGAGCAAAUUUUAAUGCAAAAGGGGGGGUUAGAAUGAACUAAUCAGAGAGUUACGAAAAUGAAUAAAUUUUAAAGCCAUUUAGGAAUAUUCAAGGCAUCUAGUAAUUUGAUAAUUGGAAAGAAAAAAAAAAAUACUAUAUAUUAAAUAACAGUAAAGUCAAGUGUCUUGAGAAUGAAUUAAGUUAAGGGUCAUGUUAACUUGUGCCCUUAGGGCACAUGUUAAGCAACCAAAAAAGAGUAAUUUUGCAUUGGAAAACACAAUAUGACAACUUUUAAGAAGUUGAAUGCACGCCUUUUGAUAUGUGUAUUUCUAUAAUGAGUAUCUUAACAUGUGCCCUUGAGGGCACAAGUUAGCAUUUGCCUUAAGUUAAAUAAGAAAUAAUAUUACCCCUUAAUAGUUAAUAGCGAGGACUCUAUUUAUUAUAUAGGAGGUAGAUAAUUUCCUUUUUUUUACAGUAGGAGGUAGAUUAUAUAGAUUAACCGUUUUAUCCUUACUAAAUAGCUCAAUUUACAAAAUCAAAUCAAUUCUAAUUUUUUGAAGGAUAUCCGAAAUUUGAUUUCUAAAUCAAUUCAAAUUCUGUUGUUUAAAAUGAUCGUAGAAUCUGAUUUUCAGACCAAAUUAAUCCAAAUCAGUUCUUAUUUUUAAGUAUUCCAAACACAGUUUAACUGAUCGCAUUAAUAUUUAUUCUUGAUGCUAGAGAGUUCACAAAACAAAGAUUCCAUAAUAUAAUAUGCCACUUACCAAUAUAGUACCAAAACCAGUAAGUAUGUCUACUCCUAUCGCUUUUAGGGAGUUUGUCAAAUUACUACGGAUUUUGGAAGCAAGAUUAUUAGCAUGAUCAGCAACUCCUUGUCUGUCAUACCCGGAAGAAGAAACCUGAAACAAAUAAAACAGAAUAAGGCAACAUAACGUCAUAAUCAUGCAGCCGCUCUCUCUACAUCAUGUAUAGUUUUCUAAUUCUAAGGCCAUGUUUGGAUAAACAACUUAAUUUGAAGCUUAUAGCAUAAACACUUAUCAUGAUAAAUGCUUAUGUAUAAGUUGUUUCCAUAACAAGAUAAUAAAGUUAAAUUGUUUUCACAUAAGCUAUAAUCAGUUUUCAUAAGCCAUCUUGGAAAACUUAUGAAAACAGCUUAUGAACAUGUCAUAAGCUAUUUUAUAAGUUUUUCCAAACAGUCUCACAAGUGCUUAUGUCAGUAGAUAAGCUAAAAUAAAUCAAUUCAUACAGCCGUAAUUAUAAUCACAACAAUAGACUUGAGAGAGCCUUAUAACGUAACAUUCUUACAUGUAAACCCAAGGACUUCAAGUGAUGAUCACUCUUUAGUUCCCGCAUACGACCGCUAACAGCCAAAAGAGCUUUUGAAGGAACGCAGCCUCUGUUUACACAUGUCCCUCCCACCACAUCUCCCUCCACUAUAGCUGUUUUCAAUCCCUGCAAUCACUACUUUAUCAAAAUUCUCUCCCGCAAAAAAAAAUGUUACAUGAUCCACAUUACUUUAUCGCAUAAUAAUCAGCAUUCAACAAUAGCAAUUACUUCAUUUAUCAUAUAGAUAAUAAUAAUCAUUUGCAUAUCAAUUUCUAGUGCAUACUGUUACCAUCACUUAACACCAACACAUUGACACUAGUAAUAAUCGCCGCAUGUAAGAGAAAAUAACAUAAUUGAAUAUAAUCACAUGUGUGAGACAAUGACAGUCAAACAACACCAGACACGUCAUUGAUCAGAAGCAUCAGUGCGAAGAGUUUACUGGUUUAGCUACAGAAUUGAAAUAAAAUUAUGAAUCUGGAUUGGUGAGAUGAAACAAACCUUCUCGACAGCGUGAAGAGCAGCACCGUGACCACCAACACCAGCACCAAUAAUCAACAAAUCAUAAUCAAACGAUCCAGUAGUGCUGCCAUUAUCAGAGCGAGCAGCUGAUACUGUGGCGGAGUGUUGACGGCAAGGAAGCUGUCGGAUAUUGCGAUUGAUAGAAGUUUUAAAACCUAAACCCAAAGCCUCGCGUCUCAAACCGCAGAAACGGAGGUUGAGAGGUUUGCCGGUGGAUACUGGAAAAGAGUGAUGUGAUCUGGCGGCAGAGGAAGUGGGAGAGAAAGAGAGUGAGAGAGAGGAUUGCAUUUUGAAGAAGAGAGAUUGAAAAUGGAGAUGUAGAGAAAGAAAGAGAGAUCUGAAGAAGAGAAAGAAUUAAAAAGAGAAAUGAACCUCGAUGAGUCCGUUGGGAGUUAGGAGGAAAAUGAGAAUGCGGAGAAAACAAAGAAACAGUGGCGGAUAAACCAUAAACCCAACAACAAACCACUUUUUCCAACUUUAAUCUCUAUAAACAAAUUUAUCAAAUUUUAGUCCCACAAAUUUUUAUAGGGAUUAAAAUCUGAAAUUUGAACUUUUACAAAAAAAUUAAAAACAUAUUUAACCGUUUAAUAAAAAUAUUUUCCAAAAAUAUUUUAAAACAUACAAUAUUUUGCAAAAUGACUUUUGUUUUUUGUAAGGGUGAUAAUUUAGUUUAUAAUAUUGUUUGUAUGUAAUUUUAUUUUAGAGAAAACAAAAAGAGAUAAUUUAGUUUAUAAUUUUAGAGAAAACAAAAAGAGAGGAUGAAAUAAUUGUUAUCAAUUAAAGUGAUACUGAUGUAUGUUUUAUAAUCAUUUUCCACUUUGUUUUUUUUGACGUUACAAGUUUAUAAUCAAGUUGGUAUUUUUAGAUUAUAAAAUUAGUUUUCUAUUUUUUUAAAGUAAUUGUUGACUAUUCACCAAAAAAAGAAGUUGUUAACUUGUCCAUUUGGAGCACAAGUUAAAAGUCAAAUAUAAGAUUGAGAAUCUAUAAUUUAUCUUUUCAAUACAAAUUUAUAUUUUAUGUUUUCAUUACAAAUUUAUGUUUCAAUCACUUAGCUCGACAAAUAAUUUUAUCAAACGCUUUAAUUUUUUUAGUAUGUUGGCUAGACAAGUGUCAAAAGAGAAAAAUACAAAGUGGUCAACUUCUUGAACUAGCAUCCUCUCAAAAAUAAAAGUUUAUUAGACUAAUAACUUUGAUGAGUGGACAUUCAUAGAAUCAAAAAAAAGUUUAGAAUUGGCGAAUGGAUCGACCACCAACACGGUAUCAAGAUCCACAUAUCAGCAACCUUCUAAAUGAUUAUAGAGAUUUUUUGUUAACAAGUUGGGUAUGGAGUUUGAAUUUUAAUGUUAAUUGGUAUUUUUAUUUUUUUUAUGUAUAUAUUUGUCAUUUAUGUUCCACAUAUAGGUUUUUUAAUGUCAAUUUUAAUUUUUCAUAAACUCGUACAAGUUUUACGAGUCGAGUAUACGAAUUGAGUCUACAAACCUUUUUCGAGUCUGUAUAGACUCACGAGUUUAACAACCUUGAACGGAGCCAUCAGAUCCAACAAUUCAAAUUGCAUCUCCAAAAAUAAUUGUCAUGUCGCUACGUUAAUCAAACCUCGCAACAGACACACAUGUAAAACACUAAGGGUGUGUUUGUUUCUAAGGAAAGAUAGUGGAGAGGAGAGAAAGAUGAGGGAAAGAAACACUUUCUUUUGUUUGGGACUCGCUAAAAAGGCCAAGGAAAGAAAGAUUUUAGUGGGGUUCACCUUAAAAAACUUUCCAUGCUCAACUGGACAUAAAGUUUGAGGAAACACCAAUAUUAGAUUGAAAAGUCCAAAAUAAUCCCAUGUUGUUUAUAUUUUUUCACUUGUCUCUUUCUUUCUUUGUUUUUCUAAAUUUACGGCUUUGUUUAAUACUCACAGCUAAGUGCGCAUUCUUUUUUCCAUUGAAACAGUGGGGACGUGUGUGUCUAUAUAUAUAUAUAUAUAUAUAUAUAUAUAUAUAUAUGGGAGCCCCUAAUAUGCACCCUUUGAAAAAAGGCUCAGCCAUUGACCUUUUAGUUCAACCUACUACACUAGGUAAUUAACCUGCUGAUAAAAAAAUAAAAUAAAAAGUUGGCCCUUUGCUUCAUAUAGGUGAACAGUGAACACCCCUUUCACAACCGCCUCUAUCUCCCUUCGUCAUUAUCCUAACGCAUGCACAUUUUAAAUAUGCCAAGAGAUUCAAGCUUUAAUAUUCACAUUUAUGAAAAAUCAUUUUUUAUGAAGAUGUGUAGAUUACUUUCACACUAUUUACUCUGCAUCACUAUUUCCACUCCAGUCAUUACUUCGCCUUUUCUUCCCUAAAAAAAAAUAAAUAAAUACUUCGCCUUUUCCAACUUUAAAGCUUGAAGGGGAUUAAAAUGAGUUUUCAUCUUGUUUUGACAUGGUUGAAGAGGUUUAUAGCACAUUUAUUUAAUUUAGGAUUGUAGGUACUAAAUCAGUUUUGUGAGCUUUCACUGAAUCUAAUUUUGCAAAGCUUUUAGCAGAAAUUAGGUUAUCAUAAUCCGGAAAGUGGUUGGAUCUUAUUAAAUUUAAGUGCUUCGAUCUGAUUAAAUUUAAGUGUUUGAAUAUGAUCUUGCAAAUAUAGGGUAAUACUAUUAACUGAUACACGACAGCUUCGGCAACAAAAAGUGAGAUAAUAAUUAUUAAGAAAAAACAGGUUAUCAAAAUCAGAAGUGUUUGUAUCUGCGAUUACAUCGAAGAUGAGUAGAUGACGCACUACAUGAAGAAGAAGCGAUGUAAAGGAGCAGAAGAAAAAAAAAACUAAGCUAACAAAUUUGAAACAGGCUAUAGCCGGUUGUAUUGGAGAGGACCAUGUUUGGACCUUUUAAAAAGAGGUCCAUAUUAGGGGGACCCUAUAUAUAUAUAUAGACACACACACACACACACGCAUACAUAAUACAUUAUGUAAUUUUUCCUCAAGGGUAUUUUUGUCAAUUAUUAAAUAUAGAUAUUUCUUUCUUUAACCUUUCUAUUUUACUUUCCUUUAUACCAAACAACCAAAACAAUCCCCUCACUUUCUACUCUUUUUCUUUCUUCAUACAAGAUUUCCUUUCCCUAUCUUUCCCUUCACUUUCAUUCUCCAUCCAAACACACCCUGAGUGAUGUAACCCCUGAAUACUUGUCCCAAAAACUGUUUAGACUUCCUUGAAAAUGAGAGGAGUUUUAAAUGGGGAUGUUUCAAAUGAGAGGAGUUUUAAAAUGAGAGAUGAGAGCAUUGAAUAUUAACCAUUAGAUCAAAAUUAACGGUUCAGAUCUGAAGUUUCCUUGAAACUAUAUAUUUUGUCUCAUUUUCUUAUUGUAUGCGCGCGUGUAACUCACAUAUGUUUCCAGCAAUUACUUCUCCUUUCUCAUUUUGAUUAUAGCUUUCUCUGUCAUUUUUCUCACUCUGCAACUCCUUUUUUUUUUUCAUGAUCCUUUGCAAACUAUGGCUACUUACAUAUUAAGAAUUAUAAAAAGUUAAAAUUAAGAACAAGCUACUUCUCCUUUCUUGUUUAACAACAAUUAAAAAUUAAGAAGAAAAAAAAGUUAAAUUAUACUCCUUUAAUUUUAUAAGGGCUUCGAUUCACAAGCUACCUUUAAUUUUGGAACCUCUUGCAAUUGAUUACUUGCCGUUCAUUUAAUUUCUUGAAACUGAAAAGUCUAUCAGCAAUUAUUUCUCAGUGUUUCUUUCUUCCAAUUUGUGAAGAAAUCGGAAUAAUAAAAUAUAAAUUCAAUAUGUAAAAUUAUUCUGAAACUUUCAUCUUUAAUUUUGCAAUACGAUUACGCCGCCGUCGUCUCUGAUCCCUCAAAACCACAUUUGAAUUUUUUUUGCACCUUCGUCAUCAUCAAUCUGCAAAAUACCCUAUUUAAUUUUCCAAAUUUUGAGAUUAAAAAACGACCAUUAACAUGAUUUGUUUUUUUGUUUUUAAUUGAAAAACCUGAACAAUUAUUUAAUGGAUGAUUCUGAAGAGAUUUGAAAAUAGAUGGGAAGAUAAUAGUGAAAGAAAAAAGAACAGGGAAAAAAACGAAAGAAAGAGGAUGCGCGUGGGUGAGAAUUGUAAGGUUCAAUCUGAAGAGUUUAUUUUAAUCCAACGGUUGUCCUUUGAUGCUCUCAUCUCUCAUUUUAAAACUCCUCUCAUUUGAUACAUCCCCUAUAUAUAUAUAUAUAUAUAGACACACACGCAUACAUAAUACAUUAUGUAAUUUUUCCUCAAGGGUAUUUUUGUCAAUUAUUAAAUAUAGAUCUUUCUUUCUUUAACCUUUCUAUUUUACUUUCCUUUAUACCAAACAACCAAAACAAUCCCCUCACUUUCUACUCUUUUUCUUUCUUCAUACAAGAAUUCCUUUCCCUAUCUUUCCCUUCACUUUCAUUCUCCAUCCAAACACACCCUGAGUGAUGUAACCCCUAAAUACUUGUCCCAAAAACUGUUUAGACUUCCACCUCGAGUUUGAGCUUGAAGUCUAGAGGGAUCAGGGGAUAUCGCGUGUAAAUGAGCUACCACCUCGAGAUCGACACAUCAACAUCAUUAUUUUUUUUGUUCUUUCAAAUUUCCUUGAAGCAUUAAUUGUCAAAAUCUUUUGACUUUAAUACUCCUAUACUUAGACACAUUGCUCAUUGUAUGACCAAUUGUUAUUUAGAUCGAAUCUAAACGUUGUGGUAUUUAGGCUAUCAAAACCCAUUAUAAGAACAUGGCAGGGCCCAAUAGGUGAGUCAAGUCAAGAUCUACCAAGGUGACCACCUCAGCAAGUGCGUGUAACCUAUGAGAUGACCUGCUAUACCACCUCAUGAAAUACUUCAUACCAUAACGACAUGCAGAACAUGAUAUAUCAUUCCACGACAUCUUAGGAACCACCUCGUUCUAUUAUGUGUGUUAGAGUAAUGCAUAUGGGGCUUCAUUGGACUGAAACAUAACCAACUUUCGAAUAAUUACCCAACCCUUUCUAUUUACAGGGACCUCGUCUGAAAUGGAUAGACCCCUCACAUAUCUUGGGUCCAAUCAUACUAAAUAGACUAUCACAUAUGCACUAAGUCAUUCAUACUUACACGGGGCUCACUUGAAUCAAAUACAUGUUUCCACCUAUUUCAGAUACGGCUGCCCUAAAAUGACUAGAGCACCUUGUACUAACCACAUUAAAUCGGAGGGGAGAAUAUAACAACAACAAGGAAACUUAUCACUGAAUCCACAACCAUUACACAUGGAGAUCCACCAGGUAUGCUCGCCUAAUAACCCAACAAUCUUAUUGAUCAAUCGUUUUACUACAUGCUUGUACGUAUACUUACUUUGACGUCGAAGUGCCUUUUGCAAACACACGACUCCGUUUGAAGAAGAAGUGUAUGACCAGUCACAGUGGCUCCAACCACCGUCAGAGGAGAAUCACCCUUAUUUAGAAAGUACAUCCAUUUUGUACACGGGCAAGUACAAAAGAGCUGUGCAACUUUAAUUAAUCAACAAAUUUCAUUCUCCAUUUUUUUCUUUUCUUAUUUUUUUUAAACUUUCACGCGACAUCAAAGGAACGAUAUCAAUAAUGAUAACCUAAAAAAAAAAUGAAAUUUGUACAAUUAUUUUGGAACAACUCUCUCUGUCUCAUUGUGUAAUGAUAUUUGUACAACUAUUUCAUGACAACUUCUGAGACAAUCUUCUUUAUAUCUAUUUUUUUGGACAAAAACAAUAAAGAUAGUAAAAGAGAGUAAAAAUACAAUGAAAGUAUAAAAAAAAAAUGUGCAAAAUAUUAUCACAAAAUAGAUAUAUGAAUAUCAUUUAUCACCUCACUGUGUUCUUACUUUUUCCUUUCCUUUCAAUUGUUUAUGUUCUAAAACAGGAAGAAGAAAGUAAGAGAUUAUUAUUAUUUUUUUAAUAAAAAGCAAGAAAUUAUUUUCAAAAUUGUCAUAAAAUAGUUGUAAAAUUAUUUUUACAGAAAAAUAGUUGUAUAAAUACUUUAUUUAUUAAAAAACAGACAAUAAUGUGUUGUGUCGCUGUGUGGCAUGCAUGGAUCAGGCGAGUGUAAAUGGCCAUUUCAUAAUUUGAACCGAAACCAAAGGGUAGCAACGACAUUCCACAUAUUAAUACACCUGUGCUAAGUAAUUUCUACUUCAUUUUGUGCUAAUCGCGUAGGUCGGGUUGAGACUUGCGCAGAGAGAGAGAGAAAAAUAUCAAAAGAGGAGAGAGAGAAUAGAAGAGAAGCUUCGCGCUGUUACGUCAAUGGCCGUUUAGGGUUUCUAAUUGAUCCAACGAAACUCAAUCCCUUCACUCCAAUUGUUUUCUCCUUCAUUCCUCUUCCUCUCAAAACCCUAAUUUACUUUCUCCGAUAUUGGGUAUGCUUUUUAUUGCUUUCAAUUUUGAGGAGCUGUGAUGGGAGCGCCAGAGAAAUCUCAAACCAACGCUAGUUCCAUGCAGGCAAGUUACUUUUAUUCUAAUUCCAAACCUUCAACCUUGCCCUAAGUUAUAAUUGAUGCUUAUUCUUACUAUUCGAUUUUGUUUCAAGUUCGAACUUCAAUUUUGUUUGUUGAAUGAUUUUGAUGUAGUUAAUAUUCAUUAGGAGUUGUUUACUUUACUUUGACUUUCACAUGUAUAUUGUUAUAGUUUGAUUGCGUGGUUUGUUAAACUUGUGUGUGUAAUUUCUAUGUUUUCUAUUCAGUGAUGGAGGUCCCGCAAAUAUGUAGAAUUGUGGAGGCAAAUAAUUUUAUUCCACCUGAGAAAAUUUGAUGUAUUUUGAAAUGGAUUGUGCGAAAUUUUUUUGAUAAAAAAUGAACAAGCUCACAUAUUUAUAUGCUCAUUGUUUGAGAUUGUCAAUUUUACUCUCUGCCAUUUGUAUUGUAAGUUGUUUUCUUUGUUCGGCAAAUUUAAUACUAUUUGCACCGUUUAGCAUCGCUCUUUUGAAAUUGUGAUAUCAAGUGUGCUUAUUAAUGUCAGUUCAAACUUUAGCAAGGGCUGCCAAUUAGUUCAAACUUUGUGGUAGAGCUUACUAGGCAAUAAGGGAAUUCAGUUGCUCAUACUUUAGUAAGGGCAGCCAAUUAUCGGGCCAGUCACCAGUUUUUUAUUUUUAUUUUUAAUCUCAAACCAACGCUAGUUCCAUGCAGGCAAGUUACUUCUAUUCUAAUUCCAAACCUUCAACCUUGCCCUAAUUUAUAAUUGAUGCUUAUUUUUACUAUUCGAUUUUGUUUCAAGUUCGAACUUCAAUUUUGUUUGUUGAAUGAUUUUGAUGUAGUUAAUAUUCAUUAGGAGUUGUUUAUUUUACUUUGACUCUCACAUGUAUAUUGUUAUAGUUUGAUUACGUGGUUUGUUAAACUUUGUGUGUGUAAUUUCUCUGUUUUCUAUUCAGUGAUGUUGGUCCCAUAAAUAUGUAGAAUCGUAGAGGCAAAAUAAUUUCAUUCCACCUGAGAAAAUUUUAUGUAUUUUGAAAUGGAUUGUGCAAAUUUUUUUUGACUAAAAAUGAAGAAGCUCACAUAUUUAUAUGCUCAUUGUUUCAGAUUGUCAAUUUUACCCUUUGCCAUUUUUUAUACCAUAACAUUGUCCAUUUAUUGUAAGUUGUUUUCUUUGUUCGGCAAAUUUAAUACUAUUCGCACCGUUUAGCAUCGCUCUUUUGAAAUUGUCUCAAGUGUGCUUAUUAAUGCCAGUUCAAACUUUAGUAAGGGCGGCCAAUUAGUUCAAACUUUGUGGUAGAGCUUACUAGUCAGUAAGCGAAUUCAGUUGCUCAUACUUUAGCAAGGGCAGCCAAUUAUCGGGCUAGUAACCAGUUUUUUUUAUUUUCCUUCCACUUGUAUUGAUGAUAUUCUUAUUAAUGAAAUGAGUUGAGUUUGCUUUGCUUUUGUCAAAAAAAGAACCCGCUUAGAUUUUGUGGUAAUAAGUCAGUCACAUAUAUAGUAUUGUUCCCUCCAUUCCCAGUAGCGGCACAUGCACAUACCCUUUAAUAAGGGUACUUCCAUCAUUUGUUGCUUGGUAUAUGAUAGGAAUUAACUUAAAAUUCAAGGACUAAGUCACUAGUACUUAACCAACUUCUGAAUUAUCAGGAAAAACCCAAGUCCCACAUCGGAUAGAUAAGACUCUUGACAAGAGUUUAUAAAGCGGAGGCACUCCUCACCUUAUGAACCAGUUUUGUAAGGAUGAGUAUCAUGAGUUAGGCCCCAAAUUUCAACAUGUGUUAAUUGCAACAUUCAUAAUGAGCCUGUUUGUUUCUUUAAAAGUUUGAGUGGCAAUUGCGUUGGUAUGCUUACGCCAUAGAAUCUAGGACAUUGAUAAACAUGCUUAUUGUUGUGGUAGAUGUAUUUGAUUUUGUGGAAAUUUUACCCCACAUUCACUUCAAAUAUUGAACAUUUAGUUUGUGAAUUUUGGAUAAACAGUCCGUUUGAGCUAUAGAUGAAUUUCUCGAUGACAUAUCCCAACACAUCAAUUCAAUUUGGUUGGAAAAUACUCGAGAUUUGAUCUCUUUUUGAAACUUUUAUCUGUUACUGUUGAUGUUUGGCAUGCACCAGUUAUUGUUCAAUUUAUAGUCUUACCAUACUGUAAGGCUUGGCGGUAACUUAAUGUACACACCAUUUUCUUUUCUUGUUUUGUGGCGAGUAUCAUGUUAUAUUUUGCGUUACUUGAACGAUAGGAUGUCUUAUUUACUUAUUGUCCUUAAUUGACUGUUUUCCACUAUAUGGGCUACAUUUGCCAACACUCUUAAGGAUUAAAUUGUACUUUUUGCCUCAUUUGUCACCACCUUUUUAACCGUCCUUACUUCUUGUAUAGGCUGGUCAUUUAUUGUUUUUAACCAUUUAUCAGUAGUCAAAAUUCACAUACUGCAAAUUAAGCGAAUUACAAUUCACCUUCACACCCAUCACUAUUGAUCUUGGUGCGCGGAUAUGAAUGGUGGGUGGUCCAAAUCGAUAAGCUUUGAUUCCAUAACAGGUUACCCCCAUCACUAUCGGGUUUGAUGCGUGGACAUAAAUGGCGGGUGACCCGGAUUGAUAGGCUUUGAUAUCAUAUUGGGUUUUUAUAUUGAGCUUAACUCAUCCUUACAAAGCUGGCUUGUAAGGUGAGGGGUAUCCGUAUCUCUCUAUAUAAAUUCAUUUCAGGCCUCAUCUCUUUUCUAUGUGGGACUUGGUAUCUAUUCAAUACUAAGCAAUACUAAGCAUUUGCACUAAAACAUCCGUAAAUAUGUAAUUACAAGUAAGGGUAGUAGUUAUCCUAUCUGGUGUCAGUAUCCCCUCACUAGACAGGUUCUGUAUGGUAUUCAUAACUGAAAGUGAAAGGACCAGAAUAAUUUUGUCUUGAGGAUGCAUGAUAAUUAUGUAGUUCCGUUUCUCAUUUUUUCCUGUUUAUCAAUUAACUUUUCUUUUUUUUGCUGGGUAAAUUCUGGUUAUUUUUCUUUUUGUAUUUUUGUACCCUUGGUUUUGUUUCCACCUUUGAUAUUGUAAGAGAAAUUAGAAGUUAGGACAUUUUUGUUCAAUUUGGCUCAUAUAAUCCCUUAUCUUUUUCUCUUUUGUUUUUGUUUGCAACUGCUAGGUUCGUUGUCCUGUUCCUCUUAGUUGUUUUUUUGAAGUAAAAAGAAAAGAUGGCUUAGCAAAGUCAUCAUGAUUUAGAUUUCAGCUGUCUUGACAAGAGUAAGCAGUUAGUCUGAUCACAUUCCCAAUAUUACAAUUUUAGGUGUUUUGAAUUUCUUACAUGGAGUAUGUUUUUAUUGCUUCUAUAUUGAUAUUGUCAGUGUUUGAUAGAUAUAUGCGAAUAAGUAUUUUCUGUGGUUGAGAGGCUUAUAUAUCAAAGAAUACUGUUUACUUAGUCUCUCUUCUAAUUGGAUUUCAGCGUGUCAAGGUGUACCGUCUGAAUGAUGAUGGAAAAUGGGAUGACCAGGGUACAGGGCAUGUAACUAUUGAUUAUUUGGAGGUUUGUAAAUCUUUUUUAGCGUACUUUCAUAUGUGACAUAAUGACUUAGUUAAUCAGUUUAUGAUGGAACCCACAAAAUACAGUGAUGCCAUUUGAUUUAUUUAGCAGAGAACAGUUUCUAUGGUUGUAGUUUUCAUCUGUUCCUAACAUGAGUACUUAAUGUAUACGCUUGGCUUUCCCUUUGGAAGUGUUUGUUUCAAGGUGUAAAAUCAUUUGUAGUUAUAGUUCACAGUGUUUAGUAAGUACUUAGUAAUCCCAGGAAUAUUAAUUUAAUUUUAAAAGGGUUAAUUAAAUUUUUAGUCCUUACAAAUAUUCACAGUUUUAUUUUUAGUCCCUACAAAAUAAAAUCACACUUUUUAGUCCCUGUGACAUUUUCCUUAAGCAUUUUAGGGACCAAAACUGUUGAUAAUUUUUUUUUACAGGGAUUAAAAAGUGCUGAUGGAAAAAUUUAUAGGGACUAAAAAUGCUAACGGAAACUUUUAUAGGGACUAAAGUGUGAUUUUAUUUUGUAGGGACUAAAAACAAAACUGUGAAUAUUUAUAGGGACUAAAAACUUAAUUAACCCAUUUUAAAAUAUACAAAGUACAAAAUACAAAAAUUGUGGUAGAAUGAGGUAGGACUGGGAAGUUGUAAUGGUUUAAUUACAAAGUAUAUUUUAUUCUCAUGGGAAUGUAAGAUUCUCAUCCUUUAACAUGGGAGUAAAAAUGAGAAAAACAUGGGUAAAUAACAUUUUUGGUAGUCUGAUGUAAAAAAACAUUUUUGGUAGUGUGAUGUAAAAAAACAUUUUUGGGAGUCAAUAAUGCCUAUGAAGCACAUAUAAUCUUCGGAUUAGGCGUGUCCGGUGUUGUACACACAUUGGUAUCCAACACACAUAUGACACCCGUACGGCACGUGUCGGACGACUCAUUCACAUACAAUCAUCUUAAUCUUUUAUUACAUUCCACAAGCAUGAAUACUAGCGUAUCUUGUUUUAUUUUCUUUUUGUAAUUAAGAAAAUUGCUCAAUUUAGAUGUAUAUAUAAAUUUUCGUUCUCAAUUUAGAUUGAGAUAUUUUACAAAUGAUGUUCUUAUUUUUAUUUUAUUAAGUUAUACUUAUAAUAUAUAUGUAUACACACAUAUGAUUGGUGUCGGCGUCCUAUGUUUUUUACACUAGCAGUGUCGAAGUGUCCGUGUCAGAGUCCGUGCUUCAUAGACUCGACGAGUUUUUUUAUAAUAUGUUACGUUACAUGUGUGUUCAUUUUAAGUCUCUAAUAAGAUGAUUUGAGACUCUUAAAGUGUUAAUUUCUUUUAACUUGUCGCCUUGUUAGCAAGUAAAAUUAACAUAGACUUUAGAAAAUGAAAAUAGAUAAUGUAUUUACAAAGUAAAUGGGGCCUUACAUUCUUUAUCUCAAUUUUAUAAGAAUAGUUUUACAUGUCUGGAAAAAACACACUACAAUGUUUGUUUCUGUGCAUGUUUGUAUUGAAAACAGAAAAGGAAAAUUGAAAGAGAAGAAAUAUUGUUUCUGAUGUUGUAUUUAAUAUUCUUCACUUGGUUACAAUAGAGGCUCUUGCUUAUAUAUAGGCAAGAGGCUUAUAGCAGAGCAGCUGAUGUAUAACAGCUGUGAAAAGCUAACUAAGAGCUGUAACAUAUAACAGCUGUGAAAAGCUAAUUAAGAGCUGGAAAAUUAACUAUUGUUACUAAAACUCUAAUAGUUUGGAAUCCAUUUCGUGAGAGGAAAAAGUGUUUCAAGAAACGUAAAAUUGAUUUUGACAUGAUUGAGUAGCUGGUUUUUAUUUUUCAAAUGGACAACCUUGAGAUUUCCUGCAUUCAAACUAUAUAAAAUAUCAUAUAUUAAUGCAGCGAUCAGAGGAUCUGGGCUUAUUUGUUUAUGACGAAGAAGACAACGAGACCAUACUUUUGCAUCGCAUCAGUGCUGAUGAUAUUUAUAGGAAGCAAGAAGGUAAUUUGCUACUUUAUAUGCUCUCUCUCUCUUACACACACACACCAAUAAUGCCUAUUGCAAUUCAUUUAUGCAUGUGUACAUUUAUACUUCAUUGCAUUUAUCUGUUAUUGGAUGCUUUUGCUCUUCAGAUUCAAUUAUCUCAUGGAGAGAUCCCGAAUAUGCCACAGAAUUGGCACUCAGCUUUCAAGAGCCUAGCGGAUGCUCUUACAUAUGGUAACAGAGUAACUGGUGAUUUUAACCUUUUUUCUUUGGGUUUUGUUUGUCACUGCUGUGGGUUGAGCUUACUUACUAUGCUUGUUUCAUUCAGGGACCAUAUUUGCAAUGUGCAGAGGAAUAUGCAAUUCAAUACUUUAAAUAGUAAGUGAUGUAGAUUUGUAAUUUCAUUACUAGCUCUGUUGGUAGGAUGUGCUCGUGUGUCUGUCUUCCGAAAAGAACUAUUUUAUGUUACAUAUUUUUUGGUAUUGCUGCUUCUUCGACCAAAAAAGUUAUGUUGAAGAAUUUACCAUUGUUCCUAUAGUGUUUUACUGUUGGUUUUGCUUUAUUUGCCAAAUCAGAUUAUUUACUAUUUAUAGCCUAUAUCUAACUGUAGUGACUGUAAUUUUCUGUUGUUUAUCAGAUGAGUCAUUUCAGAGCACCAACAGUGAGUUAAGGGAGUUGCCUGCUGUUGAACUAACAACACUCCCAUUGAUUCUUAAGGUUUGGGCUUUGUUUUAUUCUCCUUGUUUAUUUUUGUGGAUUUUUAAUACUAAAUGUCAUGUCCAUCACAUCUCUCUUCAAUUUGUCUUUUCAUUACCAACAAUUAUUUUAGUCAAGAUUGGCUUUGUUUGCUUUUAGCCUACCAUACAUGAAAUCUGAAGCAACAUUGGGAAUUCCGUUGAUUUAUGACCUGUUUGUUUUGCUAAACUAUAUCUUAUCUCAUCGUGUUUCUUGAAUAAAUCUUUGAAAACUGGAAACAAAGGGAAAACAAGGUGGUAUUUUUCUAAUUAAGAGUUCAAUUGAUUUAGAGUCUAUUUGGUUGGAGAAACCAUUUCUUAUUUCUUGCAUAGAUAUUUGAAAAUUGGGAAACUUAAGUGAAAACAAAUGGUGGUUUCAUUAAUGAAGAUAGAAACAGAAAACAUUAUGAUGUUUUCCCAAACCAAACAAGCCCUUAGUUUCUUAAGUUCCCAAAGAGACUUGAUUUCUCGACCAACAUUUUCUUAUAGCAGCAAUAUCUCCAUGCCCUCCGUCCCUCCUAUUACAAUCCAUCAACUUGGUCUGUAAUGCAUGCUUCAGAAACUCAGAAAACUAUCUCUAUCAGAGUUUCAGAAACUCAGAAAACUGAAGGGAGAAAUAGAUCUGAAUAAAUAUUAAUUAUUAAAUUUAAAAAACUAUCUUUAUCGAAGUUUCGGAAACUCUGAAAACUGAAGCGAGGAAUAGAUCUGAAUAUUUGUGCCCUGACAUUAUGAAAUGAAAAUUAUAUAUAGCUCUGUUGUCAAUAGCGUCCGCUCCCGGCGCUAUCGCGGCCAAAAUCAAGGUACCACGUCACAACGCCACCGAGUCACGCGUUUGUGAAAUGCGGGUUUCGCGGCCGCGUUUCUGUGAGGCGGAGCGGGUCAAAGCGUCCGCUUUCUCCAAGUUUUGGUGUUUGAAGGUUGUUUCCGGCGAGUUUUGGUAUUUUCGAGGUUGUUUUGCGGCGAGUUGGAGGAGAGAGAGAGACAAGAGGAAGAAGAUGCAGUUUUUUGUUUAUUAUUUUGAAAAAAGACACGUUUUAGCACAUGAAUGGCUGAAGAGAGCAGCUGUAACCCACCUUUUGUUUAUCUCUUUAGUUUUAUUUUUGACUCCCUAUUUGAAAAAACACACGUUUUAGCAUGUGAGUGGCUGGACAGAGGACAGCUGUAACCCACUAGCCACUACUCUACUCCCUGUUUGUCUUUUGAGAAGGCACCACUCCCUAUUAAAUAUUAAUUUAAUUACUAAUGUGAUUUAAAAAAGUCAUACUCAUAUAAUAAUAAUUUGUUUUACUAAAUUAAUAGUAAUAAAACUUUUUUUAAAGGAAUAGUAAAUAAUACAUAGUAUAGUAUAUUGUUUUUAAAUUAUGGCAUGAUAUAUUACCUUUGUCUUUAUCAAAAAAAUAUAGUAUAUUUAUUAAAUUAUUAAGUAUAUACAAUUAAUUUGUUUCUUAACUAUAUUGUUUAAGGUAUUUUAGUAUUUUUUUUUUAGCAUUAUGGUAUUUAAGUAUAAUGUUUAAGCAUGUUAUUUAAGGUAUUUUAAUAUUUCUUUUUGAACAAUAUGAUAUUUUAAAAUUAAAAGUAUUUAAGUAUAAUAGUAUUUAAUACUAAAAACAAUUAAUAAUCUUUAAUCUUUCAUUUAUACUAAUACUAAAUACAUUUUUUUUCCAUAUUUUAGUAGUCCUUUAUUAAUAAUAUAAUUUUUAGUUUUAGUGUCCGCGUCAUGUAAUAGCGCCCGCGUCGCGCCGCGGUGGCCGCGACACGUUUCCGCUUUGACAACAGAGAUAUAUAGUACAUGUAUAUAUAGUGACACUGUUCGAUGAAGGCAGUUACCGGCAGCUGCAAGCAUGCAACUGCUUCUAAUUGAAUUAUAACCGGCCUUACAAACUGUGAGCUAAGCAAAGCUAUAGUGCUCAGCUUUGUGUGAGACAUACGAAAGGGAUUACACACUUCUAUCAAUCUCAAAGAUGAGCUCUGCUUUAUAUGUGUUUGUUUACUUUCUAGAAUACAUUGUUUCUAAUCCUACUAAAAGGGUCAUCUUAACCUGAGUUACUGAAACAUGUUCCUCUGACCCACGAUUGAAAACACUCCAUUUUCCCAACCCUAGAGUGUGGUCGCGAGUUCUACCACUGGAAACAGAAUCGCAGAAUCCAUUCAAAGAUUGUGGAUUUUACGAUUAACAGAAUUGAUUAUACACGAUUUCACUAAAUUACAAUUCUGGGCGUAGUCGUGAUCCUUCAGGGCUACGAUAAUCGUACAGUCGUACGAUCAUACAAUUAAAAUCCCGAUUUUGACUACCAUGACUUCUAUAGUAUGGUGUUAUCAAAAAGGUUUGUUGGUGACUCUGCACAGGGAUUUUAACACCAUGCUGUUGCUUCUGAGAUACUGAUUUUCUCUUCAUUCUUAUCCAAUAAUAAUCAUAGUCUUUGUACUGUUGAUUGUAAUACAGCAGCCAGGGAGUGAUUUUAAUUUGAAUACCGUGCUCCUUAUUUAAGAUUUUUUUUGUGCAAGUAACAAUUUGCUUUUAUCAAUGAAACUUCAAUUUCAUUUUGAUCAUUUUUGGUUUUGUUUGCAGACCGUUGUUGACAGCAGCAUUUCAGAUCAAAUACGACUAACAGAGCUACUAUCAAGUAAUGUAAGCUGCCGUUAACUUUGGGUAUUUGUGCAUACGUCUUUAUACCUUUCACUGCAUAAUUUGUUGUUGCCUCACUGUUGCUAUAUAUUUGUUAGUCAUUUAAGUUUAUAUUUUUUGAUUGCAAACCUUCCCCUGUUAUAGUAAUGAUGGCAAUAUUUGUUAACAUUCUUUGCUCUUGAGUAUGCUAUGCUAUAGUGAUUCAUAUGGUAAACUAGGAUAUGACUUUUUUCAUCUCAGUUUCUCGUGUAUUGGCAAACUCACUCUCUGUUCUUUGCAUGGAGGGCAUUAAAUGCAUGCAGUAAAGUUUUCAGUUAUCUUUGUAUGAUGGUAUUGUAUGCAAGUGAUCUAAGGCUAAAGAGUUCCAGAUUUCUUUGUAUAAGAUGUUGAUUUUUGAUUUUGUGCUGUAAGAAAUUCUUAUCUACAAAUAAUUACGGAUGAAGUUGUUACCUGUUAUCAUAGAAAAUAUAAGGUGUUAGGAAAAGAAUCAUAUUUCCUGAAGAUGUUGUGUCUGGUCAUGCCACGGCUUUAUAUGGCAUAGCACUUGGGGCAUAUGGCAUUAUAAGCCUGAAGCCUUACUGUGGAUUGCUAAUGUCUAUUGUAUGUGCAUCAUACGUUUGGUUACAUAGUGCUUUGUGUUUUCUUUUUUGUCUGUGUUUUAAAGUCUAUAUCACAUCAAUCAUCUGUAUGACUAUGCAUAAUAGGUACUCUCUGUGUAUAUAUAUUUUAAUAUUCAUCCUUUUUCGUCUGUGUUUUAUAUUGUAGCAAGAAUUUUUUCGAAAGCUGAUGGGGUUAUUUAGAGUCUGUGAAGACUUGGAAAACAUGGAUGGCCUUCACAUGAUUUUCAAAAUCGUCAAAGGGAUCAGUCAGUAUUAAUUUUUGCAUGAUAUUAAUUUUGAAUCCCAUUUUAUCGUUAUCGUUUUUAUUUAUUCCUGUAAUCUGUACUCUUGCAGUUUUACUUAAUAGUCCAACAAUUCUUGAGAGAAUUUUUAAGGAAGAGUUUAUAGUGGACAUCAUCGGUGCCCUUGAGUGUAAGUGCAUUCUUCCGAAAUUAAUUUCCCAAUGAGUUAUACUUUUUCUCAUUCAGUGAUCAUCCAUGAUAAUAUAUUUCUGUUCUCUGCCUGUUUUUCUUUUAAAUUUAAAAUAUAUCUUUAUUGUGUUAUAACAGUCCUUAACUGCUCAUAGUGGUUUCAGUUAAGGUGAUAUCACUGAUUUAGAUGGUUUCAUUUUAAUGUCUUCAUUCUUUUUCCGCUUCUUAUUUGGAUUGCUGAACCGCCUGUUUUAGCAAUAUGCAGAUGAUCCGGACAUUACUUGUGUUCAGCAUCAUCGUAAAUUCUUAAAGGACCAUGUUGUUUUUAAGGAGGUAUUUAUCACUCUAUGUUCCAUUUAUCACUCUGUGUGUAGAUCUAAAGAUGUGGAAGAUUUUUUUACCUUAUUUGUAUAUUGUCUAUUUUCUCUUGUAGGCUAUACCUAUAAAAGAUCCCAAUGCACUAGCGAAGAUACAUCAGACAUAUAGAGUUGGUUAUUUGAAGGUUUGACUCCUUUUUGAGACUUCGAUUGCUGACCCCUUUUCUUCAAUGUGAACUAACUUUCUUUUCUCAUUUUCAGGAUGUUGUUUUGGCCAGAGUCUUAGAUGACGCUACUUGUGCAACCGUUAACUCCAUAAUACAUGCAAACAAUGCCUUUGUAAGCUAUGAUUAUCAGAUAAAGAAAUUACAUCAUUUAAUUUAGUUUUGUCUUUUAUUGUUGAGUGAUCUGUUUUUUUUUUCCUUCCCUUUUCUAGGUUAUUGCUAUGUUGAAGGAUGACAAUACAUUUAUCCAGGAGUUGUUUGCUAGGUUAAAAUCUCCCACAACCUCUCAAGAAUCAAAAAAGAACUUGGUAGGUUUUGAUACAAUAUCAUAUCAUUUGCUUCCGUCUAUAAUUGGAGUUUCCUUUAUUUGGGCGAUUAUUGGUUAAUAUAUCAUAAAGGAAGAAAAUGUGAUGGUUAUUGGUUAAGUCUAAUAGUUUAAAAUUGAAUGCAACCCUUAUAGUUAUUUUGUUGGAAAUUUGUAAUGCAUAAAUUUAUGAUGUUAAAUAAGUAAUUAAAUGACAAUUUUUUAAAUUUAUGAGGUUAAAUAGUAAUAAAUGACAAAUUUUUAAAAACAGAACCAACGCCAAUCCCCCCUUCUCUCUCAAUCUCUUGGGGGUGUUUGUUUCGGAGAUUCCAAACUUAGUCCUGGGAAUAUUAGAUGGAAAUAAAAUAACAUCCAUGUUUGUUAUACAGGAAUAAAUAAUUAUUCACAAGAAUUAACUAUACCCAGGAACUUUUUAUUCCCGCAAAGUUAGGCUUUCAUUCCCCCCUCAAUAGCGUGGGAACCUUUCAUUCCCAAGUGGAGAAGUGGGUGGUUACAGUUACUAUUCUGCGUAAAAUACAACUGCAUCCCUCAACUUCUUACUGAGUACAUUUUCUUUCAUUGGUUUGUUUUUUCAUGUGUUGGUUUUUAUUUGUGAAGCUGGGAUUUCAUUCCAAAAAAUAUGUUAAUUGUAUUUUGGUACACUAGCUCCGAUUCAUGAAAGUAAUAAACUUUUCCACUAGAUUUUUCACCAAACAAAACUUUUGUGCUAGAUAGAUUUGCAUCAAACCAUGCAUUUUGAUUUUUUUAUUUAUUUUCAGCAACAAUAAAUGAUUUAUUUUUAUUUAUUGUUUGAUAGAUCAUAGAGAUAACAAAUUGUUAUCCUAUAAUAUUUUUUCAAUCAAUUAUUGUAAGUGCAGCUUUGCAGCUGUGUACAUUUUUGUGUGUCGGUUGCAUAUACUAGUAUGAAUAUUUUAAGAAUUUUGAUAUUUAUUUCAAGGAUUGUAUGACGUGAUCCAAAACAUAUUUUGUUUAUUUCCAGGAAUUUUAGAAAAAUAUUCCCAGGAGUUUAAAAACAUAUUUUGUUUUUUGAAAGAUUCCAUAGAAGUAAAUUCCUAUCAUUACAUUCCUAGAAAGGUAUUCCCGUGAAUAGUAUUUGCAUCCAUGAAAAAAAUACCUCAUUGCCAAUUUGCUGGCUAGCAAAAAGUAUGUAAGGGGGAUUGAGUUCUACUCACACUCUCUUCUCCUGAAUACUCCCUCAGUUUCAAAACGAGUGUUGUCUAAGGUUUUUAUACACAACUUAAAAAAUCCAAGGAAGUUGUCAAAAGACAUGGCACUUUUACUAAACUAACCUUAUUAACUAUUGAUGAGUUUCUCACCAUCAUAAGUGCAAUGUGAAAUAGAAUGCUUUGGAAGUAGUGUACAUAAGUAAUAAUUAGAUGACACAAUUGAAACAAAUAAUUAAUUCUACAUUGAAAAGUGACAUUCAUUUUGAAACACAUUUUCUUUGCUAAAGUGACAUUCAUUUUGAAACAGAGGGAAUAGCAAUUCUUGAAUCCUCAAAUUUGGGGAACAUAGUAUCCUAAUUCCUACAAGUUCCCCUUUCAUCCUGCUGCAUAGGACUAAGAGAUAGCUUAUUAGGAUUUUAUUACCUCUCUUAGUCAAAUUUUAUCAGAUGCAACAGUUUGAGGAUACUAUGAUCAAUAGAUCAUAGUUUCCAAAUGAUUCAUGGCUAUAAAACUGUCAUGUAAUGAGGCUUCAUGUUAGUGUGUUACUUCCUAUCUUGUAUUUUUAUAAUGGAUAGAUGUUAAUGCUGCCUUGUUAGAUGCUCAUGAAUCAUGAUUUUCCUCGGAUUCUUAUUUUAAACAUAGUUUGCCUCUUAUGUUGGAUGGACAGGUCCAUUUCUUGUAUGAGUUUUGUAGUGUAAGCAAGAGCUUGCAGAUGGUCCAGCAGCUUCGGCUAUUUAGGUAAGUUACAUUGAUAUCAUGACACAACCUGUUCUGCUGCUUGUCUUCCUUUUUAAAUUUAAACAUUAGUUACUGUUGUUCAAUUGAUUGUCUAUUUUCUAAAAAACUCUUCCUUGCUUAUUUUCCAUACUUUGUUUUGGGGAUUUAUGGUAGCCUUCAGUGGAGCCAGUUCUCCUUGGUCUGUUAUUAAUUUCCUAUGUGAGAUCACAUGGAUCUAAUUAGAGAUUUUUGACCAAGUCUUGCUGGAAAUUUCAUUUUGUUAAAUUUUGUGUGCAACAUGUUACUUAACAUACUUACGAAAUAGCUAGUUUGUACUCUGCAAUUAACAUACAACAGUUGACAGAGGAAUCUUUUGAUAUAUAAUUGCGAAAAGUUAUGUCUGUAGUAGCUGCUUUUGAAUGGAACUGGUAUAAGUUACCUCUAACAACACACUUUUGAUUCGGAACAUUGAUACCUAAUUCAUUCCCAUCACUUUGUUUUACCAUUCAUUCUACAUUUUGGGUGUCUGUUGAAUCCCAUUGUUUUGUAGCUUCAUAUUUUUUAUGUUUGUAGGGAUCUGACAAAUGAAGGCAUCUUUGACAUUGUCAGUGAAGUUUUGCAAAGUCAAGACAAGAAACUUGUGCUAACUGGGUAUUGAUUCUUCCUUUCUCAGUUGUCUAUAUAAAAUUUAGUUGACUGUUCUGUUUGUACACUCGUUUAUGAUUAAUUUCUAAUAGGAAAUCAUUGUGAUGGUUGCAGAACAGACAUCCUCCUUCUUUUUAUGAAUCAGGAUCCUAAUCUUCUGCGGUCAUAUGUUGUUCGGCAGGAAGGAAUUGCUCUUCUAGGACUCUUGGUAUGCUUUUUGUAUGUAAAUAGGAUCAUAUCCCACUUUUUUAUAUGUAAAUGGGGUCAUAUUCGUUUUUGGAUGACUUGCAGUGUAAAUAAUUUACAGAAAUCAAAUAAUCUACUAGCUAAGCCUACAUGUGUGUAUGUGAGUGUAUGGUGUAUGCUCCCUCUUCUAUGUUGUGUUCGACAGUAAUUUAGUUUUGAAAGUUUGGUUAUAUACAUUAUUUUUAAGUGGAAACUUGAGCCAAAAAUUCAGUUAAUAAUUUUUGUUUUGGGUUUUGCUGAACAAAGUGUUUGUUAGCUUACUCAGAAUUGCCAUUGUAUUUUAGCUUAUUCAUAGGAUGCUUCAAAAUUUAAUAAUAGUACCAGGUGCAGAUCCUUUGGGCAGUCCCAAUUCUAACCGAAAAUCUGAAGAUUAUUUGGAGACAAAUAAGUUUGAGGUUUGCACUUAUGAUGCGUAUAGACAGUGUAGUCUUGCUAAAAACCAUGAGGCCAUGCAGAAGAUUUGACCAUCUGCAUAUCCAGCUGGGUUUAUGUAAAGAAAACUCUCGCUAUUAGGGGCAGACUGAUCCAAGUGUAGUUGCAGAAGUCAGAUCUACACUGAUUUGUUACAACUGAUAAUUAUAACCAUGCCUAACUGAAUCGAACAUAUUAACUAGCUGUUACACUAAUAGACAUAUGUAGCAGUAUACUCUAAAUUCAACUUAUAUUAGUUGAUCUGUUAUGUAUCUAAUGGUUUUUGGAAGGCUAGUCCUUCAUGUAAUUAUUGGGCAUGCUAUCAUGUACAGGUUAAGGGAAUGGUAACAGACUUUGGAGAGAGCAUGCACUGCCAGUUUCUUGAGAUUCUUCGUAUUCUAUUGGACUCGAGCACAUUGUCUGGACCACAGGUAUCUUUCUCUGUAUUUUCUUGGACCUGUUAUCUCAAACCUUGAUCGAUAAUUUAUUGACUUCAGUUUUAUUUCUGGAUAUUAGUUGUUUUGCAUUUUCUUUAUUUCAUAAUGGCUGCAUUUAGUUUUAAAUUGUAACAUGUCUUUAUGACAUAAUUUAUAUUGAACCUUUUGUUGGCAUUAUUCUGUCUAUAUUGGAUGUUGCAGUCAGCUAUCUUGGGUUUUGAUUUGGUUAAGGGGAGGGGUUGUUCGUCUCAUUUUGCAAGUUUGUCAUAGUUUUGCAUUUGUGAUGGAUUGGCUAUUUAACUUGAGUUUCAGGGGUUUUAUAGUGAACUCUAUUUACCAAUUGUUGAAAAAGUUUGGCCGUGGUCAACAAAUUUAAGUUUGUUUGUGCAGGUGUAAUAUUUGAAUGUUAUGUAUUUGCUGAUUUGUUGGAAAAAGUUGUCAGUUUAAGUGUCACAUAAGAUGGGAGUCUUUUUUCUAUGUUUGUUUCAUUGACUGCUUUAGUUUUAUCCGACAGAGGGACGCUAUCAUUGACAUCUUCUUUGAGAAGCAUUUGGGUCAUUUGAUUGAGGUUAUAACAGCGUCAUGUCCUUCAGAAAAUACUGCCGGUGCUAGUAAAUCAAUAGGUCCUGGACAAAGUGUUCAAUUUCAGCGCAGAACAAAAUCGGAGAUAUUAUCAAAUAUAUGUGAAUUACUAUGCUUUUGUGUCCUCCAUCACCCAUACAGGAUAAAGUAAUGCCUUCUUACUCUGCAUAAAUCAGAUUGAACUCUAUGCUGGUAAUCAUGAAAAUUUUGCUUAUGGACCACUCCUUGCUGUUUUUAGGUGCAAUUUUCUUCUCAAUGAUGCAAUUGAAAAUGUUCUGCUAUUGACACGGAGAGCAGAAAGAUACUUAGUAGUUUGUGCUGUCCGGUUUGUUCGAACUGUUCUCUCCCGCAAUGUAAGUUUUAACAUUCACGCACUAUUUUUUGUAAUGAAAUUUGGGAAAAUUGUCAAUUGGUUGAAGAAAAAGAUGUUACUAUUUUAAGGGUCUCAGUUUUGUCAAUAGCAGCUUCACUGACAACGUAGUGUCGUGUGGUAAUGUAGGGAGUCCCCACUAUCAUGAAAUACUUAAAAUAUUUGAUACAAUUUACAAUUCUCAAUUUGAAAAAUUGCUUCUUAAUUCGAAAUUUUGAAUAGUUAUUUGAUAUCUUUACGGUUCAGUUAUAAUUUAUAAAUUAUAAUUUUUCACCUUAGAUUUUCGUAAGUUUUUUUUUUUUUUAAACCAUUAGAGCUAUAUUCUGUCUGUUGCAAUUUUUUUUCAUCUUGAGAACAAAUAAUUUUUUGAAGAACCAAAUUAAAUGUUAUUUGUUAUAUCAGCAGAGUUCGAUUGUCUACUUUACAUCUACUACAUCUGACAAUUUCAAGUUUUAACCUGCAGGAUGAGCAUAUGAUAAAUUAUUUCGUUAGGAAUAACAUUCUCAAACCAAUUAUAGACGCCUUUGUUGCUAAUGGCAAUCGCUAUAAUCUUCUCAAUUCUGCUGUUCUGGAACUUUUUGAGUAUAUUCGGAAGGUAUUGAACUUCGAUGAGCAUUCAUUUGGAUCUUAAAUUCCCCAACUAAAAGAACGUUAACUGACAAUUUUGUAUUGUGCAGGAGAAUAACCUGAAAUUAUUGCUAAAACACCUAGUUGAUUCUUUUUGGGAUCAACUGGUAAAGUUUGAGCAUUUGGUUUCAAUUCGCUCGCUGAAAGUAAAAUAUGAGCAGGUAAUUUUUUGUUUUCCUCCAUGAUUUCUGGGCAUCAUCACAUAUGUUUAAAUUUAAAUGCUUGCUUGCAGUGUGUGGAUAAUGGUGGGAACAACGCUGGUGCGGUAAUGGACCUUAGAAGAAGAAUUGAUGAGCGUGCUGUAGAGAGAGAAGAAGAAGAACGUUACUUUAAUGAGGACAGGUACAUAUCUUCUUUCUUAACUACUGUAAGAAUUUUUAUUGUUUUAUGUAAUUGUUGUGGAGUCUGAACUUGGGAAAAUUUGAUCAGUGAUGAGGAGGAUGCAGCAUCUCCAUCUGUUUCACGUGAUCAUAAAGGUCAUCAACAACCUAUUGUUUCCAAUGGAGUUACUUCAAACCAUCCGCAGCCAAGGUAGACUUGUCUAUUUUAUUUGUUCAUUUUUCCAAAGUCCAUAUGCGAUAAAAUGUGUUCAUCUUGAUUUUCAGUCGAACGUCACUGGUUGACUAUGAAGAUGAUGAGGAUGAUGAAGAUUAUAAACCACCACCAAGAAAGCAGAAAGAAGCAUCAGAGGAAGAUGAAGGGAUAAUGGAGUCUCUCAGGCUGAAAAGAAAACUUCCUUCACAGGACAGAGAGCCCGAACUUGUGAAGAAGCAGAAGUUAACAAAGAAUUCAAAAUCUAAAGAUAGUGUCUUUGCUGCCUUGUGUUCAACCUUGAGCCAAGCUGUGCUACCUAAUAAGAAGUCUGCAAUCAAUAUUCAUACGGGUGCUCGAAGAGUUGAAGGGAGGGUGAGUUCUAGUGAAGACAAUCAGGAAGACAGACAAAAUGUUUCUAGAAGUGGCUCUGAUAAUAGCAACACAGGGGCUGAGGAUAACCAUGUAGAGAAAGAUACUUCAGCCUCUAGAAGCAUUUCUGAUUGUUUGCAUGCAAAAUCAGAUAACAUACAAUUGGGGGGCGAGGAACGUCCACUGGUCCCCCCUAAAUCCUCGCCAGAGAUGGCAGUAAAUGGAUCAUAGGUUUCUACACUCAUACAGGAAGGCAGAUUGUUUGUUCUGUUUGACGCAUAAAUUUCCUGGUGGCUGAGCGGUUGCUGACUAGUGACUAUCAAAGAAGCAUGCUUUUUAAGACAAGAAUUUUGCCUAGAAGGGUGUGAAUUCUGGUUAUUCAUUGCAUUGAAGGCACUUGGUGUGGAGGUAGUACUGUACAGUGCCAUCGAGUUGGGAGAAUAUUAAUACAGAAAAGUGGUUGUUGCUUUCACAUAACUUUUCUGAGCAAUAGUUCUGUAAUUUUCUCGUCUCCAAAUUUUACCUCUUCCAGCUCAUUUAUUUACUUUUAUUGUUUUUGCCGGAGGACAAAAUGUGUGGAUGAGAGGGUGAUAUUUUUUGUCAUUAUUCCUCUUUUCAGUUAUCUGAACUUAAUGAUAGAGGGCGCCAAUAUUUUGCCCUUCACAAGUUUUUCUUAUAUUUUCUUGUCUCUCCCCCCUUUUUUUUGUCAGUGGAUGUUGGUAGAUAUGGAUAUAUGUGCAGUGUGUUUCUAGGGCCAUUUUUUCACGAAUGUACUUGUGAAUCAUCAUCCAUUGUAAAUCUGUAUGAAACUGUUGCGUAUGCAUUGUUCUCGUCUUGCAGGCUCUUUCACAUCGUAAUUGGAUUACAUUUGGCUUUAUUGCGUUAGUCUUAUUAUGGGUUUACUGUGUGGAUUAUGAUCGUGCUUGGAAUAAUUUUUGUAGUCAACGCCAAGUGACAUUAAGAGCUUAACGAGCUAAUUGUUCGAAUCUCCUAAUUUCAGGAACUAUCUCAAAAUUGUAGUACUGAGUUGUAGUCCACUGUGAUCGAUAUAUUUGGUGUAUUCUUUGGUCAAAAUAGCUUGUAUUUCCUCUGUGGUUGAGCUAAACCCUAGUUAGUCAAAAAUACACACGAAGUUUUUAGUAGCAUCAACUUGCAAAUCUUGUGGUGGAAUACAUAUCAAAUAUGCACCAGGGAAUUCGAUCUUAACCACAACAUAUCAAAUAUAAGAUUGACUACGGUUGAGUUCAGUAAAAGUAACAAUUAUUUUUUUAAUUUACUUUUUGAAGGGACUCUAAUUUAAAUAUUAAAUUUUAUUCUAUCACAUUCAUUUACAUUAAAAAAAUCCAAACGCCAAUACGUCAUAGUAAGGUUAUUUUAAACAAAAUUUUGAAUCGAAUGUGAUAGAAUAAAAUUUAUAUAGGCAUAAUCAUGACGUAUUUCAAACGUAGGCAUAAUCAUGCAAUAUAAUACCCACAUUACGUUUGUUAAGUAUGGUUUGAAUUGAGUCAAAAAAAAAUAGAGUACGGUUUUGAAUUUGAAUCUUGUUGAUAAAAAAAAUGUGGUUGGGAGGUGAAAUUCUACGAAAGGGAGUCCGUUAAAUUUCUUUGCAUAAAAAACAUAACCAAUACAAAAUAAACUAUCUUUAUUUUCAAGAUAGAUACGAGAAAAAAGUUUGCAAGGCCAAAAUAAAAUGUUAAACCUGAUAAUUUGAAAUAAUUUUUUGCCUUGACUCUUUGAAAAAAAAUAAUUUAAACCUGUAAGAUAUAUCAUCGUCAUUGUUUUAUGCAUUGAGGAGGAGUCACAUGAUCACACUUUCAUGAAAACGUGAUAGUCUUGUUAGCACGAUUAUUUUUAGAGUACCAUUAGAUUUUGUAUACUUUACAAUAUGUCUAAUUUUUCAAGGAUUUGCAUAAAAAACUUAUUUGAGUAUUAAAUCUCAAAAUCCGUUCGAUUUGGAUCGUGGGUGGAAGAAGAAUUGGUCGUAAGUUUCAACAAAGUAGUACUUACUAACACAGUUAAGUGUGGAUACAAUUACAUGGGUUGCCACAAACUUCGUACCCACGUUGUCUAGGAACAUCCACGUGUGUGUCAAUGUAACACGUGUUCUUCAAAGCCACUACUCCUUCAAUAUCUUAUGUCGGUUAUUUUCUUCAUGUAAUUUAAUUGCAACUCCUUUUUUGUUAUUAUUAUUAUUUCUCUCUCAUCCAGAGCAAAUUAGAAAGGAUAAUUGUUGUGUAGUUACAUAGAAAUCAAUCAAGAUUAAGAAGAUGAAUAGCAACAGUAAUUUGGAGACUCGUACUCUUCUUGAUGAACUUAGUGACUUUAAUAAAGGGGGACUUUUCGACUUUGGUCACCCUCUUGUUAACCGCAUUGCUGAGAGUUUUGUUAAAGCUGCUGGGGUACGUUCGUGAAUUUAAUAAUUUCAUUUGUGUGCACCAUUGUAAUACAUUGUCGUGCAAAGACUUUACGUUGUGUAUAUAAAUUAAAUCUAAAUUAUUUUUACAAAUGCAAUCUAACCACAACGCAUAUUGCAUAUUUAUAACUGCAGAUAUUGUUUUAUCAUGUUGAUAUGCAGUUAUUAUAUAUUUAUUAUGUUUCAUUAUCAUUUUAUAUUAAAUCUCUAAUUUUUCGAAGUUUUGAGUUGAUCAUGUAUUCCUUGAUUUCUUCCAGAUAGGAGCAGUUCAAGCUGUGUCCCGUGAAGCCUAUUUCACGGUUAUUGAAGGUGCACUGCAAUACAAUUCCCCCUUGGGCCUUAACACUUCUUUUCUCACUUUUAUGUGUGUAUUAUAUUGAUAUUGAUAUUGAUAUUGAUAUGGCAACCCACAUUUAGUGUGUCAAAUUUUGGUGCCUCACUUGUGGAUAUUUAUUAAUACAUGUCAAUUUGAUAUUUAUUAUAGGUACUGGGAUUGAUAAUGCUGGUGGAAUGCCUCCAGAAAUAUCUGGAGCCAAGAAAAAUCGUUUUCAUGGUCUUAGAGGUAUACUAAAAUUACAAAAAAAAUUAACUAUGCUGAACCAGUAAAUUCAGAGCAUAGAUAUUUAAUAUGAAUCUAGAUAUGAGAUUUUUUUUUUUACCAAUCUUAAAAUGAGUUAAAAUAGUAACAACAUUUUCUUUCGAUUUUUUGCACAUACAGGAGAGACCAGCAGUAAAUCUAUUGAGGCAAUGGUGAGUUCAUGUGUACAGGAGAGUUGUUGCCUUACAGUUGCUUACGUGAAAUUGUACUUUUUCAAUAUAUGCAAAAACAUGCUGGCCUUUUUAUUUUAUGUUCUGUCUUUUUGGUUUAAUUGUUGUCUUUUUUCCUUCAUCAGGUAAAAAACACAGGGAAAGAAUCCUUCCAAUGGGGUAAUCAUAAAUUCUCUCAACUUGAAGAGACCUCGUGUGCUUCUAUAUAAUAUGUGAAUUUGGCAAUUUUCCAAUAAUUAGGGACUAUUUUAUAGUUUUAUGUAAUAAUUUAUUAAUUCUGAACUUGUAUAGCAUAUGCGAGUAUGUCCACAUUUCACGUAGCACGUGCCACAUGUGUUUACGUUCAAUAACUUAUUUUCUUUAAUUAUUGCGUAUAAGAAUUAUCUAGAAGGAUUGUGGAAAUGAUAUAUCCUUCAAAUUUUUCGAAAAAUGCAGGGUUGGCUGCAGGACUAUAUUCAGGACUCACAUAUGGGAUGAAGGAAGCUCGUGGUACUCAUGACUGGGUAAUGUUCUAAAUAACUAGAUUUAUGAUACAUUUUUUUGUAAAAGGAACAAGGGCAAGCCUCUCUUCAUCACUGGUGUGAAUAAUAGUACAGUAUUACAUGUGCUUGAGUAAUUAUUUAUUCUGUUGCAGAAAAAUAGUGCAGUUGCUGGAGCAAUCACUGGAGCAGCACUUGCAUGUACAUCAGAUAACACAUCUCAUGAACAGAUUGCGCAAUGUGCUAUUACCGGAGCUGCGAUUUCAACUGCUGCAAAUCUUCUAACAGGGAUAUUCUAAACCUGUUGGGAUUUUUAGCCUUGUUUUUAAUCUUCCAAUUUGUGACAUUUAUUACUACUUUUGGUACUUGUUUAAAAUUAACUUGUAGCAUUUAGCAACUAUUUCUUUCUGAAUUUGUAGUUCUCUUUUUCAAAUGUGUUGUCUCCGGUGGUUUUCAUUGAUAAUAUAGUUAGUAUUAGUAAUAUACUAGCAGUACUUAAGAGAACAGUUAAAUGUUUGAGUGUAAUGGAUCGGUUUUGUUUUCAUUUUACAAAAGUAAACAAAAAAAAGAUAAGUUUUGCAUUAAACAAGAUUUUCUAUACUUUUUAAUACUUAAAAGUUCCAAGAUAUUUUUACUGUACUUGUAAAUUCAAACUAAAUUAACUUAUGAUGAAUGAGCUUGUUUCAAGGUUAACAUAAUUAUUCUUGAAUAAGUUAAAUACUUUUAUCAGGUAUUACUUAUUUUCUAGAAUAAAUUGUUGAAUAGACUUUUAUUUAAUACAAAAUUUCAUAUGAGACUUUUCUUACCAUAAAUUUGUUAUCUGUGGAGACUAUAACAACUCAAGUCUUGUGAAACCUUAAUGUGCAAUAAAUUUUUCUAAUAGUUUUAACGUUGUUACUCAAGAAUAAUUAGUCGUGGGUUAGAUGUGUUUAUACAAUAGUUUUUAUUCUGUUUGAAUUAUCAUGAUAUUUACAAAGUUUUCACAGCGAGUAUUUUUUAACAGUAUAAAAAGCCCAAGGAAAAGAAAAGACUGCAAAGCUAAAUGAACACUUGAUUGUAUGCAAGUACUAGAUAUGUCAUCAAAGAUGAUACUCUCUCGUUUCAAAACAACGGAGCAUUUUGUUCAAAAAAACUAUUGAAAAAUAAUAAAACAAAAGAAUAAAAAUUAUCAGAUCUUGAAGAAUGAAGAAAACCCCCACACAUAAAAAAACACAGCUUUUAUGUCUCUCUUCCGUCUCUUUCUUUUGGAACUGUUUAACUCAAGGUUUCACCACCGUCAUCACCCUUCUCGUAGCUCCGGCAACAACCACCGAUCCACCCUCCCCCACCUCUCUUCCUCUAACGCAGACUCAGAGUCUCAUCCUCUCUCACAUUCAUCCCUGCAGCUCUCUCUCACCAUAGCCACACACACUAUGAUUUCUGCUUUCACUUUCUUUCACUCUUUUCUCUUCUUGUAUAUCCUAUCAACUCCUUCUUCGUGUUCUUCUUUCUUCUCUAGUAAUUUUUUUUUUCUUUCAUGCUUCUCUCUUUUCUUAUUAAUAACAUCAGAAUAAAGGACUAAAAAAAUAAGAUGCUUAAAGAGCAUAAUAUUAUUCAACUUUGAACUUGUUUUUUUUUUUUAUUGUUAGAAUCUUUGAUGGAAUGCUAAGAUACCCUUUUAAGGAUUCAGAUUCCUUUUUCAUGAUGGUAGCAAAAAAUCUUUUUUCUUUUUGUUUCUCUCAGUUUCGAUGCAACAGAAACCUGAAAAAGAGGAGGAAGGAGCAGCGGACGGUAUUGGUGGAGGAGAGAGGGACGGUGAGGGGGAGAGGAACAGAAAACGUGUUGAUUUUAUUUGAGUUUUUUUUCCUACAUAGUUGAUGUGUUUUGACAAAACUUCCCUCAAUUAAGUGUUGAAAUAUCAAAAUUACCAUGCCAGCUAGAGGGUGUACAAGGUGGAUUGGCAGCUAUGGAUGUCCACCUAUCAUGUCUCUAAGAGAAAUGUCCAAGGGAAAGAGAGAGAAAAUGGUUUUAAGUGUACUUGUCAAGUAUUGGUGCAUUCACCACUAUCAUAAAUGCAAAGUGAAAUAUAUUGAAUUGAGAAUGAUAAAAGUGAAAGAUAUUAAUUAGAAUGCAUAAUCGGAAAAAUAAUAAUUAAUAUUGCAUUAAAAAGUGAAAUAGAUCAAUUAUUUUAAUACAAUAUUUUUUUUACAAAUGAGUCACUUAUUGUGAGACGGAAAAAGUAUUUUGAAGCUCUUGAGAAGCCUCAAUUAUUUACAUGCAAAUCAAAAUAGUUAACAGUUAGGGUAGUGUUAAUUUGUGCCCUAAGGGCACAUGUUAAGAAACCCCAAAAAAGAAAUAUUCUCUAAAAUUUUGUGCAUCCAAUUCAUUAAAAAGUUAAAGAUUAAAUGUAAUGCACACAUUCCAAUAUCCUAUUUCUAUAUCUGAUUCAUUAACUUGUACCUUAAGGACACAAGUUAACAUUUUCCUAAAAGUUAAAGCUAAUAUUAACUAACUAAUCAGCUGCUCUAUUGCCUUCAAAAAAUAAAUAAAUAUAUAUAUAUAUAUAUAUAUAUAUAUAAAUAUAUAUAUAUAUAUAUAUAUAUAUAUAUUCACCAUUUCUCUUCACCUAAGUCAUUUUUCCACUCUUAUUGCAAAGUUGGAAUGUUAGAUUUUUAUUUCAGCUUAGGGAUGUCUCAAGCAGUGGCGGAACCAAGAUUAUUAUAAAGUUUGGGCAAAAAAUAUUUGCAACACAUUUAUAAGGGUUUACAUAAAAAAUUGCAAGUGAAUAAUAAAAAAAUUUAAAGAAAUUGUCCAAUUUAUAGAGGUUUAUAUAAGAAAUUAAGAGGAAUUUACAAAAGAAAUUGCAAAAAAAUUGAGCCAGAGCCCGGGCUCGCCGGGCCUUAAAACCGCCCAUGUUCUUAAGUAAAUAUUCAACUUGUGUUUAUUCUUACAAUCAAAACAUUAUAUAACAUUGUAUUUUUCCUUUUUUCGAAUAUAUAAAAAUGAGUUUUCUUCAUUAUUACUCUCUCUUUCACUCUCAAUUGUUGGAACUCUUCCAUGUUUCGGAAGAAGAAGAAUAAAAUUUAGAGAGAAGAGAGAGUUGUUCCCCCAAUGUGAAAGAAUGAAAACUUAUUGUUAUUUUAAAACAUAAUCUCUUUACUACAUUGAAUUCAUUGAUUCUCCAUAAGAAAGCUAUACUAUUUAUAAACAUUGUUGCUUGAGCUACGAGUUAGCUCUUAUAACAAACAAACAGUUACAACUGACUAACUGUUAGUACAUAACGUUCUAAACCCAAUAGGAAGCCAUGUCCUCCUCUUUUCAAAUGCAUCUUUGGAUCUUUUCUAGCAUUCUUUGCAAACCAAGAUUUCUCGCAUCCUCACUAGACACUUCUCACAAUUCUUGACCUGAGAAAACUCUUCUUAAAAAGUCAUUAUUGAUACCACAUGUAUCAAUGACCAAGUGCUAAUUUAUUUCUUACAUCCUUGUUGCUCGGUUGAUAAUAAAUGCAAUCUCUUUGCGGAAGCUAUUUUUAAAUCCCAUGAACCAGGGGCUCUGCCACUGUUGGAACAACCCAGACUCUAGAUACCACUGUUGCUUGAGAUACAAGUUAGCUCUUAUAACAAACAACUACAACCGACUAAUUGUCAAUACAAAACAUUAUAAACUCAACUUUCACUGGAUGCAUUACUAACUUCUGACAUCAAUCAAGCUUUGACUUUCUAUUGAGAUACUAACAAUUAUCAUAUUUAUAUUUUCUUACAAUUUUAUAUAUUAUUUAAACUAUUUAUUUAUAACAUGAAUUUCUCUUACUAAAUGGAAAAAAUGAAGGAAAAAAAAAAAGCCAAAAAUAAGAGUCAAGCAAACUAUAGUUAUUUCCCAUCAAAUUCAUAUAACUUCGGUCAUUUUCUCUUGAUCAUUCUUCAACUUGUGGUGGUCUCAUUAGAGAUCAUCACAAUCAUUCAUUAAAGUUUCCAUUACAAUAUUGAAACCUCAUCUAAUGUUCAUGCGAAGUAUUGGGUUCAUUAUUAUGACUUAAAACUUUGUCGUGAACCCCACAUUUUCUUUUUUCUUGUUGAAGUUGAUUUCCUGAUUGUGGUUAACUUUGACAACAACGAAUUUUAUGUCGGUGCCUCCCUACAACCUCUUCUCGAUGAUGUGUUUCAUUUGUUUCAUGGUCCUAAUUGAAACGUCUUUCUUGCAAACAUUUAGAGAUAAAUCAACAUUUAUGUUGAUCUUCUUACCAAUUUUAAUCAUAUUAAUAAACCAACUUAAAGUGUCUUCGAUGCUUCACAUGAACCCCUACAACCACACCUUCAUUUUGAUGUUUUGGUUGUAGUGUCUCCGUUUUGUUCCUUAGUUUUUUUUAUUUGUCUUUUCUAUUUCUAUAAAAAAAGGGUUAAUGCAAAAAAUUAAAGCUCUACAAUAAUUGAAUAUAUAUUUUUUUAUUUUCAUAAUUUUCCGAGAUUAUUACAAUUUACAACCAAUUUUUUUAUUUGAGGGACAAUUUACGAUCAAUUAUUUAUUAAUUCUUAAAAAAAAAAAAACAAUUAUUUACUAUUAAUUAAAGACAGAAAAUAAGCAUAUCUUAACAAUUUAUUUACUAUUAAUUAAAACCCUAACACAACAAAUCUCAAAGCUUCCGUCAAAUCAACAAAAUCGAAACCGCUGCCACUUUGCCCUAUCACGCUUGGAGUCGCUACGAUCUCAACCCCGUCGAAGUUCAUCGUUUUCGCCGGCAACAGCGAGAAAUUCAUCAUCCAGGUUUUCCUCUCUAUUCCUCUCUUCCUUCCCCUCUCCUUAUGCCUUCCUUUAGCUCGCACUAGGGUUCAAUUCAACUGUGAAUUGCGUUGCAGCAGAUCGGAGCUCCACUCCGCACCGCGAUUCUGCAAUAAUUUUCUUGUUAGAUUUAUAAUUUAUAAGAUAACUAAUCAAAUGAUGGAUCAGAUCUUAUCCAAUAUUAUAAAUUAUUGAAAACUGAAAAAUUCUUUUAAUAUUGUUUCAAUUUUGUAUUUUGUACCAGAUUUUCAAAUUUGAAAUAGAAUAUGUCGAGUAGUAAGAAGGAAGAGAUUAAGGCUGCAGCAUUAACUGCUGCGAAAGGGCUUAGUCGUGCUCAAGCUGAAAGAGCAGCAACUGCGGCUGCGCGUAAUGUUAACGCUUAUGGUCAGAAGGAAGAAGGGCCUAGCAGAUGGCAGGAGAAAAGGGAGGCGAAGAGGCAGAUGUAUUUGAUGAGUACUGAGAAAGCUGUUAAAUUGGGUGAAAGGAAGGAUGUCAAGCCUACAAUGUCGACUGUUGAUGGUAAUGCGCAGUGUCAGAAGUGUUACCAGGGUGGGCAUUGGACAUUUCAAUGUAAGAAUGAGCGAGUUUAUAUUUCAAGGCCAUCGAGGACUCAGCAACUUAAAAACCCUAAAUUGAGGCCGGAUGUGUCUGUGGGUUAUGAUUUGGAUGAUAAUAAUAAUAACAAUCAUCGUGAUCGUGAUGUGAAGGAGGAAAAGGCCAAAGUGAGUUCAAAAAAGUCCAAGAGGAAGUAUGAUUCAGUUAGUAAUAGUGAGGAUUCAGUGUUUGAGACCGAUAGUGGCAGUGGAUCAUCGUCUGCCACGGGAUCAGAUUAUUCUUCUAGUUCGGGUUCCAGCUCAUCCUCUGAAUCAGAGGAAGAAAGGAGACGGAAGAAGAAGAAGAGUCAGAAGAAGAAGCAGACUAAGAAGAAGAGCAAAGGAAAAAGCAGGAGGUACAGUACAUCUUCUGAAUCAUCUGAUUCAGAUUCUGGUUCAGACUCUGAUUCUGAUGAUAAAAGCAGCAGGAGAAAGAAGAGGCAUAGUCGGAGACGUUGAAUGGUACUUAAGAAUGUAUGGAGCAGCUAAGAGUUUGGUGAGUAGUUAUCGAGCAGGAUUGAUGGCUAGCUCCACAGAUACAAUUUUAAGUUUCAGCCGAUGUAAUGUACAAUAUGCUUUGCUAGAUGCCUGGGUUGUACGUAUCUUCUUUCAUUAACUUUGUUAUCCUGAAGAUACUUGGAGGUUUGAUUUUAUCUUUAACGUUUGACUUCAUGGAUGGUGCUCUAUAUAUUUUGUUAUGCUUAAACAGUUAGAUGGAUUUUGCAAUUGAUACAAGCUUCAAAUGAUAUCCUCGUCUAAUACUCAAUUCUUGUAUGUUUACGUAACUGAGUUUGUUCUUGUAUAUUCUCAAUUUAUGCAGGCUUUCUUGCAUUUAUCGAAUUAGUGAACUUAAGCUUAUUGCUUAAUGCUUUCAUACUUACUGUAUUUGUUUACCAGAGUUCCAAUUUUCAGUUAUGUGUUGUCUUCAACUUGUCGUGAACCCUAUUAGCUUUUAAUUAUCAUACUUGUGGGGAUUUUUCAUGUUUUUUCUGGCAGUCUAGUUCUGUGUUUUUGCAUUUUACUGUUUUUACAAUGGUGAUAUUGAGAUUUAAAUACACAACCUAGUGCAAUUGACACAAAACCCUCAUAACUUGUCAAAUUUCUGUAGCUUAAUUGUGAUGUACUUUUAAAUUUGUAUGUGAUCAUACAUAGGUGUGUGAUUUAAGUGAAAGCAAAACUUAUUUCUGGGCAUUCCACCCCUACCAUUCUCUCUCCCUUUAAAGAGCUUGAGGCAACUUAACACAUUAUGUAUACGUAGAAUGUAUAUCUGCCUUCAGGUAUGUCAAUGGGGGAAUCAGGAGUUGAUGCUCUAUCUUUUCUUGUUCCACCAUACGAAAAUGAGUUAAAAAUUAACUAUAUCUGAUUGGGCUUAAGUAAAUUAAUAAUAUUACAUAGUAACCUUAACCUGUUAUAAGCUGUAGAUAAGAUUAUUACAUCUAUAACAAGUGGGUCAAAGCAUACAUAGAUUAGUUGUUAUAGGCCCUUCCGUAAUAGUAGGUGCUGUUAUUUAUAUGUAUGAAGGCCAUCAGUAUAACUAGGCCAGCUGCAACUGAUUUCAUUCGAAGUUGCCAAGCGUAAACACUCCAUUACCAUCACCCUUUAACUUGAUGUUGGUGUUAUUGGUUACACCUAAUAGCUUUUGGCUGUCUCCAUUGAGAAAGUCAGCUGCCGGUGCUUGGACAGGGAGAGGAGAAUGGAGGUUGAAAUUUGAUUCAAGCCGAGUUGCAGUUGCUUGGCUUCUAUCACCUCCAUCCAUCAAGUCAGCAAACCCCCAUCCCUGCCAUUGGGGUCAAUCAAACAGAAGUGUAUAAAAAAAAACUCUUUAAUUUGGCUUUUUUGUCUAUGAAGUGUGUGCUUUCAUAACGUUGAAGGAAAAUUAGCCUUUUAUAGAUGCGAAAAUGAGAAUAUCAGGGCUCACAGAAAGGUAUCAACUUAAGUGAUAAGUAGUUUUUUUUUUUUUCUUUCUCUUCAAGUUUUAUGAAGAAAAAAUAGUAAUGAGUUAGUCUUCUUAAGGCUUUGUUUGGGAGUUGAGAUGGAAAUGAAGGGUAGGCCAUCGGAGGGAUGAGAUAAGAGCGAAAAAUAGUCUUUCAAAUUUUGAGUGUUUUUACUGUGAAUGAUAAAAGAUUACUUAUGAUUAAUGCACUUUUAAUUUUGUGAGUAUUAUAACAAUAUAUAUAUAUUGGAUUUGGAAAAUUUACCCAAACCCCUCAAAACCCUCCUCCAUUACAAUUUUUUAAUUUCCCCAAAUUGUGGGAACUUUGUAUUAUGAAAAAAAUACUAAGCCCCUCAAACCCUUCCUCCCCCUCUCCUCCCAAACAGAGCCUAAAAGAAUCCACCGCUCGAGUUGGUAUUCAACAACAUGAUUUCUAAUUCUUAGAAUUUUUUACGGAAAAAUAUGUAGACCACUAAAAUUCAGAGAAAUGUUUUUCAUAUAUUCGUUCAAACUUCAAAGCAAUUGAAGAUAAGAAACGUCUAAAUUCCGUAGUACCAACCAUGCCACAGUAGUAUAUGCCAUCUAUCAUACAUUUGUGGACAUCUUUAUCUGAAAUGCAAUAAUUAAGUGAAUUCUGCUCUCCACCCGGCACAUUUUGCUCGCACCCUACAACCGUUCCAAAUUUACCCUUGCGCUAGUUAACUAACGCAAGUGAAAAAUAACGCUGCGCAAGUUAAGAUGCGCAAGUGUAAAACACUGCGUGAGGUUGCGUCAAUUAAGUUGCGCAAGUGUAAAACACUGCGUGGGUUAACUCACGCAUAGUGUUAACACUUGUGCGAGUUAACUCACGCUCUACUGAUAUAUCAAUACAUCAAUAAAUGUUGUAAUGAUAUGCAUUGAAUGCAAUAUGUGUCAUCAAAGACCUGUAACCUUAAGAUGCUCGUAAUUGAACCGACUUACUCCAGUUUAACAAGAUUGUUGGAUAAUACGACACAAUCGAUGAAAAUUACACAAAAACAUCGUUUUUUUCACAAUCACAUAAUCACGCAUAACGAUCCAAAUGGUCCAAAUUACACAAAUUCGCUGGUAAUGACCCGUAAUCACUUAAACACACGUAAACGAUCCAAAUUACACAAAUUUGUCCAUAAAUUUCUCAAAUUACAUAAUCUCUUAUAAACAGUCAGAAUUACCCAAAUUCAUUGUUAAAUUACAUCAACACAAAUUCAUUAAAAUUCAACAAUACAGACACAAAUUCGAAAAACAUUACACUAUUACUAUUACACAUUAAUAAAUAUAACACUUCAACAGAUCAGACAUAAAGAUGUAAAAAGUUAUUUUCAACCAUCACGCGAAACAUGUAAUCAACGUCACUAUCAUCUUUGACUAGUUGUGGAAAAUACACGGUCUUCCUUAUCCUCCCCCAAGUCUACGCAUAGAACUUGUACUACUACAUAAUAUGUUCUGUGAUUUGAACCAAUAUGAAUAAAGAAGUCGUCAAGUUUUGCUUUCAACUCGUCCAACUUGUCAGUGGGGUUUAUAGUCAACCAAGCCCUCUUUUUCACAUCUACAUAAAGUACAUGAAGUUUAACCGGAUCUUGUGCAUCUUCAGACAUGUUUCACUUCACAAAAAUAUAAUGAAAGUAUGAGAACAAAUAUGAGAUAAAUGAGAUAAAAUAAAUAGUUGAAUAAUUAGUGACAAAGUAAGUAAUGCGAGCAAUAAUUGGUGUGACAUAACCGACCACCAAAAAAAAAUAAUUCAUUUCAUUUAAUAUAUAUAAUAUUAGUUACAUAUUAGCCACAAAUAUCCAAAUUACAUAAUCGGCCACCAAAAAAUACGUCGGGGUGUAAUACCACCAAAAAAUAGGACGAACACCGACCGACCUAUAAGUGUCCUAACUUAUAAUAACCUAUCUAAGAGGUCUAGUGAAAUUCCUAAAUCGUCGUCUUCUUCCAUGUCUUCCGUCCAUUCAAGAUCUUGUUCCUUUUUUCGCGGAGUGGGAGUAUCAUCACAAACAAUUGGAUUGUGCUCAUUGUUGGUUUCUUUGGCGGCAUCAGCUCCUUGGACAUGAGCUCAGUAUAAGCAUUUUGUCUAUCCAAAAAUGCAAAAUGCCAAUUCUCCGCCUCACGAAUCAAAGAAACCUUUCAACCUAAACGGACAAUUACAUUUCCUUGGGCCGAUGCCUUCAAGGUUCGGUUUCUUCCUUGUCUUAGGUGGCUUGUAUAUCCCACUCCUUUCACAUUGCAUCGUCAAGUACGACCUUUUUAAAACAGAUUUAUCUAUACAAACACCGAAUCCGGCCUUUACCCCUUGUUAACGAACCCAAGUAAGUAACUCUUCUCGCUCUCUCCAUCUUGCACUUGUUGUAAAAAAUGAGGCGGUGUCGCGAGCUUCACAAACAACACCGAUAGGUACUCGUUUAGGUUCUUCAAUUUUACCAAUUCGAGCUUGCAUUGGAAUUUGGACUUUAAACGAUUUCAAAUUAACGGUUGGUUUGACAUCACUGAAACCUUCACCGGAAACUUCAUUUUUGGCCGGUUUCAGUUUAACGUCAUCAUCCGCGACAUUGUCAACCAUCUCACUAUAUAUCUAUUGAAUAAAAAAAUUUACAAAGGAAGAAUAAAUAAAUUAUUUGUGGAACAAGCUAACCAAGAACAAAAGUGGCGCAAACAAUUCAAAAAUCAAGAGAGCACAGUGGCGUGACUUAAGUCACGCAACACUUUAACACAUGCGUGACUUAAGUCACGCAUCCUUUACUACUUGCGCAAGUUAACUUGCGCACCUAGCCCUAUGGCCUACGAAAACCAGACGAACCAAGCACAAAAACCAGCAAAAUGAGAUGAGUUUUGAUGAUACAAUACCUGAUAUUUGGUGCUUGAUGAGCAUAGAAACUUGCUUCAUGACGAUUUGCAAUGGUUUGGGAUGAGGAUUUUGACCCAAAAAAUCGCACUUUUUGGGUUUUUGAAGGUGGAGGGAAAGAAAAUGGUGCUUGAAGUUUGGACUGAUGGGUUUUGUACGAAAACAGUAACACUGCGUCACUUAACCUGCGCUGCGUGAGUUAAGUUGCGCAUCGUUACUUAAGGUGCGCAAGGGUAAAUUUGGAACGGCUGCAGGGCGCGAGCAAAAUGUGCAGAGGGUGGAGAGCAAGAUUCUAAUUAAGUGAGCACUUGACACAUAUGGGUCUAAACACAUGUUGAUUGGAGUUUCAAGUAUCGACUUUCUUGGUCCAAAUUGCAAGGAAGAUAGUAUCAAAUGAGAAAUUGAUUGAUGACUUCUAUAGGAAUUUGCAUACUGUCUUUAAUUCCUUAAUAAUGAUGAUAAUAUGAAAAAUUUGUGAGAAAUUUUUAAAAUAAAUUUCAAAGGUUGCAUGCUCCUAAUAAUGUUUAAAUAUGUACAACAAUGUAAAUACCACACACAAGGUUACCAGUGAUUCGUGGUUGUGUUCUUUGGAAAAAUCAUGUGUUUGUAGGAUUAAACCUCUACUUUUAUGUUAUUACUUUGUAGUAUUAAACCUCUACUUUGAUGUUAUUACUUUAUAAAUAGAUAUAUUCUAGAUGCAUAAAAUGACAUGAAAUUAGUGUUUUUGAACCUAAACUCAAAUACCAUUUUCGAAAUUAGAGAUCUUUAUUCUCUAGAGCAAGAGUAAGUGGAGGAACUCUGUAAUGUGUAAAAUACUAUUGAGAGACAACUUCAGUGUGCAAUUUGUUUGAAAGAUUUUAAAUCAUUUUGAAGGGGACCUGCAGUUAUCCUAUUGUAUCUGAUUUCUGUAAACUGGUGGGAGUGAAUUAAAACUACAUUAUCCACGUGCAUUUUGAAAUUUUGUGAAGUCAUAAUCUUUGAUCUAACCUAUUCAUACAAAGGGCUUAAAUAUGUUUAGCUUAAGCCUCUCGAAAUAGUGUUGUGGAGAAUUUUAAUUGCUGGAUAACGAAGCUCUAUUGUAUACAAUUUUCUCUCGCCUUAAUAAUUUAUAUAUACAAAACCAAACAUUGUAUCUGAGUCCGUAUAAAAUACACAAUAAUUAAGUGUUAAUGUAUAAAAAUACGGUAUUAAUGUCAAAUUGAGUGUCCAAAAAACAUUUAUCUAUAAUGGUCUAGUAAGAGUUAUUCUUCUUAGUGGAGAGACUAAUGCUCUAUACAUUGAUAUGGACAAUUCAGUGGUUUUCUAAAGGAGAGGAUAAGAAGGUAGGGAGUGGUGAAAGUAUCUCCUUUUGGUAUGAUGUAUGAAUGACUUGCAAUUUUCUUCUUUAUAGAACUUUAUCUUGAUUUGAUUUUAUUGUUAGAUGAUCAACCGGGCGAUUAUUUGAUCAAUGAGUGUGGGACUGAACUUGGAGUAAAGAAGAUGAACAUUUUUGGAUUAUCCUGUUUGUUAAAUUGUUCAAACUUUUUUUAUUUACAGAUGUUAGUAGUUAGUUAGAACCUUGAAUCUUAUGCUCAAACACUUUUAAAUGUCUCAGGUUAACUACUUCAAUUUUGGAGACUAAUCAAACUCACUAUUUAAAAACGAAAAAGCCAAAAAUCAUUAAAAAAAAAACAGUUGAGAAUGUUGUACUUUAUCGAUCCAAGGUUUUGGUAUUUUUUCUAUGGCAACUAAUGUUGCACCGACUUUUUUAAUCAAUUAGUCUUGUGGCUAGACUCACACACCUUAAGUGUAGAGAAUUUGGAGUUUGAACUCCGUAUCUUGCAUAUCAACGUCCUUGCAAUUAUCAAUUGAGUUGUAUUUACAAGUGGACCAACUUUCUACUAGGAGAAGUGUUUCCUACAUGUUACAACUCCAAAUGGAAGCCAUGUAUAAGUGGAAAGUGUAGAAGUACAUCAACUCAUCAAUGGCUAUGAGAAAUGAUUGGGAAACACAAAUGGUGACAUUUGACGCCAUAUUCCCAUACGAUUGGGAUGCACUUUGCAUUUUUUUCUUCUUCAUAUUUGUUAGUUCAGCUUCAUUUUCCGUGCAUAUAUAUGGAUGAAUUGCGUCUCUGAAAUUUAAUCCGUUUCAGUUUAAGAUUUAAUCAUCAUAUAUAUACUCUUAUUAGAAUACUACAGGAGACAGAAACAGAUAUAAGUAUAGAUACUUAUUAAGAGAUGAGGUAUUAAAACCUCACUAUUUUAUUUAACUAUAUUAGAGAUCUUACUUGCUCCACUAUAUGUUAGAGAAGAUUACAUCAUUUUGAUGUGUACAAGAUUAAUAAUUAUACCGUCUAUUGGAAGAGUCAAAGCCACCAAAGAUGAUGGAUCCAUUACCAUUGCCUUUGGUGUAACCAGAGUUGUUUAUAAGACCUUUCAUGUUUUGUGUUCCUGUGUUGUUAAACGAGGCAAGGAACUGGUCCUGUGACGUGUCAUGUCGCUGAGGAGCAACAGCAUUGGAAUUGGGCGAGUGUCGGGGUUGUGGCUCCACCAGUUCGUCAUCAGUGUCGGUUUCAGUGUCAUGGCCAUCUAAUAGACGAAGCAACUGCAGAAGAGAUGAUCUAGAACUUGCCAUUGUUAGUUGUUGUGAAACAAUACGAAAGCUAGUUUAUGUGGCUAAUGUAAAUUAGUUGGUUUGAGAGAGUUUGGUACACUUUUAUAUACAGGCAAGGAAUAUUGAGGUUGUAGCUUGCACAAUAAGCUAUAAUGUUUGCCUUAUUUUUCUUCUAUUGAAAACUAGGAUUUGAAAUAUAUUCUAAUUCUGUAGAAAGUAGAUCUAGUGUUGUAUAUUGAUUUCCAACUGAAAUUCAAUAAAAAAAAAUCUGUUAUCCAUAUGGACCAAAGAUAGACAUUACUACCAAAGAAGGUUCUUUAAACGGUGAAUAACUAGCUAGAUAGACAUUUAGUGUAUUUAUAUUUUGCACACCAGAAUUAAGAGUUAUUUUUUUAUAAAAAGUGAUGGCUCAAUGAUGAAAAGGUUGGGUGGAUAUUGGCAGUUCCGCCAUAUCUGUUUGGAUUAUUUGCGAUGUUUUGCUUAUUGGAAAAGUUGUCAUCCUAAUGAUAAUAUUCGGAAAGAUAAGAAUAAUAGUUUAGCAAAACAAUCUCGUAAGGACAACUUAAAUGAUAAAAGGUUCUAAGAUAUAUUGAAUUUUUCAUUUCUCGAGAUUUAGCUUGUUUGAGUUUCACUGUUAGACUUUUUAUAAACAAACAAACAAAUAGCAAAACUUAUAUUGGUCAGAAAAUUAAAUGAUUGACAAAUAUGUUUAACCCUCUGGUUUUAAGGGGAAAGGGGCACCGUUAAUCCAAGUAGGGAGAGUGUGGAUAUCGAUCGUGUCUCCACCGGAUCAUCAUCGUUGCCAUUUAGAGGAAGCAACUGCAGAACAGAACCUGCCAUUGUUGGUUAGGAAAACAAUGUGAUGCUGGCUUUUAUGGCUUAACUAAAUUAUUUGGUUUGGGCAAGUUUAACACUCAUUUAUACGUAUUUGAGGUAGUAGCUUGCACAAUAAGCUAAUGUUGAUUUUUUUUACUUUCUUUCUAGUGUGGUAUAUGUAUGAUUCCCAACUCAGAUUUAAUAAGUUAAAACACAAAUUCAAAUGCACAAAGGAGUCACACUUUAUGGAACUCAAUGGAUAAAAUUAUGUAGUUUUAAUUGGAAGAUCACUUUUUUAUCCAUUUGGAAAAAUUGAUACAAAACACUGUAGAAUAAAUCCAUGCAGCAGACUAGUUUUAUCUAUGUUUAUUUUUACAAACCAAAAGGGCUAUGACAGUACCUACAAAGUUACCAUGUUAUCCUGUUACAGUACAACAAAAUGUAUUCCCCUCAAUCCUUAAUCAACUGCCUGCAACCAUUCCUGACAUAUAUAUAUAAUUCCUACAUAAUAAUCCUAACAAACUCAUCCUUAGAAUUAAGAUGGUUCCAUCACAAUUUCAGUAAAAAUGCUAAGGGUUCACCUUUGUACCCUUCUUUUGAGGUCCAUAUUAGAAGCACACUGAUUCUAAUAUUUAUAUUUGCUUAAAUAUAUAGAUCUCUUUUAGAUUAAUUGUAUGUUUGGUUAGUUAAUUCUCGCGUUUUGAGGCACUCUUGCCAUGGAAAUACAAAAGCUGGAAAUUGUGGCUUCAAGUUGGACGUACGUUUUUUCCAUCCCAUCAUAGAAAUAAACAUAGCCUUAAACACUUUUUAAAUAACUCAGAGUUCAAUCUUCUGGUUAAAUAAACUUUUAAAAAAGUUUUGACCUCAACAAAUUUGAACCCAGUUUAAAUUUGUCCAACUUUAGUAUUAGUUCUCAAGUAAUUAUACACCAGUGUAAAUAACAAUCUCAGUAUGUUCCAAAUAUAAAUUUUGUUUAAUUAUUUCGUAACUUUAUUGUAUUGGUAGAAUAUAUUUGAACAAUUAAUUAGAAGACCCUUAAUGGAGUUUUUUUUCUUAUAUGAAACUUUAAUUGAAAUUCGAGAAUUCAGCCCAUAUUUUAUUUUAUCUACAUAUUAUUAUGGUUAUGAUCCGAGUAACACACACAUUAUAAAAUGCUAAAGCAACAAAGCAGAAUUUAUUUACUUAGUAAUAAUUAUAUUGAGUUGCCUCAACCAGAUAUACAUUAUUGCUUCAUGCAUGUUAUCAAAAGGAUUCAUUCAUGCUUGCCUAGCAGAUGAUGUCAAGGUGCCAAAGUUGAUGACUCCAUUAGCAUUACCCUUAACAUAACCAGUUUGAUUAGUAAGACCUUUGAUAUUUUGCUUUCCAGCAUUUGAAUAGGUGAAUUCUUCAGAUGACUGCGCAGGCGCAUGAGCAGGAGCAGGAGCAGGAGCAGGAGGGGGAACGUUGCCGUUGGGACAACAUUGUGCUUGUGUUUGCCGGCGGCGAGCAUCGCCUGUGCCCACAGCAAGGUUGCAGAUUCCAGAUGCAAUACCUGCCAUUGAUUGAAUGCUUAAUUGACUUGAGAAAAUGGAAAACUUGUUAUAUGCAGGUUUUUUAGAUAGCUUUGCUAUGUCUGAGGAAUUGAUCUUCCUUUAAUAGACUUUGUGUGGAGAGAAGAAUAUUUAAUUAAUAAAUGUGAAUGCAAAUGAAGAUAGUAUUGUGAGAGGAAUAUGGUUCCACACAAUGGUAGUGCUUCACUUUAAUUACUGCUCCUAUAUGCUUGUUAGAUGCAUAUGGACAAAUAAAACAAAGCAAGAAGAAUUUAUAUCAUUCACAUAUCUAAAGCUGUGCUGAUAAGGGAAUCAAUGCCAAGGGCAUAUAUAUGAAGUAAUAUUCCUUUGCUUAAUUGGUUAGCAUAGAUUCAUAUCAUUAGUCCUUACUCUCAAAGUUCAUAACAGAAAAGUCAUUACUCAAAAAUGUGGAUCAUGUAUGACCAACCUUAAUAUUUAAGUUACUUGAGAGGAGUUCAACUUGCUGAAGGUCCUUAUUUAUGCAGGGUAUUUUUUGUCUUUACAAGGUACUUGAUGACAUAUAAUAUGAGCAGAAGAAACUUUUUCUAAGAAUUAAAUUUAAACGGUUUGUAUUUUUAGAGUUAUAAAACAUUUGAAAUGUAUUUAUUGUCCCUUUUAGAAAAAGUGGAGAAACUUUGAAAAACUGUUUUUUAGAAUUAUUUUAUGGGAAAUGUUAACAAGUGUUUUCGGGGUACUCUUUAAGCACUUUAUAUAGUAAAUUUUAAAUGAAAAGUUGUGUAUUGAAUGCGUUGGAAAUUGUAAUAGUUGACUUUUUAAAAGAAUAAUUACUAAAUUUGGAAUGCUUACAAAGUGCCCCGGACACUCGUUAACAAAACCUUUAUUUUAUUUAUAGAAUAAUUUUUUAAAGAAAAAAGAAAAGAUUAUCACACAAGUCAUUUCAAUUUCUUAAAGACUAUUCUGCAAUUGUAACUUAUGUUAAGGGAUUUUUCUGUUAAAGCAGUAGCUCUUCAAAUCAGAGAAAAGGAAGAGGGAUGAUUCAUAAAAUUGCACUAUUCUUUAUUUCAUUAAGAUCACUAUUCAUAAAUUUUGCAACAGUAGUAAUUAAUUGAGUUGGUUAGUUACAGCUAACUCCAACACUAACUAAUACAUUUAAAUUACUUUUUAACACUUCCCUUCAAUUCAAAUGUAGUCUCAAUGUGUUUGCUCUUUCCAUGAGACACAUCAAGAUCAAGUAAGGUUCAAUAACCCUGAGAAAUGAAAAAUGAGGAUCUUUGAAAUUAUCUGUUAUGUCUUUUUAGUAUUGUUGAUUGAUUGUUAUGGAUCUAUACAACCUUUAUUAAUUUUUCUUUGGUUGAAUAGGUGAUUAGGUCACUAAUUUAACUUGAUAUUUGUUUCCAAACUGUAGUUGAGAUUUUGUUGAGGCUUGCCCUGGCUAGACUAGAAUUCUCUGCACCGGUUACGGUUACCAUCCAAAUUGGGUCGUGACAAAGUUGAUUGUUUAUAAGCUUGGGUCAAGAAUUUUGGAGGGAAGGAGGGAAUAACUUAUUUUAUUUUUAAAAUUAAGAAAAUCAUAAAAUACUUUUGAAAAAGCUUUGUAGAAUAGGCUACCAAUAUCAUAUACAGAUUCGGUUAAUUAAUUAGAAGCCAUCAUAUCAUAUCAUAUCAUAUAUUAAUAAAACUUCUGAAGAUAUAUAUUAAUUGGAACCGUGCAACAAAGCACUUAUUCUAAUUAUAAUUAUUAUAUGUGACAAUAUAAUUAUUUACAUACGUAAAUCACCAAAGUUGAUAGCUCCAUUAGCAUUGCCUUCAGUGAAGCCAGUUUGAUUACUUAGACCUUUUAUAUUUUGUUUGCCAGUGUUGUUAUAUUUUGCUUUGUUGGAGCGAUUUCUUCCAGGCAAGGGUGUUGAAGGAGAACCAUUUUGAGUUUCACUUUCACCAUCAUCCAUGCUAUUUAGCACACCAACAAGACCCUUGAGAGCAUCCAGUUUUUGUUGAAGAUCAGCCAUGGAAUGUGACUCUGCUAAUAAUUUAUGUAUUUGAUCUGACUAGAAUUGAUUAAUUUGUGAGCAUACCAGAACUCUUCUUUUAUAGAUGGAGAUCAGGAAUAUAAUAGUGCUUGCUUGUACAUAGAUAAUAAGAAAGAACCAUUUGCCAGUGGAAUUAAAUAAAG
rnacentral:lncRNA from 1 species